UGUUACCUUGUUUAGGUGUUCUUAUCAUUUGCCCUUGAGAUAUAAAUACUGUGUGCCAAAGUCACUAGCAUACGUACCUGAGCAAUUGCGCUACCGGAAUCAGGUAUAAGGUAGCAUCACAAACGACCUCUUCUGAGUUCAUGGACGUCAAAACUCUCGCAAAAAUUUUCUUUCUCGUCUUACUUUCAACUUCAUCCAUCUCAUCUGCAACAUCAAGAACAAUUUCCGGGACAACAAGUGAGUUGUGUAGUUCACAAAUACCUUAAAUGACAAUUGAUAGUUUAGUUUAUCGUUCAUGUUUGUGGUACUUUGGUUUUAUGCAGACGAAUUUAGGGGCAACGAUACCCAUGUUUCAGAGGUAAAGGUACACCCAAGUCCCAUCUGGUCACCAAGAUCAAACGCAAUGGAUGUUCCUUCUCCAAUCGGCUUUUGAUGUUGAUAAUCCAAAAUCAGACGAAACUUCAGGAUUUGGAUUGGGAGUUGCUUCUUUUUAUUGUAUUUUCUUUGGGCUGAGAGGUUGCUUCUUUUUGUGUUUAUUUAAUUUUUUUUGUUUUGUAAGUACUUUUUUAUUGUUGUUGAUAAGCCAAUAUACAAUUGGGUAUGUCUUGUAUCAAAAUAAUGUGAAAUCCAAGAAAUUUGUUCCCAUAUGUCCUAGUUUAAUUUACCCUUUUUUAAAAAAAAAAAAUUUAUGUAGUAGGAAGAGUAUGGGAUUUAAGUAGCGGGAAGGAAGAAAGGAGUUUUUUUUUUUUUUUUUUUGGAGAAAGGAGAUUUGAAUCCAAGACUUUUAAGCCUUGGUGUUUCAAUUUUAAUCAUUACAUUAAGCUCUCCUCAACUAGUUUAAUUUACCUUAGGAAAGUCAAGUUUCAAUAUUUUGUUGCUUGUUUUGUGGUUCAUCUGGAAAGUGCUAGAUCUGUUGAUGGUUGGUAUUUCACAAUCAUCUAUAAUGCAUACAAGAUAGUGUACUCACAAGAUAGGUAAUUGAAUUUACAUGAAAGUGAUGCCUAUCUUGAUUAGUAUUUGUGAUAACCACCUUUCUGGUUCCGUUGCGUGAGGAGAUUGGCAAGUUGACAAUGUUGGUUGUGAUGGAAAUGGAUAAAAAUCAAUUCUCUGGUAAUAUACCGAAACAUCUUCGCCAAAAUGGAACACUCAACAACAGCCUCAUACUCCGAUUCCUAUUAAACCUGAAAACUGCUCAAGCUUAUUCAGAGUCGGAUUUGAUGGAAACCCGCUAACUAGGAACCUGUCACAGAUGUCUGAUAUCCAUCCAAACUUGAAUUUGAUCGAUCUUAGCAACAAUUAAUUCUACGGCAGACUUUCUGGCAAAAGGGCCAGAUGCCCAAACUUGGAAGCACUUUUGCUUGCAGACAAUUCUCAGAGCUAGAGAACGUGUCUUAACUUCAUAGUCUUGAUCAUUCUUCCAAUGACUUGACUGGGGAAAUUCCAAAGCAAGUUAUGAAGCUGGCUUCUCUGCUAAAAUACCUGAAGAAUUUAGGUUUGUAAAAAAUCUGCUUUAUCUAAACCUGUCAGAAGACAUCUUGCGUGAAUCUAUCCUAGAAAUUUUAAAAGAUUGCCAACAAUUGUUUUACUUGAACUUGAGCAACAACAAUCUAAGUCAAAUGAUUCCACCCCAGCUAGGUGAGUUAACUCACCUUUCUAUCUUGGAUCUGAGUCAUAAUUACAUCAGCGGAGAAAUACCACCUGAGUUUGAUCAGAAGUUUUCAGAGUCUAGAGAUAUAUUGGAAAUUAUCUUUCCCAUGAUAACCCCUCAGGUUUCCUUUCAGAAGCUAUGGCUGAACUGCCUGGUUCUUUGCAUUUUGACAUAUCAUUCAAUUACAUUAGAAGGUCCAUUUCCUUGUGUUAGAGCCUUUAAAAAUAUCACCACAGAACAACUGAGAGGAAAGUAGGGUUUGUGCGGCAAUAAUACAGGUUUACAAGCUUGUGAAAGUCAUCAAUCAAUUAGAAAGCACGUAAAGGAUUGUUACAGGGUUGAUCUUGUUCUCAUAAUUGCACUCCCUCUUCUAGGACCACUCGUACUUAUUCAUGCAAUAUACAAAGAAAUAUUAAAAGCAACAGAAGAGUUGGUUAUGGAAAUGUGUACAAACCACUCGUACUUCUUUUUAGAUCCUGUACAGAAACAUCAUCUGUUGCCUGAGAAGGCGUACUUUAACAGUUUCUUGAAUGAGAUAAGAGGCUUGACAAAUAUCGAGCACAGAAACAUUGCGAAACUCCACGGCUUCUGCUCAAGUUCCAAACACACCUUUUUGGUCUACGAGUACCUUGAGCAAGGUAGCUUGGCCAAAAUCUUCAGCAUAGAAGAAGAAAAUAAGGAGCUAGACUGGGAAAACGGGGUGAACAUCAUCAAAGGUGUCGCUCACACGCUAUCUUACAUGCAUCAUGAUUGUUCACCUUCAAUAGUUCAGCAAGAAGUUUCGAGCAACAAUGUUUUGCUUGAUUUAGAAUACGAGGCUCGUGUUUCAGACUUUGGUACUGCUAAAUUUCUGCAGAAGGGCUCAUGCAAUUGGACUCCUCUUGCUGGCACAUUGGGAUAUGUUGCAGCAGGUAAUUAACAGGGUUAUAAUUUCUCUUUAUUUUCAGGUAUUAAGUGUAUAGGUUUCACUGAUAACAUGAUUUUCCAUGCAGAGCUUGCCUAUACAAUGAGAUUCACUGAAAAAUGUGAUGUUUAUAGCUUUGGGGUCCUGACAUUGGAAAUAAUCAAGGGGAAGCACCCUGGUGAAUUUGCUGCCCAUCUGAUGUCUUCAACAACAACUGGAGACAUAGAAUUGAAAGACUUGUUGGACCAGAGACUUUCGCAUCCCACACAAGAAAUUGAAAAGAUCCUGGUAUUCGUCCUCAAAAUAGCAGAGGCAUGUUUACAUGUGAAUCCAGAAUCUAGGCCAACUAUGCAUAUGAUUUCUAGUUCGUUCCAAACCUAUAAAAUUGUAUCCUUAAUGCAUCUGACAACCAAAUUGAGCCGAUUUAAAAAUUGUCCAAGUCAUGCUUCAGAACAUUUUAUUGCAGCAUAAUUCGAGAUAAACAAUUGUUCUUUGUAUUUUUUUUUUUUUGGAAAUUUAUCCAAAAUAGUAUUGUCAGUCAAAUGAAAAAAAUUCACACCAAUGAGUUUUGAAGUAUCAAACGUACAGAUAAUUAGCCCAUAUAGACAUGGAUCCCAAUCAGCAAAAGCAAAAAAUUCCCAAACUGACUUUAAAAGCAAUUUAUCAGUCAUCUUUAUGGGUAGAUGAAAUAGAUUUAGACCCAAAUCAGCAUAGAAAAGCCUGUUAGGUCCGGUCCCAGGAAAUUGACAAAAGGAUUUUUGGCAAUCCCAAAAGACAAAUAACAAAGCAGAAAUAAGUAAAACAAAAACACAAGAAUUUACGUGGUUUGGUCUAAUUGACCUACGUCCACGGGCAAAGGGAUAGCAGAUUUACUAUAACAGAAAGAGAGUACAAAAGUGGGAGUAUAAAAUCCUAAGAAAUAAUUCCUAGGUCCAAAAGCAGUUAAAACUGAAAACACAAAAGAGCCUAAAUAGCACUAAAUGCUUAAUGACCCAAAGGCUCAUGACUUGCUCUUUUGGUUUAAUGUCAAACCAAAACUCCUCUCAGACUGGGGCGCGGGCCUCCUAAAACUCUCUUGGACUGGUGCACAUGGCACUUGGGCUAGUGCCCUUAGCACAAUUAAACUCACUUAACUCCACUAUAUUUAUAACCACUUAAAGGAGAUAUUUUUUUAUAAAAGUUCCGAUGUGGGAUACAAAAACACAUUCAACAAAGCCCAAAAAAAUUGAACAAUUUCUCCAUUUGUGCCCGCCAUUCUGGGACUGGGCCUUGCUAAUCUUCUCUAUAUGAUACCACUUUCAUUGGGUGUCGCCGGAGGACACUAAAGCCUUUAGGCCGAUCCAAUUUGGUGUUCACAACUGAUGUGGGAACUCAGCAGCAAUCGGACGGAUUUUAAACGUUUGUCAUCAAACCUGGCCCAAAGCAUUUAGCAUUGAACUAUUGGAUACAUAUGCUUUUUGCCAAUUUUCCAUCCACAAAAGUAGAGCCAACUUCAUCCGAAUUUAAUCAUCGGAUCUGGCCUACUAUUAAGCCGAAAUAUGAGAAGAAUUGAUCUCAAGAAUAGAAUGUACAUUGGCCUGGUUAUAUUGCUAAAUAAGAGUCUCUAUUUCUUUUAAAAAUUUUUUAGUCAAAAAAGGGUGGGAUUUAAGAAGUGGGAAGGGAAAGGGGGAUUUGAACUUAAGAUCUUUAUCUUUAGGUUAAAAAAAAAAACUCAAAUUAAGUCUCUAUAUUUCAUGUUUGUAUCUAUAAUGAAAAUAAAAUUGUAUUUUGUACAUUUCAAAAUUAUUUUAAAAAAUACUCAUACUUCUAACUAUUUAUAUAAUAUUUCUGAUAAACUUGUCUCACGUUUUGCUUCAUAAGCAAUACUUCAAUUUAUGAGAAAAUGUUUAAAAUUUGUUAAGGAUGAUAUCCUUUUUUUUUUUUCUGUUAUAAAGAACAUAGUUACGAUACAUAACAAAACUUCGAUAAGUUUAUGCAUGUAAAAUCCAAAAGAAAUGAAAACUUAAAACACUUUUAUGUCUCAUACACAAGGAUAAUAGUUAAAGUUGAAAUUGUUCGUACUUAAAAAAAGAAAGAGAAGGAGAAGUUGUUCUUACUAUUCACAUACACAUUUAUAUGCACUAUUUCGUUCUACUCAUAUCUUGGUGUCGAAUUUGUUUUAUCAUACUUUAAAAAAAAUUUAUGAUAAACUUAUGUAAAAUAAUUAAUAUUACGAUUAUUCUGUAUUUUACUAACCAUGUUUCUCACAAACAAACACAGAUAAAUUCAAGUAAAAGGAACACCAAGUAGGACAGAAAGAGUAUUGCUGCUAGUGUGUAAAUCAGGCCCAAGCAUCAUUGACCAAUAUCCAUAAUCCAUUUUGGUGUCUCUUCCAUUCCAGAUAGAGAUUUUGGAAAAUUUCCCCUUCACCGCUGCCCUACUACUCUUCGAAAUAACGCCAACAGGGAAUAUCCUCUCCCACACCACAACAAAACAUGGACUAAUUCAGAAAGGAUAAGUAGCAUUAGCAACACAUGUACAAAGUAGUGCGUGCAUUUUCUUGAAUCAAAUUUGAUCCCGCUAUCCCCAGACACAGCAGCAUGUUCCUGAUGUGACACCAGCUUAGUUUUGUGCAUGUAAAAUUCGUCUCACUCCCAAGAACAAAAGCAGAUUGCAAGUAGCACAUUAUACUCUCUGUUUUGGGCUUUAUUCAUUUUAAACACUUUCUCGAGUAUCUCUUCUACUAAAAGGUUACUCCACCUAAAACAAGAAAACGCUUCCAAGAGAAGAUAAUUCAAAAUAAAGUGCUCUUGUAGGAGCAUAAACUUCAGGUGGCUGAGGCAUUCAUAAGGCAUGCCUUAGUUGUCUAUAGGUUAAAGGGCAAAUUAUACUUUACCCACAUGUGGUUUAGUUUUUUUUUUUUUUUUUUUUUUACAUAAUCCCUCUAUGAUUUCAAAAGCUAUACAUAACUCCUUCAUGACUUGAAUUAAAGUGUCAAAAUGAAGGAAUUUGCAAUCCAUAACAGAGUCAACUAAAAUAUCAAAAAUACCCCUAUAUAAAGUUGAAAAUUAUUUAUUAACCACAGGGGGUUAUAUAUAUAUAUUGAAAAUCAUAAGGGGAUUAUAUGGUAAAACACUAAACUAUAAGAGAGUUAUAUGGUAAAAUAUAAAAUCAUACUAGAUUAGAGUGUUAUACAUAUUAUGUUUAUAUAUUUUAGUCACUUCAGUCAUUUUAGUUUUUAAACAAGGGUAAUUUCAACAUUUUUUUAGGUUCCAUCAUGGAUGAUCAUUUUCGUCACUUUGACACUUUAAUCCAAAUUAUAAGAAAAUUAUACAUAGUUUCUAAAUCUAGAGAGGGUUAUGUGGAAAUUAGCUAUACCACAUGGCGGUAAACUAUAAUUUACCUUAGGUUAAAUAUGGGCUUGUAGGAAGUUGAUUGACGAAUCCAUGCAAACGCAUAUGGUCAAUCAUAGUGAUAAAUUACUUGGAGUAUUUCAGGGUAGAAUCUACAAGGACAAUUUAAUUCUCUACUCUAAUUAUUCUAACAAAAAUAAUAAAACUUAAAUUCAAAGAGUUGUAAUUACUAACUAAGCAAUAAAGUAAUAAUCAAGUCAAGUCAAGUACUAUAGAGAAAACAAUAGAUGCAAAUUUAGGGUUUCAAGUUUUAAUCCAGAAUUUGAGUCAAUUAUCUAGUUAAUUUCUUAACAAACCAUGAAUGCAUCAUACAAUUAUAUUUUAGAUUAUCUCUCGAUACAUUUAAAGUAUGCCUAAUUAAAUCCUACGUCUCUCUUGAGUUUGCAAGUAUUUAUUAAAUCCUUUAAGAACUUUGGUGAUAUAAGUGCAUUUAUAAAUCCCAACUUACACUCGUGAUUAACCUAAAUAUGUUUAUCUAUCUAGUGCACGACUGAAUCUUGCUUCUCAAUUUGAUACAAACCCAAAAAUCAUGUCUAUCGUGAUCAAGCACAAACACGUAAUUAAAAUCAAGAUAGAUAAAUUAUAGCAAAAGAUAAGAAAUUAAACUAGAAAAAUGAAUCAAAUUUCUUCAUAAAAAUCCGAACCCUAGAAGUAAAUUUAGUUUAGUUCAGCAUAAUUGGAAAAUUAAAACCACGAAUCCAAAGAGUUGCUACAAAGAUAAGAAAAAGAGUAAGAAAACUUCUCAGUUGCUCACUCUAGUCCUCUCGUUGUGUGCUCCUUGAUUCGCUCACGUUUGAUCUUGAUUUUUUAAGAAUAAACUAUGAAAAAAUGUUAGAACUAAACUAGGCUAAUGUUUUCUAAUCCUUUAAAAAUGACCUAGAACACCCUAUUUAUAGUUUCUUAAAGUAGUAUCCCAAACGGGGUAGGAUUAGGCUUAUUGGAACUAAAAAACAACGUUUCCAUGCAUUUUUUUCAACGAAGACAGGCUCAAAAUCUAGUGCCAGUCAUUGGGACUAGAGAAACUCCAGUGUGAAGACCAAACUGAUAAUUAGUACCGGUUAUAACUGAUCCACAUACAGAUCACUAGGGAUCCAUGAUAUGGAUCCUCUUUGAAGCCAAAAACUCUAUCAACAAGGCCAAAUCUGUGACAGCCCCACCUCCCCCUAAGGCGAACCAAAGGGUUUGGCGGAUCGCCUGCCCAGCUCUCGCCGGGACUUAGUCAGUCACUUCAAGAAAAAAAGAUAAAACCCACAAGAACAAUCGUAAUAACAAUUCCAAACUUAAAACGUAAACUUAUAUACAUUACUAUCUCAAAAGGAAUACAACUCAAAACACAAAAGUUCUCAAAUCUUAAUACAUCUAGCCCUUGCCAAGUGCUAGCGCGAGAACCAUUACAAACAAAAAUUCAAAAGAACUAGACUACGCUAGUCUCUACAGCUCUCUCGUCCUUGCUCGCAUCCCCUGUUAAUGAAAACAAAACUAACGAAAUGAGCUAAAAACUCAGUGGGGUUCCAAACACAUAAUCAAACAAUAAACUCAAUGCAUUAACCAUAGAUAACCAAUAAUUCAAGAAACAUUUACAAUAUAAAGCGAUAAUAACACAUUCAUUAAAAGGAUACGUGCUCACGAGAAGUCAUUCAUUCAUUCAUUCAUUCUCCUUUCAUUUCCUUAUUCCUCCAAUCAUUUGAAAAUGUAUUUUUGAUAAGUAAAACCCCUCAUUUCCAUUGCCACUCGUUCAUUCAUUUCAUUCCACCCCCUUCCAGACGUUGGCCGGACUCCACCAGAUUUCAAGGUAAUACUCGAGUAUACCAAACAGUCACCCAAGGUCACCAAAUCGCCCGACCGAAUCCGUUUCUGGCUCGAGUCGAUCGGUAAUGAAGGGCAAGGCCCAGUUCAGCCAAAAGGCUUACAUUCAUGCACAAGUAAUAUUUCAAUCAUUGAAUCACUGAAAAUUUCACAUUCAUUUAGGUCGAGUGCGAUAAAGUACACACUCGCCUAAAAAACUCAUUUUGGCAAUCAUUGAGAGCACUUAACACAUUAUCAAACAUCCACAACAAGUCAUAUAGUCAAUGGAAAUAUAACAAAUAAGGAACACUCACCUAUUUACGCAAAAGAACGACCAAAGUAACCUUCUGGUAAUACCCUCAAUCACCAAAGAAACCUAGGUUUAAACAAAAGAGAAUAUUACAAUCCAUCUAGCAAAAGUUAGGUAAAUCAAAGAAAUCCAAAGUACCAGGUAUACGUAUAACUUUUGGGAUAAAAGUUUACAUUUAAACCAAGGGAUAUGGGAAACUAAAAGUUUUCCAAAUCAAGUACAAAACCAACUAGAAGGGUUUAGAAAAUUGGCAUGAAAUAAGUAAACAUUUGAAGUUCCAAACUGAAGAGGUAUCAUGUUUUAAAAUGAUUAAAACGGUCAUGAUAUUUACUAAGCAAAAAUAUGUAAGUUCAAAUAGAAAUGUAACUCCUCGAACACCCUUCGAGAGAGCCGAUGUAGUUCUAAUCGAAAUAAGUCCAACUCGGUACAAAAUCGCAUUCCCAAAAGUCAUUUUUACUCAAUUUACAAGAAAAUAAACGGACAGCAUUUCCCCUGCACCACUUCACUUUCACCCAACAAUCAAGCACCAAAUUUCACAAUAAACAACCACAAUGGCACAUUUACAUCAUAGACGAUUAAAUACUCUUCAUUAGGGUCACAAUACCCCCUUUAAUCUUAACCAAUUAAGGCCUCAAUAACCAACUAUAAGAAAGCCCCAAAUUAAAACCUUAAAACUGAAAUUAACCCCACAAGCGGAAAUUUUCCGUAGGAAAUCACAACUAGUUCAAAUAAACUUCACCUUACACCUAACCAAGCUAUCAUUCCAUGGCCAAACAACAAUUAUCAUAUAAAAUCAGAAAAAUCACCAAUAAAUCAAAAAUUGAUCAAACUCUAUUUAAAAUCAUGAAAUCAUCCACAAAAUAGCAUGUCUAACUUCUACAAACCACUAAUUGACCAUUAUUGAAGCAAAGAAAGAACUUCCUUAUCCAACUUACCUCAAACUCAAGAAAGCUAGCAACUUAAAGCUUCGCUUUCAAAAAUCACUCCAUCAAAAGCUUCAACCCUCCUAAGAACACACUUGUACGGAGUAGUUUGCGAUUUCACCGAUUAAAACUCAAGAUUUGAGCAACACUUGAAACUAGAAAAUGAAGAACUUUCUUGGUUUUUCUCUCAAGACAGCCGGUCAAGCAAGGAGCAAAAAUGAAGAUAUUUUGGCCAAAAACAGGAUAAGAAUGAAAGAAAAACAGUCGGUCAAACCAAGCUACCGGACCGCCACGUCACAAUCCGGCCGGAUUCAAGGCAGUGGCGGAUCAAAUUUUUUUUCAAAUCACUCAAGCAAUCCGGCCAAUAUGGCUGGAUUUCCGGCCGGAUUGGAUCCAAAACCUUUCCACCAAAAAUUUUUUCUUUCCAAGCUCAAACGUUGCGCUCAUCCGCUCUUCCAACAAAGAUAUAUAUAAUCUCACACAAUUACACUUGAUAUACACAAUCACACGUUCAUAUAUGUGCAAUGAAAAAACCCUUCUUAGAAAUGGAUAGAAAUUUUUGUUUCAUUUUCAAAUGGAAAGUGAGAUAAAACAAAACGCUGGGAAAAGGUGAAAAUUUUAGGGUUCUCACACUCUCUCCCCCUUAAGAAAUUUCGUCCUCGAAAUUUUACCUUCAGUUGUUUCAGACGAGUCCGGAACUUGUCGGUUGUCUAAAGCAUAAACCUUUGCCGGUACAUUUGUUCGAUCCCCUCUUUCUUUCACGGGUUUUGAUUUGAUUCCAUCCGGUGAUUGAGUACUACUCUCUCGUGACUAUUUUCUCGGGCAGUUACUAACCUGAUGAUCACCACUUUCACAGAUCAAACACUUCCGCCCUUUCCUCCAACAAUCACUCUCGGUGUGAUUUGCCUUUCCACAAUAUCCACAGACCAAGUAAGAAGCCACCUUUUGACUUUCUUGAGAAAUCUCCCCAUGUCCUAUUUGACUUCCUUUUGUAGACCUUUCAUCUACUGCCCCUAAUGUCCAUGGUGGGCGGGGUAAAGGGUUCACUUUUUGCAGUUUAGAAGGUGCUAUCGUUUCACUAACUUCCUUAGAUAUACUACCAGAUGCACCCCUUUUUCGGAUUUGGGAGGCUUUUACCUGUGCCUUUGCAUCUUCAAUUCUUUGAGCUUUCUCAAGAGCCUCCAUAAAGGUAUUAACUUGCACCGCUGCUAAUGCUUCAUGGAUUUCCAAAUUCAAUUCCUGUAUGAACCGUCUUACUCUUCGCCGUUCCGUGGCUACCAAUUCAGAAGCAAACUUGGAUAGUUUCGUGAAUUUCGUUUCAUAUUCGACCAUACUUUGAGUUCCUUGACGUAAUCCAAUAAACUUCUCCUCUUUCCUUUCUUGAACUAAAGGUGGGAGGUAUUUCUCGUUAAAUUCUCUUAUAAAAUUCGCCAUGUCCAUGCAGUCUGUUCUCUUUUCCACUUUGCUUUAAUAACAUUCCACCACGCACGGGCCGGUCCUUCAAAUUAAAACACCGCAAAGUUCACUUGUCUUUGUUCAGUGUAGUUCAAAGCUGUGAAAAUAUUAGUCAUGGCCUCUAACCACUGUUCAGCUAUGUCCGGAUCAGGCCCUCUAUGAAAUUUCGGAGGUACAAAUUUUUGAAACCUCUCAAGAGCCCUAUCCUCGCCUAUAUCGGGAUUUCGGGGUUGGUUUAUUGGCAUUUGACCUUGUUGAUCUACCAGUCGUGCUAAGAUAUUCGUCAUUUGUUGCAUCGCCGUCGCCAUUUGAUCUCCGGUCUCAACCCUCGGUCCAUGUUCUUGCUCGGCAGACGUUUUCCUUUCUUCUCUUGGUUCUGGGGCUCGCUUAGUUCCACGGCUACGACCACGUCCACGACUACGUCUCCCCUCCAUACUUUUUUUUUCCUCUCUCUUUUCUUUUCUUUUCCAAAAGGUAAUUUAAUAAAUAAGCGAAAUAAAUUGACUAAAAUAACAAGAUCUAGCACAACAAAUACACAAAGAGACAUAUACAUGACAUAACACACCAUAUACGCAAAGAGGCAUAUCAAGUUAGACAGGUAAUCAAAAGUAGUCAAUAUUACACACGCAGGUAUUAACAUACCACAAACAAAAGUCAUGUAGUAACAAUACAAGGGCAAAUCAAAAGAUAGGUGGUAUAUCGUCCCAGUCUCAGUUAAAAUAACCCCGUCCGGUCUCUCACGUCACUUUCUAUCCAAACUAGACGUCCGUUGACCUCUUGUAUUCAUUCUAACCAAACAAAGCCUGUUCAUGUUCCCAAAAUGCAAGUCUCAAGUACUUAGGAUCGCCUCAACUCUGGAGUACUCGGGCACGAGAAUCCGAAAUAAGAUAAUUCACAUCUCGAGUUGGGCAGUCCCAAGAGUAAACUAUCUACAAUCAAGAUUCCUGCCUGACGUACCUAUCUAUGGUUCUUAGAUACCAUGAGAAAGAUUUAAGGCCUAUAACACUUCAUGAUUCAUAGCUUAUGCUCGAACGAGCACUUAGUCCUUCAUAUUUAUUCACCACUUAGCCCAAGUUCAUUCCGUGCAGAGACCACGCAAAGCAGGCUCUGAUACCAACUGUGACAGCCCCACCUUCCCUUAAGGCGAACCAAAGGGUUCGGCGGACCACCUACCCAACUCUCGCCGGGACUCAGUCAGUCACUUCAAGAAAAGAAGAUAAAACCCACAAGAACAAUCGUAAUAACAAUUCCAAACUUAAAACGUAAACUUAUAUACAUUUCUAUCUCAAAAGGAAUACAACUCAAAACACAAAAGUUCUCAAAUCUUCAUACAUCCAACCCUUGCCAAGGACUAGGGCAAGAACCAUUACAAACAAAAAUUCAAAAGAACUAGACUACGCUAGUCUCUACAGCUCUCUCGUCCUUGCUUGCAUCCCCUGUUAAGGAAAAUAAAACUAACGGAAUGAGCUAAAAGCUCAGUGAGGUUCCAAACACAUAAUUAAACAAUAAACUCAACGCAUUAACCAUAGAUAACCAAUAAUUUAAGAAACAUUUAUAAUAUAAAGCGAUAAUAACACAUUCAUUAAAAGGAUACGUGCUCACGAGGAGCCAUUCAUUCAUUCAUUCAUUCUCCUUUCAUUUCCUUAUUCCUCCAAUCAUUUGAAAAUGCAUUUUUGAUAAGUAAAACCCCUCAUUUCCAUUGCCACUCGUUCAUUUAUUUUAUUUCACCCCCUUCCGGACGUUAGCCGGACUCCACCAGACUUCAAGGUAAUACUCGAGUAUACCAAACAGUCACCCAGAGUCACCAAAUCGCCCGACCGAGUCCGUUUCUGGCUCGAGUCGAUCGAUAACUAAAGGCAGGGCCCAGUUCAGCCAAAAGGCUUACAUUUAUGCAUAAGUAACAUUUCAAUCAUUGAAUCAUUGAAAAUUUCACAUUCAUUUAGGUCGAGUGCGAUAAAGUACACACUCGUCUAGAAAACUCGUUUUGGCAAUCAUUGAGAGCACUUAACACAUUAUCUAACACAUUAUCAAACAUCCACAACAAGCCAUAUAGUCAAUGGAAAUAUAAUAAGUAACGAACACUCACCUAUUUACGCAAAAGAAUGACCAAAGUAACCUUCUGGUAAUACCCUCAAUCACCAAAGAAACCUAGGUUUAAACAAAAGAGAAUAUUACAAUCCAUCUAGAAAAAGUUAGGUAAAUCAAAGAAAUCCAAAGUACCAAGUAUACGCAUAACUUUUGGGAUAAAAGUAUACAUUUAAACCAAGGGAUAUGGGAAACUAAAAGUUUUCCAAAUCAAGUACAAAACCAACUAGAAGGGUUUAGAAAAUUGGUAAGAAAUAAGUAAACAUUCGAAGUUCCAAACUGAAGAGGUAUCAUAUUUUAAAAUGGUUAAAAUGGUCAUGAUAUUUACCAAGCGAAAAUAUAUAAGUUCAAAUAGAAAUGUAGCUCCUCGAACACCCUUCGAGAGAGCCGAUGUAGUUCUAAUCGAAAUAAGGCCAACUCGGUACAAAAUCGCAUUCCCAAAAGUCAUUUUUACUCACUCAAUUUACAAGAAAAUAAACGGACAGCAUUUCCCCUGCACCACUUCACUUUCACCCUACAAUCAAGCACCAAAUUUCAGAAUAAACAACCACAAUGGCACAUUUACAUCAUAGACGAUUAGAUACUCUUCAUUAGGAUCACAAUACCCCCUUUAAUCUUAACCAAUUAAGGCCUCAAUAACCAAUCAUAAGAAAGUCCCAAAUUAAAACCCUAAAACUGAAAUUAACCCCACAAGCGGAAAUUUUCCGUAGGAAAUCACAACUAGUUCAAAUAAACUUCACCUUACACCUAACCAAGCUAUCAUUCCAUGGCCAAACAAUAAUUAUCAUAUAAAAUCAGAAAAAUCACCAAUAAAUCAAAAAUUGAUCAAACUCUACUUAAAAUCAUGAAAUCAUCCACAAAAUAGCAUGUCUAACUUCUACAAACCACUAAUUGAUCAUUAUUGAAGCAAGGAAAGAACUUCCUUAUCCAACUUACCUCAAACUCAAGAAAGCUAGCAACUUAAAGCUUCGCUUUCAAAAAUCACUCCAUCAAAAGCUUCAACCCUCCUAAGAACACACUUGUACGGAGUAGUUUGCGAUUUCACCAGUUAAAACUCAAGAUUUGAGCAAAACUUGAAACUAGAAAAUGAAGAACUUUCUUGGUUUUUCUCUCAAGACAGCCGGUCAAGCAAGGAGCAAAAAUGAAGAUAUUUUGGCCAAAAACAGGAUAAGAAUAAAAAAAAAAAACAGCCGGUCAAACCCGGCUGCCGGACCGCCACGUCACAAUCCGGCCAGUUUCUGGCGGGAUUCCAUGUUGGAUUCAAGGCAGUGGCGGAUCAAAUUUUUUUUCAAAUCACUCAAGCAAUUCGGCCAAGAACUGGCCGGAUUGGAUCCAAAACCUUUUCACCAAAAAUUUUUCUUUCCAAACUCAAACGUUGCGCUCAUCCGCUCUUCCAACAAAGAUAUAUAUAGAUAUAUAUAAUCUCACACAAUUACAUUAGAUAUACACAAUCACAUGUUCAUAUAUAUGCAAUGAAAACCCUCCUUAGAAAUGGAUAGAAAUUUUUGUUUCAUUUUCAAAAGGAAAGUGAGAUUAAACAAAACGCUGGGAAAAGGUGAAAAUUUUAGGGUUCUCACAAAAUCAGUUCUUAGUCGAAAUAUACAAUUUGUAGCUCUAUGAAUUAACUUUCUAAUGCCAUCAGAAUCAAGUCAUUUGGAAGUUUGAACGUUGAGAUAUGUCCAAAAUACUGAGAAUUGGUCAGAAGAUCAUCAAAGCAAAACUAUACUUCAAUAAUUUGAACUUUUGACUAUGAAAACGUGAGAACCAAACUUUAAUAUUUUCAUAAUAAUUAUAGAGCAUUCUCUUAGUUUCAAAAGGAAUCAAGAAUCAUCUCAAUCCAAUUUUUGUAGUUCAAGUUAUUGCCAAAAUACUUAAAAAAGUCAAUUUUGCCAAACCCCUUCCUCUUCGCUUUUCUUUUUCCACUGCUUUUUCGCACUACAUUUUUGGUCUGUUUUCUCCCCAAUUAAGUCCUUCACCUAUUAGAACAAUAUGAGAACAAAACUAGGUAGUUUCUAUUAAAAAUAAAGUUCAAAUAAACUAAUUAGCUAGUAACUUAUGCAUAUAAAUGCACUACAAUCUACGUCCUAUCAAAAGUACAUUCAUCAGGAAGCCAAGUAAAAAGAUUCAGGAGAAGAAGAAGCUCCCUGGGACUUGGAAACUUUGAUUGAUGAUAGUAUUAUGUUCCAAAGGAGCAAAAGCGAUUUAUCUUAGUAAAUUACGAUCUUGAAAUUUUUUAUAUUUUUCAGAGCUGCUCAUAAUUUUUUAGAACUAUUGAAUCUAUUAAAUUGCAAAUUUAUUAUUGCUAGUGCAUGUUUAACACCACAUUAGAAUAGUGAUGUAAAUCAAAUCGUGCUGAAUGAUUUUCAGCAAUCUUUUAGUGAAUUUUACCUUUUAUUUAAAAAAGAAUUAAGUUCCAAAGGAAACUGCUGGAGAAACUUUGGUGAAUUGGGAAUAGUACAAGACAUGUACUAAUAGCUUAGCUAGAAUACAAAAUCUCAUCAAAUAGUUGUAGGGAUUAAUGAGUGAACGGAUUCCUAGCCUCAAAUAAUUUAAUUGAUUAAAGACCAUAUAUUUGGCAAACAAAUUUGAUCAUCAAAAUCUAAAGUGUAAAGGGACAAAAAUAUGAUCCCCUUUAACGUAAAAUAGUGAUAAUAGUAAGCAUGACCAAUCAUCAAGCAAAAUGUAAUUGACCCUUGGACAUGGUCAGGUCAAUUGUUACUUACAGUGUGUAAUGCAAAUUGUACCUUUCAGACGACCCGCUGACUCCAACGACUCAAAAAGUCUAUUCUUGUCUAGUGCCUCAUUAACUGCUUCAUUGGAAAUCAUGGCAGCUCAAAUUGCCUGAAAUCUUUCAGCAACCUUCCUGAAAGUUCAUGGAGGAGAUUUGGCUUGAAAAAAAAAAUGUAAGAUCCAGACUGUACCUUGUAUAUAUGUAGGGCUCACACCAUAUAUAGCCCUGCAUCGUUUUUUCAUAUCAUGUGUAGGGUUUACAAAAUUUUGUUAUAUAAUUAUACGUUGUUGAAAGUGAAGCCCCGUUUGUGAAUUUUUUAGAUAUUUGUCUAAAAUUUUACUGUAGUUUACUGUGGAUAUUGUAUGAAAAAUUUUUGAAGUAUGUAAAUUUUUAGAUAUUUUAAAAUAUAUAAUUUAAAAACUUUGAGAAGUUUUUUGAAGUUACUGUAGUUAAAAUUGUUAAAAAACUUGUAGUAAACAAAUUUGACCAAAAACUUACUUGCCAAACAACCCUGAGUUACACCAUGUACAAAGUGAAUUACAUCUUGUGUAUUUUGUACAAAACCAGCCCGAACUAUUUUCCUAACAACCGUUCGGGCCCGAGUUCCUUAGAAACCAGUGCGAAGAAGACCUUUAAUAUUUCUAACCAUGCAUGUACAGAUUAUUUAGAAGCAAACUCCUCUAAACCAUCUUGAGGGUAAAGAAAUCAUGAGUUCUUUGGCAGUAGAAAAGAAUAUUUUCACUUUCAUUUGGCAUAGGUUUUUUUUCUUUUUUUUUGUUUUUCUAUGUUCUUUUUGGCUAUGACAAACAAAAUUUUGUCAUAGAAUUACAAUCAUUAACUAUUUAAGAAUAAAUUAUAUGAACAGUAUUUAUUUUUUCUUUAGACUCAUUAAGUAUUUAAGAAUAAAUUAUAUGAACAGUAUUUAUUUUUUCUUUAGACUCAUUUUUUAAAGCAAUUUUCAUUAUAUAUAAAACCUAAUUGUUUGCAUUUGUUUUGUGACAAUCAAGCUACACUUCAUAUUGCUGCUAAUCCUGUUUUUCAUGAGCGUACCAAACACAUUGAGAUUGAUUGUCACUUUGUUAGCGAACGGAUUCAGUCCAAUGAGCUUUGUACCCAUUUCAUUCGUUCAGAGUAUCAACCUGCUGACUUGUUCACCAAAGCACUUGGUUUUAAUCCUUUUCAACAAUUGUUACGCAAGCUUGGUGUUUUGUUCCUCCAUACUCUAGCUUGAGGGGGCCUGUUAGCGUACCUCACCCUUAUUCCUUAUCUUGUUAUCUCUUGUAACAACUAUACGAUUAAGAUAGAAUUAGUUUUUGUAUUCUUAUAUGAUAAAGAUAAAAUUAGUUGUAUGAUAAUGAUAGAGUUAGCGUAGUAUUCCAGUACGUACGUUAGGCUAGAAAUCUGCUAUUUAAUUUUCUAUAAAUUCUCAGUUGUACACAGCACUUAUAAAUAGAUGAAUAAAAUCACCACCUUUUGUCAUAAAUGUAGAGAUCAUACUUGUCUCACAAUAUAUUCGAGUUUUGAGACUAAUUCAUUCUUACCCAAACUCACUUGUUAUUCCUUAAUUUCCUUAAGAUAAUCGAUAUAACCAUGAAGUGGUAAAGCUAUUUUGAAAUCUACAACAUUAAAACUACACAUAAACCAAUACUAAUUACUAAUUAUACAUUAAAUACUUCCAAAUAAUACAUUUACCGGCCCGACUCCUCCUUAUUGUCAGCCUUACUUUGACUAGCCUUUAUGAGGGUAUAGCGCAUAUAUUUAAGGUUGAAAGAGAGUUAACUGUGACUAUCUCCUAAAUUCAGGAGGGCAAAGUGUUAUUAACCUUGUUAAAUAUUUUUUUUUUUUAGGUUCUCACAUUACCUGUAGGUGCUAUAUGAGUAAAUGGAUUAGAGUUUCCGGGUAUGUUUUAGAUGAAUAAAUAUCUUGGAAAACGUCUAAGGGAAACGUGUCAAUCACAAUAGACCAUUAAUAUCUUGGAAAACGUCUAAGGGAUUUAACUAUUUGAAUAGUGUCAAUGUAUAAAUAAACAGGUAAUGAUGAUGACAACUUACUGGGCCGUGAUGGGGUUGAAGUCUGCAACAAGAACACGAUAACAACGCGGCACAAUAUUCACACCACGCCGCCAACGGCCAUUGACUGUUGAUUUGUUAAAUCUGUGCUCAGUUUGUGAUGAACACAACAUCUGACCAUUCGAAGUCAAUAUUCGAUAACUGGUAUUUUGAAAUUCAUAAAACGUGUAUAGAAAAAGAAAGAAUAAAGGUGAGACAGGAAGACAAAUUGUAGGGCUUGAAUUAAAGUCAUUUUGCUUUCGUUUCAAUACCGGAAGGAGAAAUGGACUGCUUUUUAUCUGCAUUGAAAAAAAAAAGGCUAACUAUAUAUCAGGUGAAGAGAAUAUACGGGACUAAGGGUGGUCCAAAAUUAACUAUGGAAUUACUUUCAAUGUGUAGUUUAAAGAGUAGAAAGAAAGCCCUCCAGAGCCUUGUAUUCAAAUAGAGGAUCGGAUGCGGAAGAUCAAGAGCCUUAAGUUACUUUUGCACUCACAAGAAAAUUUGGUAAAAAGAAAUUAAAGAUUUUUGAUUAAUAAUGAGAGUAGUUUGAAAAAUAAAGUCCUAACAAGACCUAAUCUACUAUAUAUAUUUAUAUACUUACUCUAUUUAAUCUUACAUACUAUUCUUUGUAUUUAUUUCCUUUCCCUAACUAAUCUUGUAUUUUAAAAAAAGCUUAAAAGCUUAAAAAGAGAAGCAUCUCUUUGACUAUUUUUGGCUUUUCGAUUCUAGUAUACUCUUUCAUACAGACAAACAUACCUUUCAAACUUUUUAACAUAAUUGCUGAGGCCGGGAAAAAUAUUACUGCCAUACACAUCUCUGUCAUUUAUUACUAUUUGUACCCCACUUCUAAAUUCGCCUUUGUCUCCAUUCAUCUUCUUCUUUUCCAAUAUUUAGUCUUUACAAGAAAAACAAUUAAUUACAUAAAAAAAUACCAUUUAAUUAGUACAAAUGUCACUUUUGUAGCACAUAAGGGCAACUUGAUCAUCUUUUUGUCAAAACCAAUUUACAACACUUUUCGUGAACACCCAUGCAUUUAUUAAAAUAAUUUUUUCCACUAUAAAGGAGAACACUAGUUAUUCUAAAAAUCUAAUUUGAAUACAAGAAAAAAAUUACUAUCGUAUCCUUAUUCACUUUAUACACUUGUUGCUAAUUUGAAUACAAGCAAACCCAGGGUAAAAAUUUUUUUUUUUUUCUCUUUUAGAUGAAAGGAGAUAGCGAGUCAAAAAAUUUCUCUUUUACCUCCCACCACAUUACCAAAUCCCUAAAUCCUUAAAUAUGAAUUCUCAAAUCUUACACCUAAUUUUCCAAACUUCAAAGCUGUGAAAUCUGGAUUGGUUUGUGGUUGAGAGAUGAAGUGGGGUGGAUGCACUUACAAUGCGGCUGAACGUGAAGGUUUCGAUUGAUACUUACAAUAGGGAAACAGUAUGACGGGCAUGGGCAUACCCUAUGUUAUUGUUAAUACUUAAUAUACUUAAUUCCUAUUUUCUUUUAUACCUUUUUCUAUCUUUUCAAUUUUUCUUUUUCUUUUUCUUUCUCUUCAUCAAUUGCAUUUCGCGCGUGUGAGUGUAUGUAUAUGUAUAUGUAUCUAUAUACACAUAUAAUAAUGACAAUAAUAAUAAUAAUAAUUCCCUGUUCAAUUCCCAUUUUAGUAGGUUGUUGAAUUGACUACUUUCAUUUUUUUUUUCAUGUGGCCAUAUUUAGUUUUUUUUGAAGUUGAAUAGAUUUUGAGUAUUUUAUUUUUUUGUAACAAUCAAUUCCAUCCAUUUAUUUUCACCCACUUAUUGCCCUUUUCUUUUUCACCUACUUAACCGUCUCAACUUUCAAUCCAUUUAUUUAAUUCCUACCUUACGUACCAAAAUUUUCCAAAUUGUGCAAAAUGGAACUUGUGAGGCCUAUUCUGGUGAAAUCUACAUGGCGCUUUUCGCAUUCCAUGUAGUAAACGAUUGAACAGUAGGUGAUUAUCUUUUUUUUUUUUUUAAAUAAAUUUAGCUACAUGUAGUUAAGUUUUGUGGUGACUAUAUUCCCAUAUAUGUUAUGGAAAGCUGUAUAUUCAGUUUCCUGUUGUUUGUUUUGUGGUUCAUUUGUACAGUGCUUGAUUUAUUCAUGGUUGGUAAAUAUCUAAACAAUUGAUGCCUUUGCUAAGUUGAUGGAUUCGAAUAGCUUAUCAUGUCGUCUAUAUAAAUCUAAGAAUUUUUCUAAUGGGUGUCCCAUAAACAGUCGUUAGCAUUCACCUAAUCUACUAUAUAUAUAUAUACACACACACACAUACUAACAAUUAUUACCCUCUAUUAUAUUUAUAUACCUUUUUUCUAUUUAAUUUUACCUAUCAUUUCUUAUAUUUAUUUCCUUUACCUAAUUAAUUUUACAUUUUAAAAAAUAUGACACAUGAAAUAUAUAUUAAUGAGUGCUAUAGUAGACAAACCCUAAAUCUAAUUAUUAAAAAAAAACCCAAAGUCUAUGGAAGAUAGUUUGACUUGACCAACCCAAUCUCGAUCAAUGAUGGCUUCUAAUCUACGAGCGCAAGCAGAUCAGAUAUGUGAGCCUCACAUGAUUAUUCCGCGUAUAGGAUAGGAUGAGUCUAUUCUCAACUAAUUUUUGAAACUUGGUUCUAACUUUUGAUCUUCGAAGAGUUAAUUUUUAUGCUCUCAGCUAACUUUUGAAAACCUGAUGAUUAUUCUGUGUAUAGGAGAGAAUGGGUUUGUUUUCAAUUGAUUUUGAAAACUUGAUUUAACUUCUGAUUUUCGAAAAGCUAUUUUUUUGUUGUUUUUGGUCUAAAAAAGCUUAAAAUUUGAAGCAUCUCUUGAGCUAAUAUUGGCUUUUCGAUUCUAGCAUACUUUUUCAUACUGACAAACAUACCUUUCAAACUUUAACAUAAUUACUGAGGUUGGGAAAAAUUUUUCUGCCCACACAUCUCUGUCAUUUACUACUAUUUGUACCCCACUUCUAAAUUCGUCUUUGUCUCCAUUCAUCUUCUUCUUUUCCAAUAUUUAAUCUUUACAAGAAAAACAAUUAAUUACAUAAAAAAAUACAUUUUUGUUUGGAUAGUGUAUUAUUUGAAAUAUUAUUUGGAAUAAUUACUAUAGUACUUUUUAUGAUGUGAUGUAUGUGAAAUAAAAAGGUGAUUGAGAAUAUAAAAAAGUAGGUUGGAAAAUGUGUCUAUGAUGCAAGCAAAAUAUUAUUUGAGAUAAUUUGGGUAUCCAAACAUUUAAUUAGUACAAAUGUCACUUUUGUAGGACAUAAGGGCAAUUUGGUCAUCAUAAUGUCAAAACCAAAUUUUAACUCUUUUUGUGAACACCCAUGCAUUUAUUAAAAUAAUUUUUUUCAUCUAUAACUGAGAGCACUAGUUAUUCUUUAAAAAUCGAAUUUUCAAAAACCAAUUCUACAAAAUCAGAAUUAGUUAAAAACCUGCCUAUUUGCUUGAAUAGAUAUCCGGUUUUAAUGUAUUGGGUUCCGCGGAUAUCUGAACUAAAGAAUCUUAUAUGUUUUGCCAACUAGAUUUAAAAACAAAAUUUAUCUUGCAUUAUCAUUAAUUCACUCGAACAAGUAUCCACUGAAGAAUGAAGAAUGAUAUAGGGUUUCUCUAUGAAUUAUGCCCAUCCAUUGAUGAUAUACAAAUAUCUUCGACGAGCUUGAAUGUCUUAACAAUAUUAGAUUCCUAGGCCAAUAGAGUUACACAAGUUAGCGAAUUUUGUGAAAUAGUCACAUCUCCAUUUCCUAUAGAAUAGCCCCCUUGAUUUUGUAAAUCAGGCCAACGAUUUCUAGCAUUCUUAGUAAUAAAAAACUUCUCCCUUUAUCAAAUGCACUUGAAUAAAAACUUCGAGUCUUGGAUACACAUGCAUUCAGAUGGGGAUCCCUAUUUUCUUCUUCUACUGUAUCUUCUUUGCUUUCAUUUUCUUUACUUGUCGCACUCUCAUCUUCAUCCUUACUACUUCCUUCACUGUUCGAGUAGACUGCAUGCUUUUUUUGACACCUAAAUAACCAUCGUCACCACUAGAAACUCUUCAAAAAUUUGUUAACUUCAUUAGACUAGUUAACUCUCCAAAGGUAAAUCGCAUGUUCUCUUUUUGUGGGUAAAGAUGCGUCAGAUACUUUGUAGUUUGGGAUGGGUUUUUACUUGAUUUAUAGUGAAAGACUUGAGUGGGCGAGGGGGCAUGAAGGUGCCUAGGGAUAGGCAAUCGAAACUAGUUGGAAGAGAAAAUUGCUAUCCAAGAGGGGAUAUGUGGAUCCAAUCAACUAUCUGAAUCAUGAAACUUGUGUAAAAAUCUAAUGCUCAUAACCUUGGGAAUUCGUUUAGAGCUGUAGUGGCUUAUUAAAAAAAAUAUUUAUAUUAGUUGAGUUUUUGGUCAAAGUAUUUUUGAAUUAAUCAUAUUGUAUGGAUACAUACUUGUAUAGGAUUUUUUCUAUUUCAUAACGUACAAUUUUAAAUUUCUAAAACAUGUUUACAUCUUCAUUUAGUUGAAAAUUUAUAAUAAAUUGUAAAAGUUAAACUUUAAUUUUUUUUGAAAAAACAGUUUCUCUAUAAACAAAUUUUGAGCUUGUACUAAAGGUGUUUCAAUGGCUAAAAACUCUACUCCUAAAUUUGACUAAGGAAAAAUUGUAAUUUUAGAACUCAAUAUUUAGUACCUAUAUGGUCCUUAAAAGUGUUUUUAUCCUCUAAAAGUAUUUUUUAAUAAAGUACCACAACCCCAAAACGGAUCGAAGAUUUGGAUUUGGUGACACAUUGGAUAUCCACUAAAGUCAGAUCAAUCGGAUUGGAUUUCUCAGGUUUAUUAAUUUUUUUUAUUAUUUGACACCCCUACCUCUUUCCACCCACAGUAGAGAUUUGAGAGGUCUGAUUUUUUUUUUUUCAUUUCCCUUUUUCGGUUCUUUGGCUGGCUGGAACCAAAUGACUUCAAAUAUUGGACCUGUUUGGCCUCUCAUCUUAUGUAGAGUUGUAAACGAGUCGAAUCGAAUCGAGUAUUUUAUGUUUGAACUCUGUUUAUUAAGCGAUUCGAACAAAGUUCGUGUUCGUUCGUUAACGUUCGAACUCCAAACCUAUAUUCGUGUUCAACUCGUUAAGUAAAGUUCAUGUUCAAAUUCGAGUUCGUGUUUAGCUCGUUUAACAUAAACAAGCCGUUCGCGAACAUACUUGAAAAGUUCAAAUCCAUAUUAUUUUGAACCUUAAAUAUGCCAUACAAAUCAUUAAUCAUCCAAAAAAAUAAUUAAAACACUAAGUGACUAAAUUCUAUUAUUCAUUAACUAUAUAACUAACAUUAACAUAAAACAACAAAUAAAACAUAGCAAUUUGCCCUCUAAAUAUAAAAUUCCAGCCAUAAAAUUAACCUUAAAAUUUAUCAAAUGACAAUUAUGUCCAGGUUUCUGAACGUUCGUCAAAACUCGCGAACAUGCUUGUGUUCAUUCGAUUAUUAAUCGAACAAAAAAUUCGUUUGAACUCGAUUCGUUUUUAAGUUUCGAGUGAACCUUUCGCGAAUACAAAUGAGUCGAAACAAACCGAGCUACCGAAUAAUUCGGUUCGUUUAACAGCUCUACUCUUAUGUAAUUAUACCAAACAGUAGGCAUUCACAUACCAGAAUUUUACCACAAAUUGAUUAUCGGAAGUGUCAGCUACAACUGAGAACACUAUGCAUGCGAUAAAACACGCAUUAAAUUUCUACUAAAUUACUGUCGUAUCCUUAUUCACUUAAUAUUCUUGUUGCUAAUUUGAAUACAAGGAAACCCAGGGAAAAAAAAGGUUUCUCUUUUAGAUGAAACGAGAUAGGGAAUCAGAAAAUUUCUCUUUUACCUCCCACCAUAGUACCAAAUCCCUAAAUCCUCAAAUAUGAAUUCUCAAAUCUUACACCUAAUUCUCCAAACUCCAAAGCUGUGAAAUCUGGAUUGGUUUGUGGUUGAGAGAUGAAGUGGUGUGGAUGCACUUACAAUGUGGCUGAACGUGAAGGUGUCGGACAUUGGAACAAAAUGUUUGGAUUGAUGUUUUUCCAAAAAAAAACUUGUACUUUUUCCGUGAUUACAUUUUUCAAUCGUCAUUUUACUUCAUAUACAUUAAAUUGUUACAAUAUUUCUAAAAAAAAUUCCAGAAAAUAGCAAUCCGAACCGGAGUAAAAAUUGUGAUAUAAUACACAAAGCUAUUGUGGUAAUACGGAGGAUCCGAAAAAAUAAGUAUGGGAAAUAGUAUGACGGGCAUGUGCAUACCCUAUGUUAUUGUUAAUACUUAAUAUUCUUAAUUCCUAUUUUCUUUUAUACCUAUUUCUAUCUUUAUAAUAUUUCUUUUUCUUUCUCUUCAUCAAUUGCAUUUCAUGUGUGUGUGUAUGUAUAUGUAUCUAUAUACACAUUUAUAUAAUUAUAUAUAAUAAUAAUAAUAACCCACUGUUCAAUUCCCAUUUUAGUAGGUUGUUGAAUUGACUACUUUCAUUUUCUACUGAGUGGAAGCUCAAUAUUUUUGUCAUGCGGCCAUAUUUAGUUUUUUUGAAUUUGAAUAGAUUUUGUGUAUUUUAUUUUUUUGUAACAAUCAAUUCCAUCCAUUUAUUUUCACCCACUUAUUCCCCUUUCUUUUUCACUUUCUUAACUGUCUCAACUUUCAAUCCAUUUAUUUAAUUCUUACUUUACGUACCAAAAUUUACCAAAUUGUGCAAAAUGGCACUUGUGAGGCCUGUUCUCGUGAAAUAUAUGUGGCGCUUUUGGCAUUCCAUGUAGCAAACGAUUGAACAGUUGGUGAUUAUCUUUUUUUUUUUUCAAAUAAAUUUAGCUACAUGUAGUUAAGUUUUGUGGUGAUUAUAUUCACAUAUAUGUGGCGAAGAUAAGAGCAAGAAGAGAUGAUUUUCUCUCACAUUAUUAGAAAUCCGCCUAUUUGAUCAAUAAAUUUGAUUACCAAGAAAACCAUUUAAAUGUUGUGUUCGAUGCUAUAGUAAUUGUUAGGUAUGUCAAAAAAUAGUGUAAAUCUUAAAAUACACAUUAUGCUCCUUCAAUUUUAUAGGACAUUAUCCAAAUUUGUGAGGAGAAUCCACCCUUUGAGAAUCUUGUAUAGGAAAUGAGAUUAGUCUAGUGACAGUACUUGCCUAGGAAAUCGCAAAUAGCGUACUGUAAUCUAAGCCUGCAAUUUCUUUUCCUUUUUCUUCCCGUUUUGGAAACGUUUAACAAAUUCCAAAAGUCAAUAAUUGAACGUUGCAUUAUCAUAUUCUCAUAUUUGGAACAUAACUAACGGAGGACUUUGAAAAGUCGGUCAAAAUGGCUCUUAAAUACACAACUGCCUUAAACCAUUUGACACGUUAAUUUGAGCGGAUAUUUAGUAGUAAUAUUUAAGUUCAAAACUUGGGUAGACCUAGUGUUCAAAAACCUAAUGGUCCACAUUAUUUGUUGAAAUGAUUUGAACGAUUUGGAUUAUUGAAUUUUUGAAUACCGGAUCUAUCUAAACAUAAGCCAAUAUUUAAUCAUUGUAGUGAGCAUUUAAUGUGAUUAACAUCCUAGGUACCAUUUCCAUACAUACUUUGUUUUAUAUAUUGAAGACUUUGUAUCAUAUAAAGACGUUGAUAACUCUUUUAACAACAUGGCUAUGCUUUGGCUCCUAAGAUGCUUAUUGAUUAGUCAUUAGUGAUGUUCCCAAUAAUAGAUUCAUGUCCUAUUUAAUUUAAUUUUUUAUGUGAGAGGGACCUGACUUGAUUGCACAAGACUUUAGAAAGGAUGUGUUACACUAGUUUAAUAUAUUUUGUUCUCACAUUAAAUUUGAAUUCAACAACGUGCUAAACAGAUUGGAAGGGUUUCUUGGGUUUAAUAUGUUUUGUUGUUGUUGUGUCUUGAAUUCUUGUUUUUAAUUAUGAUUAUGAUGAACUAAAUUAUAUCAAGGGGUAGGAUUUUGUGAAGGAGUUUGAUUGUUUAUAUUAAUUAAAUGUUCAACUUUUGUCUUGAUUUAUUUAUCUUGAUUUAAUUAUAUGUUUAUAUUUGGCUACCAUAGACAUGCUUUUAGGAUUUGUAUUGAACUAAAAAAGGAUAUACAAUCAUGCACUAGAUAAAUAAGCAUACUUCUCCUAAUCACUAAAGUAGGUUAGGAUUUGUAUGAUAUAAAUAUAUCACCUAAGAUUUUAAAGGGUUUAAUUAAAUACUUUUGAUCUCAAAAUGUACGUGAGAUUUAAUUAAUCACAACUUAGAUGUAUUUAGAGAUAAUCUAAGGUACUUGCAUGGAAUACAUUCUUGGCAUGUUAAGAAAUUAACUAGAUAUUCAACUCAAACUCUAGAUUAAAAUAUGAAAUCCUAGUCUUUUGCCAAUUGUUUUCUCACCUAUAUCUUAUUUGAUUUGAGUGUUUAUUUAAUUUCUCAAGCAGUGAUUAAAAUACCCAUUGAGGUUAAUUUUUGUUAUUUUUGUUAUCGUUCUUGUGGGUUCGACCAUGGAAUAUUUCAGAUAAUUUAUUAUUACGAUCGACCCUAUGCACUUGAAACAAUUCGUUGAUCACUACCUACCCUAAAUUUGUGGAUUAAAAGAAAUUUCAUGUUACUUUUGCACUCACAAGAAAAUUUGGUAAAAAAAUCAAAGAUAUUUGAUUAAUAUUAAGAGUAAGUCCUCACAAGACCUAUUUAUACCCCCAAUGUGCCCGAAACUAAAAGGGAAACAAAAAUUGAAACUCUUGCCAGUAACAAAAUUGGUAAAUAAGUCGCAACAGCGCUUGUUUUGAGCUUUAAUAAAAGGAUUUUUUUUUAUUUAUAAAAUUUGGACAAAAUACUGGCCAAAAUAUGAGGCAUAACAUUGAAAGCUUGGCGGCAAAGUUUUAUUACCAUUAAAAGACGAAAAUUGUAGCAAUGUAGGAAUCUUAGUUGAGAAGAAGGAAAACAGAACCGGGUUUACUUUAAAAAAAUGUGUUCAGCAAGCUUUUCAGGGCUUUGUGGUAAUUCCGAAUGCCAUAAUACAUUUUGCAUAAAGUGAGUAGUUACUCAUUUUUCUUUCACAAAUUCACCCAAAUUAUAUACUUCUUAUGAAUUUCAAACCUUUCACCAUUUCCUAAAACUUCCUAUAUAUAGUUGAGCAAUUGCACCAACCUUUCGAAUAGGUGGUAGCUUCCGAAAUUUACCGGUUUCUGUAGAAUUCAUGGCCGCCAACGCUCUCACCACACUUUUCUUUCUCGUCUUACUUUCAACUUCAUCCAUCUUACCUGCGGCAUCAAGAACAGUUUCCGGGACAAGAAGUAAGUCUCGUGGUCCAAUACCUUGAAUAACCUAUGAUAACUUGGUUUAUCGUUUUAUGUGUGUUGUACUCUGGUCUCAUGCAGAUGGAUUUCGGGGUAAAGGUGCCAAUCUUCCAGAGGUAAAGAUAAGCCCAGGUGUCUAUCAUACACCACCUUCAGCAGGCACGAGUCGUCCUCCCCAGGCAGCCUAAGAUGAUUGAUAUCCCCAGUCGGACGACACUACACGAUUUGGACUGGGAUGUUACUUCCUUUUAUAGUUGUUUGUAAGCCUAGAUACGAAUGUGCAUCUCAAGUAUCAAAAUAAUCUGUUUUUAUAUGUCCUCGUUUUGCUUAUGGAAAGCUGUAUAUUCAGAUUCCUCUUGUUUGUUUUGUGGUUCAUUUGGACGGUGUCUGAACAAUCAUCCCAUGACUGAUGCAUAACAUAGCCGGUUCUAUCCAUAUAAAUUGAUGCCUUUGCUAAGUUGAUGGAUUCGAAUCGCUUAUCAUGUUGUCCAUAUAAAUUUAAGAGUUUUUUUAAUGGGUGUCCUAUAGACACUUGUUAUCAUUCACUUAUUCCAUUGUAUAUAUAUAUACUAACAAUUACAACUUUUUAUUAUGUUUAUAUACUUUCUCUAUUUAAUUUUUACCUACCAUUCUUUGUAUGUAUUUCCUUUCCUUAAUUAAUCUUGUAUUUUCAAAAAAUGACACAUGAAAUAUAUCUUAACAAGUGCUAUAGUAGACAAACCUAUGGUUAAAAACAAAGGGUUAAAAGCAAAAAAGCUCCUGUGAUAUAUCUAAUAUAUAGAAAAUCCCCCCAUGAUUUCAAAAUAUACAAAACGAUACCUCAUAUUUUGAACUAAAUUGUAAAUUAACAAAAUUCGUUAAAUUUAACUGAAUUCGGUAAAUUAACGGAAAACUUAACGGAAUCGGAUAAACUUAACGGUAAAUUUAACGGAAUCCAAUAAAUUUAACAACCGAAACCGUUAUUUUCGUUAAAUUUAACGAAUUCUAUUAGUUUACAAUUUAGUUCAAAACAUAAAAUAUCGUUUUAUAUGUUUUGAAACUAUAUGAGGGUUUUUUGUAUAUUAGGUAUAUUACAGGAGACUUUUUGUUUUUAAACCACCAAAUUAUUACCCAAAAAAAAAAAACCAAAGUCUAUGGAAGACUGUUUGACUCGACCAACCCAAUCUCGAUCAAUGAUGGCUCCUAAUCUACGGGUGCAAACAGAUCAAAUAUGUGAGCCUCGCAUGAUUAUUUCGUGUAUAGAAUAGGAUGGGCUUAUUUUCAAGUAAAAUUUGAAACUUCGUUCUAACUUUUGAUCUUCUAAAAGUUAAUUUCUAUGCUCUCUCAGCUAAAUUUUGAAAACCCGAUGAUUAUUUCGUGUAUAGAAGAGAAUGGAUAUGUUUUAAAUUGAUUUUGAAAACUUGAUUUAACUUCUGAUUUUCGAAAAGCUAUUUUUGUGCUAUCAACUGAUUUUAAAAAUUUUGAUUUUUUUUUUUGUAUAACAAAGCUUAAAAUCAGAAGCAUCUCUUGAGCUACUUUUGGCUUUUCCAUUCUAGCGUGUACUUUUGUCAUACAGACAAACAUACCUUUCAAAAAAAAAAAAACUUUAACAUAAUUCUGAGGCCAGGAAAAUUUUUACUACCAUACACAUCUUUGUCAUUUAUUACUAUUUGUACCUCAUUUCUAAAUUUGCCUUUGUCUCCAUUCAUCUUCUUCUUUUCCAAUAUUUAGUCUUUACAAGAAAAACAAUUAAUUACAUAAAAAAUACUAUUUAAUUAGCACAAAUGUCACUUUUGUACGGGCAAUUUAAUCAUCUUUUUGUCAAAAACAAUUUUCAACUCUUUUUGUGAACACCCAUGCAUUUAUUAAAAUAAUUUUUUACAAUUAUAAACGAGAACACUAGUUAUUCUAAAAAUCUAAUUUGAACACAAGCAAAAAAUUACUACGAUAUCCUUAUUCAGUUUAAUACACUUGUUGCUAAUUUGAAUACAAGCAAACCUAGGGAAAAAAAAGUUUCGCUUUUAGAUGAAACGAGAUAGGGAGUCAACAAAUUUCUCUUUUACCUCCCACCACAUUACCAAAUCCCUAAAUCCUUAAAUAUGAAUUCUCAAAUCUUACACCGAAUUUUCCAAUCUCCAAAGCCAUGAAAUCUGAAUUGGUUUGUGAUUGAGAGAUGAAGUGGGGUGGAUGCACUUACAAUGCGGCUCAACGUGUAGGUGUCGGGCAUUGGAACAAAAUGUUUGGAUUGAUUUUUUCCAAAAAAAUUUUUAUUUCAUGAUCACAUUUUUUAAUCACCAUUUUAUUUUACACACAUUAAAUUGUUACAAUAAUUUUUCUCACAAAAAUUCAAGAAAAAUAACAAUUCAAAUAGGGAGUAAAAACUGUGAUAUAAUACACAAAGCUAUCGUGGUAAUAUGGAGGAUCUGAAAAAAUAAGUAUGGGAAACAGUAUGACAGGCAUGUGCAUACCAUAUGUGUGUUUAUGUAUAUGUAUAUGUAUCUAUAAUAAUAAUAAUAAUCCACUGUUCAAUUCCCAUUUUAGUAGGUUGUUGAAUUGACUACUUUCAUUUUCUACUGAGUGGAAGCUCAAUAUUUUUGUCAUGUGGCCAUAUUUAGUUUUCUUUUUAAAAAUUUUGAAUAGAUUUUGAGUAUUUUAUUUUUUUUGUAACAAUCAAUUCCAUCCAUUUAUUUUCACCCACUUAUUCCCCUUUUCUUUUUCACUUUCUUAACUAUCUCAAUCCAUUUAAUUCUUACCUUACGUACCAAAAUUUACCAAAUUGUGCAAAAUGGCACUUGUGAGGCCUGUUCUCGUGAUAUCUACAUGGCGCUUUUGGCAUUCCACGUAGUAAACGAUUGAACAGUAGGUGAUUAUCUUUAAAAAAAAAUUAGCUACAUGUAGUUAAGUUUUGUGGUGACUAUAUUCCCAUAUAUGUGGCGAAAAUAAGAUCAAGAAGAGAUGAUUUUCUCUCACAAUAUUAGAAAUCCGCAUAUUAGCAGGCAUUACUCUAGCAUUUGAUCAAUAAAUUUGAUUAGCAAGAAAACCAUCUAAAUGUUGUGCUUGAUGCUAUAGUAAUUGUUAGGUAUGUCAAAAAAUAGUGUAAACCUUAAAAUACAUAUUAUGCUCCUUUAAUUUUAUAGGACAUUAUCUAAAUUUGUGUGGAGAAUCCAUCCUUUGAGAAUCUUGUAUAGGAAAUGAGAUUAGUCUAGUGACAGUACUUGCCUAGGAAAACAUAAGUAGCUGGUAUCCAAAUUUUCUUUCUAGUUGCUUUUUCUUCCCCAUUCUUCUCUCUUUAAACCUACACAUAAUGAUCAUUACUUUGCAAUUAUUGAGCCCUUAUAUCGUCUUGGCCUGAUAGGUAGCUUGCCGUUUUUAAUACAAGUAAAGGCAAUCCAUUUCUCCUUCCGGUGCCCACCCCUCCCCCCCCCCCCCCCCCCUUCAAAAAAAAAAAAAAAAAGCGUACUAUAAUCUAAGCCUGCAAUUUCGUUUCCAUUUUCUUCCCGUUUUGGAAACGUUUAACAAAUUCCAAAAGUCAAUAAUUGAACGUUGCAUUAUCACAUUGUCACAUUUGGAACACAACUAACCCAGGACUUUGAAAUGUCGGUCAAAAUGGCUCUUAAAUACACAACUGCCUUAAACCAUUUGACACGUUAAUUUGAGCGGAUAUUUAGGAGUAAUAUUUAAGUUCAAAACUUGGAUAGAUUUGGUGUUCAAAAACCUAAUUGUUCAUACUAUGCCACACUAUUUGGUGAAAUGGUUUGAACAAUUUGAAUGAUUGGAUUUUUGAGCAUCUGAUCUAUCUAAACUUAAGCCAAACUGGUUGGAAGGGUUUCUCGUGUUUAUUGUAAGUUAACAGGUUAAAUGAGUCGUAUCUUGUGAACACAUGGAAAAUCAAGUAUUGUUUAGUCUUUUUGACAACACAUACAAUAAUGGUACAAUAUGACACCCUAAAUUCUACUUGACUACCCUAAUUAGAUAGUGAUGCUUCACAACUCCCUAAUGCCUACCCUAAAUUCUACUUGACUUUAGAGGCAGCGACUAUUGAUUGUCAAAAGCUGCGGUCGGUUUGUAGUACAAAUGCCAUGGUGAUUGACUUCGCAAACUCUUUACUUGAUAAUUGUAUUAUUAAAAAAGAAUUCACAAAGGUUAGAAAGGAAAAAAAAAACACAUUUUUCUUGAUGAUUAAUCAUGCUUAUUUUUUUAUUACUGCUUAACAUUAAAAGGAAUUAUUUUUUGUCCUUUUAUACUUCAUUUUUUUGAUGGUCAAUUUUGUUUCUCAAAUAUGUGGUCUUCGAUCAAUCAAAUCCUUGGUGCCCUUCCUGGGUAGCUCGGCCGGUGACCACAUGCGGUAGUAUCCCGUAGGUCACCGGUUCGAGUCCCAGUAACGAAAAUGGGGUAACCCAACAACCCGAAUAAGGGUUGGGGCCUGAAGUGGGGUCAGGUCCUUUUUUUUUGACAAAAAAACAAAAAAAAAAAAAUCAAUCAAAUCCUUGGAGGACCUGAAAUGGUCCAUUUUGACCAUUCUGCCUAAUAAAUGCCUAUGGAAUUUUGGAAGGGUUUCUUGGGUCGUCUCUUGUGAACACAUGAACACUGUAGUCAUGAGACAAAUAACACGUGCUGGUUGUAUUUGGUUCAUUCUUUUUCAACUUGACUUUAUAGGCAGUGACCUUUGACUGGUGAUUGACUUUGAAAGUUUUCGUUCGAUGAUUGAAGUGUGAAUUCAUUAAAUGUGUUUAGAAAAAAAGAAUUCACAACGGGAAGGAGAAAUUGACUGCUUUUAUCUGUAUUAAAAUUGGCAAACUAUCUAUCAGGUCAAGAGUAUAUAAGGGUCCAAUUAACGGCAAAGUAUUAAGUUUCGACUUUUAUGCAUAUACAGAAAAAGAAAAAGAAUGUUCAAAAAAAUAAAAAUAAAAAUAAAAAGAAGACUUUUGAAGUCUUGUCCAUAAAGGGAGGAUCCGUCAUGCCUCAUUUUGUAGUUCAUGCAAAUAAACAAAGUAACCAAUAUGUCCAGCCUCACCUGAGCUAGACCAAAAGAAAUCAUGCUUCCAAAUUUCAUUACAGAGGUUUUCGUUUUUAUGUUUAUUUUAGUGCUACAUACACUAGCCCCAUCAUUUCCUCCCAAAGUUUGUGCAUCAGAUUUUGCUGAAGAGGCCGCUUCACUCUUCAAAUGGAAAUCCAAUUUUGCAAACAAGGAUAGUUCCCUCUUCAUUUCGUGGAAUGUACCGCCAACCAAAGCCAAGAAUUCUUCCAGCCCCUGCACUUGGGCUGGUGUUUCAUGCAAUGUUGAUGGAAGUGUCAACAGAUUGAACCUCACAAAUUCCAGUGUCAACUCUACACUCUAUGACUUCCCAUUUUCAUCCUUGCCAAAUCUUGAAUAUGUUGAUCUGUCGAUGAAUGAGCUUUUUGGCAGCAUACCAGCCCAGAUUGGCAAUCUCUCCAAGCUCAUUUAUCUCGAUUUCUCGUUCAAUCAGCUGUCACGAGAAAUCCCACCCGAAAUUGGGUUGUUACGAAAUCUUCAAGUCCUCCAUCUGAGACAAAAUCACUUGUCUGGUCCAAUUCCUGAGGAAUUAAGCCAUUUAGUCUAUCUUACUGAGGUUGAUUUGAAUACCAAUAAUAUCAAUGGCACAAUUCCAUCUUCCUUGGCAAAUUUGGUUAACUUGACAUACUUGUCUUUGUAUGGAAACCUAUUAUCUGGUUCCAUUCCUCCAGAAAUAGGAAACUUAUCCAAUCUUGUCACUGCUUUUUUGAGCUCUAACCUUCUAACAGGUUCAAUUCCACCUGAUCUAGGUAACCUCAAUAAGUUGGAGACCUUGUUCCUUUUCCAAAACAAUCUGUCCGGUUCCAUUCCAGUUGAGUUAGGGCAGUUGAAACCACUUCAAAUUUUGAGCUUGUUCGGAAAUAAUCUCAUUGGCACAAUUCCAACAUCACUGGGUAAUCUGACAAAUUUGACUGUCCUCCAUCUCUAUGAUAACCAACUCUCAGGCUCAAUUCCUGAAGAGUUGGGCAACCUAGAGCUACUUACAGAUUUGGAACUAGACAGGAAUGAACUGAGGGGUUCUAUUCCUAAAUCAUUUGGUGAUCUGAGCAACCUGGAAUCUCUGUUUCUGCGUGAAAACCAACUUUCUGGUUCCAUUCCAGAGGAGCUUGGGAAGUUGGCAAAGUUGGCUGUGAUGGAAAUGGAUACAAAUCAAUUCUCUGGUCAUCUGCCGGAACAUCUUUGCCAAAAUGGAACACUUCAAAACUUCACGGUAAGCAACAACAGGCUGACCGGUCCAAUCCCUAUAAGCUUGAAAAAUUGCUCGAGUUUAUUUAGAGCUCGAUUUCAGGGAAACCAGCUGACUGGGAACCUGUCAGAGAUGUUUGGUAUCUACCCCAACUUGAAUUUCAUGGAUCUUAGCAACAAUGAAUUCUAUGGCGGAAUUUCUGGCAACUGGGGUAGAUGCCCAAACUUGGCAGCACUUUUUCUCGCCGACAAUCACAUCACAGGUUGGAUCCCUUCAGAGCUGGGAAAUGCAUCUCAACUUCAUGUACUUGAUUUGUCUUCCAAUGACUUUACUGGGGAAAUUCCAAAGCAAGUUAUGAUGCUGGCUUCUAUGCUCAAACUAAAUCUACAAAAUAACCAACUUUUUGGCAAUAUACCUGAAGAAGUAGGUCAGCUCAAAAAUCUGCUUUAUCUUGACCUGUCAGGAAAUUUCUUGCAUGGAUCUAUCCCAGAAAAUUUUGGAGAUUUCCAGCAAUUGUUUUACCUGAAUUUGAGCAACAACAACUUGAGUCAACAGAUUCCACCUCAGAUGGGUGAGUUAACUCGACUUUCUAUCUUGGAUCUGAGUCAUAAUUACAUCACAGGAGAAAUACCAUCUGAGUUCGGAAGUUUACAGAGUCUAGAGAUAUUGGAUCUUUCCCAUAAUUACCUCUCGGGUUUCCUUCCAAAGGCUUUGGCAGAGCUGCCUGGUUCUUUGCAUAUUAACAUAUCUUUCAAUAACUUUGAGGGUCCAAUUCCUUACGGCAAAGCCUUUAAAAAUAUCACCAUAGAAGAACUGAGGGGAAACAAAGGUUUGUGUGGCAAUAUUACUGGUUUACAAGUAUGUGAAAGUCCUCGAUUGAGUAGAAAGCAUGUAAAGGGUAAGGGGUUCAAACUUGUUCUUGUAAUUGUGCUCCCUCUUCUAGGAUCACUCUUACUUCUUUGUGCAUUCUUUGGAGCUCUUAAAGUUUGUCGACAAAGAAAAAGAAAGACCACAGAGAAUGUCGAGGAUGCUGAUUUGUUUUCCAUAACCACCUAUGAUGGCAAAGCAAUGUACCGAGAAAUUAUAAAAGCAACAGAAGAGUUUAGCGAAAUAUUCUGCAUAGGGGAGGGAGGUUUUGGAAGUGUGUACAAAUCAAUUCUUCCGCCUUCUAACUUAGUAGCUGUAAAGAGACUUCAUCUGUUGCCCGAGAAGGUGUACUUCAACAGUUUCUUGAACGAGAUAAGAGCCUUGACAAACAUCAAGCAUAGAAACAUUGUGAAACUCUAUGGUUUCUGCUCAACUUCCAAACACUCCUUUUUGGUCUCCGAGUACCUUGAGCGAGGUAGCUUGGCCAAAAUUUUUAGCGCGGAUGAAGAAGCCAAGGAACUAGACUGGGAAAAGAGGGUGAACAUCAUCAAAGGCGUGGCUCAUGCCCUAUCUUACAUGCAUCAUGAUUGCACGCCUUCAAUAGUUCAUCGAGACAUAUCAAGUAACAAUGUUUUGCUUGAUUCAGAAUAUGAGGCUCGUCUUUCAGACUUCGGCACUGCUAAAUUUCUCAGGAAGGACUCAUCCAAUUGGACUACUCUUGCUGGCACACUUGGAUAUGUUGCACCAGGUAAUUCGUAGUGUUAUAAUUUCUCUCUGUUUUCAGGUAUUCAAGUGAUAACAUGAUUUUCCUUGCAGAGCUUGCCUAUACAAUGAGAGUCACUGAAAAAUGUGAUGUCUAUAGCUUUGGAAUCUUGACAUUGGAAACAAUCAAAGGGACGCACCCUGGUGACAUAGUUGCCAAUCUAAUGUCUUCAACACCUGGAAACAUAGAACUCAAGGACUUGUUGGAUCAGAGACUUCCGCAUCCCACGGAAGAAACUGAAAAGAUUCUGAUACCCACCAUCAAACUAGCAAAGGCGUGUUUACAUGUGAAUCCAGAAUCUAGGCCUACUAUGCAUAUGAUUUCUAGUUUGUUAUCUGUUGGUGCACCAUGUCGCCAACAAGCAGGUAAGUAUUAGGUAACAAAUAGCCCCAGUAAGGAUUUUCUUUUUUUUUUUGGUAACAAAUAAAUUAAGGUGUAAUUUCAUUGUGCCUUAAAUCUUGCCUCCCUUUCACUCAAUAUCUCAUGUUUAUUACUUUGUCGGUGAUGGGACGGUGAGCAAAGCAGAUGAGCACUUUAAUUGCUAGCCCAGAUGGGUGCUAUUCAAGUAUUUUUCCUAGCAGUAUAAGACGUCACGUUUACCAUUGAAAAAUCAAGUCUCUAUAAUAUACGUUUUACAUAUGCACUUUUUUCCCUAAUCACUUCAAUUCAUCACAUGAAUUGCCAAACAUAAAAGAUAUUCAACAUCUGAGAGCCAAAAUGUGCCCAAGUAAAAAUUACCUAAGCCAAGAUUCAGAACAUGUUAUUGCAAUAUUAUUCUAGUCAAACAAUUAUUCUUUGUCUAUUACUCUUGUUCUUUUUGUAAUUUAAUCCAAGGCACUAUUGUUAAUUAAAUAAAACAAAUCGGCCCAGUGAGUUAAACUAAAUCAUGAUCAACCCGGAAUCAGUGCUUCAUAGAUUUAUCCCAGAUAGACUCGGCAAUCGGCACAGAAAAGCCCAAAUUCUAACAUCAUUGUAUAAGUCGUCUUUAGAUUUAGACCCAAACAAGCAUAGAUGAACCCAAAAGAAUUCGGACCACUUCUCAAUUUGUGCGUGUGAUCCUUGCACAAGGGCCAUGCUUCAGAACAUUUUUUUGCAACAGUAUUUGAGAUAAACAAUUAUUCUUUUGUCUAUUAUUCUUUUUCUUUUUGGGGAAUUUAUCUAAAAUAGUAUUGUCAAUCAAAUUAAAAAAAAAAAAAAAAUCACCCCAUGAGUUAAACAAGGCAUCAGAUGCAUGCAUAUUUAGCCCAAAUAGAAAUGGACCCUAAUCAACAAAAAAAAAUAAAAAUAAAAAAAUGCGCAAAAUGAGUUUGUGAACUAUCUACCGGCCAUGUUUAUAUGUAGAGGAAAUAGAUUUAGACCCAAAUCAGUAUAGAAAAGCCCAAAACAAUUUGAACAACUUUUCGAUUUGUGAGGUCAUUCUUGCACUGGGCCUUGCUAAUCUUCUCUGUAUAGUGCCAAUUUCAUUGGGUGUCACUAAAGCCUGUAGGCCGAUCCAUUUUGGUGUUCGCAACUGAUGCGGUAACUGAGCAGCAAUUGGAAGGACUUUAGGCGUCAUUAUUGUCAUCAAACCUGGCCCAAAACAUUUAACAUUGAGCUGUUGAUACAUAUGCUUUUUGCCAAUUUUCCAUCCACAAAAGUAGAACUCAACUUCAUCCGAAUUUAAUCAUCAGAUCUAGUCUACUAUUAAGCUAAAAUACGAGAAGAAUUGAUCUCAAGAGAACAAUAUUGACUGGCUAAAUAAAAGUCCCUAUUUUUUUUUUAAUGAUUUUACUACUAGGAAAGGGAUAGAAUUUAAGAAGUAGGAAGAAAGAAAGGGGAUUUCAAGUCAUGAUCUCUAUCGUAUAUGUAUAUGUAUAUGUCAUGUUUGUAACUAUAAUGAAAAAAAUUCUGUAUUUUGUAAAUUUCAAGAAAUACUCAUGCUUUUUAACUAUAAUGAUAAAGUUUGUGUAUAUGUCAUGUUAUAAAUCUAACGUAUAAAGUCCAAAAGAGGAUGAAACGUAAAAAAUACUUUUAUGUCUCAUACACAAGGAUAAUAGUUAAAAUUGACAUUAAAGAAGCAUACUUUUUCAAAUUCAUACUAAAUUGGUGUCGAAUAAACGCAUACAUUUAAAAAAUUUUAUGAUAAACGCAUGUAGAAUAACUAAUAUUAUGAUGGUUCUGUAUUUUACUAACUUUGUCUCUCACAAACAAACACAAAUGUACAAACAUAUAGAUAAAUUCAAAAUACAAGGAACGCCAAGUAGAACAGAAAGUAUUGCUGCCAGUAUGUAAAUCAGAUUGCAAAAUACCACAUUAUACUUUCUGUACCUUGUUCAUUUUAAACACUUUCCCGUGUAUCUGUUCUAUGAAAAGGUCAGUUCGCCUAAAACAAGAAAAGGCACAUAAAUUUCAGGUGGCUGGGACAGUGAUUAGCUAGGCAUAUGCCUUACUUGUCUAUAGGUUGAAUAUGGAUUUGCAGAAAGUAGAUUCAUCACGAAGCCAGUGAGAAGAUUGAGAGGAGAAGAUUGAGAGGAGAAGAAGGAGCUCAUUGGGACUCAGAAACUUUAAUUGAUGAUAGUAUCAAGUUCCUAAGGAAACUGUUGGAGGACUUCUGGUGAAUUAGAAACAGUACAAGACACGUACUAAUAGCUUAGCUAGAUUCUCAUCAAAUAGUUGUAGGGACUGAUGAGUGAAUGGAUUCGUAGCCUCGAAUGAUUUAAUUGAUUAAAGACCACAUAUUUGGCAAACAAAUUUUACCAUCAAAAUCUAUAGGGACAAAAAUAUGAUUCCUUUUUAAUGUAAAGUAGUAAUAAUAGUAAGCAUGACUAAUCAUCAAGCAAAAUGUAAUUUACCCCUUGCAGAUGGUCAGGUCAAUUGCUACUUUUGUAUCUUUCAGACGACCCGCUGAGUGGAAGACUCAGAAGUCUAUUCUUGUCUGGUUUCUCUGUAACUUCUUCAUUGGAAAUUACGGUAGCUCAAAUUGACUGAAUUCUUGUAUUGUCAAAUCCAUACAACUUAGAGACAAAGGCGAAGAAGGCUUUUAAUUUCUAGCCAUAGACGUACAGAUUAUUUAAAACAAGCUCUUCUAACUUCUAAGCCAUCUUGAGGGUAAAAAAAUCAUGAGUUCUUUGGCAGUUGAAAAGAAUAUUUUCAGUUUCAUUUUGGUCCUACUUUUGUACUUGUUAUUUUCUCUUCUUCAAGAAAAUGGUGGUGCUUGUGCUUCAGCUGAUGAAGCUGCUGCACUUUUCAAUUGGAAAACCAGCUUUCAAACCCAAAACACCUCCCUGCUAACUUCAUGGAAUCUUCGGCCGAUGAAUCACAAGAAUGCUUCGGGGCUUCCACAGCAAUGCACUUGGUUUGGCAUUACAUGCAUAAAUGGAAGUACCAACAGAUUGAACCUCACAAAUGCAAGUGUUAAGGGUACACUCUACAACUUCCCAUUCUCAUCCCUCCCAAAUCUUGAAUAUCUUGAUCUAAGCUGCAAUGAACUUUUUGGAACCAUGCCCCCUCAGAUAGGUAACCUUUCCAAGCUUAUUUAUCUGAAUUUGUCAGCUAAUCAAUUUUCACAAGAAAUUCCACCUGAAAUAGGCUAUUUAACCAAUCUUCUGGUCCUCCACUUAAGGGAAAAUCAGUUAAAUGGCUCAAUUCCUGCUUCUUUGGGAAAUUUGAAAAAUCUGAGUUAUUUGUCUCUCUAUAACAAUUCACUUUCAGGUGUCAUUCCUCCUGAAAUAGGAAAUAUAUCUAAGCUACUUUAUUUAAGAAUGAGCAUCAAUAAUUUAUCAGGUCCCAUUCCCCCAGAGAUAGGGAAGUUGGCAUCCCUUCAGAGUUUGGGUUUGUCCAAAACUAACCUUACAGGUUCAAUCCCAAAAGAGUUAGGUAAUUUGACUAACUUGACUAUUCUUUAUCUCUUUGGGAAUAAACUUUCUGGUUCAAUUCCUAGGGAAUUGGGGAAUUUGAAGUCUAUUAUGACCAUGGAAUUGCAGAAAAAUCAACUUACUGGUUCAAUUCCCACUUCUUUUGGGAAUUUGAGUAAAUUGAAAACUCUGUUUCUGAACCACAAUCGACUUACUGGUUCCAUCCCACAAGAACUUGGGAAAUUGACAAAGUUGGUUGUCAUGGCAAUGGACCAUAAUCAGUUCUCUGGUCAUUUGCCACAAAAUCUCUGCCCAAAUGGAACACUUACGUACUUCGCUGUACACAACAACUUGCUUACCGGUCAGAUCCCAAGAAACUUGAAAAACUGCUCAAGUUUAGUCAGGGCUCGUUUCAGUGGGAACCAGCUCACAGGAAACUUAUCAGAAAUGUUCGGCAUAUAUCCACACUUGCACUUCAUGGAUCUUAGUAACAACAGUUUCUAUGGUGAACUUGCUAGCAGCUGGGGAAGGUGUACAAACCUGACUACUCUAUUGAUUGCCAAGAACAAAAUUACAGGUUCCAUACCACCAGAAUUUGGAAAUUUGACUCUGCUGCAUGUACUUGAUCUUUCAUCAAAUAACUUAUCUGGUGAGAUUCCAAUCGAGUUGGGAAAUUUAAUUUUUAUGCUAAAGCUCGAUUUACAUGAAAACCUGUUUCAUGGUGGUGUGCCCCAAGUAUUAGGAUUGCUGACAAAACUGCUUUACCUUGACCUGUCUAUUAACUCCUUGAAUGGUCCCUUACCAGGAAAUUUGGGAUAUUUUCAGGAAUUGUAUCUAUUGAAUUUCAGUUACAACAAUUUAAGCCAAAAGAUUCCUAUCCAGAUAGGUAGGUUAACUCAGGUUUGUUUGUUGGAUCUGAGUCAUAAUUCCUUCAGAGGAGAAAUACCGUCUGAAUUUGGAAAUUUGCAGAAUCUAGAAGCUUUGAAUCUCUCCCAUAAUAGCCUCUCAGGUUUGAUUCCCAAGAACAUUGCCCAACUGCCUGGCCUAUUGAAAAUUGAUGUAUCUUUCAACAACCUCGAGGGGCCUGUUCCAUAUGGGAAAGCUUUUCAAAAUGUCACCAUACAACAGUUGCAGGGGAACAGAGAUUUGUGUGGCAAUAUUACAGGGUUGCAACCUUGUGGAAGCUUGUCUGAAAAACCUGUCAGGAAAAAAGGCCAUAAACUAAUUCUCCUAAUUGUGCUUCCUGUUUUGGGAGCAGUGCUGCUUAGUUAUGUAGUCGCAGGAGUUAUCAUCUCAUCCGCACGUAGAAAAAGAUGCAGAAGAGCUAAAGACGGAAAUGUGAAAGAUGAUGAUCUGUUUUCCAGAUGCAUUUUUGAUGGCAAGGCAAUGUACAGAGAAAUUUUAGAAGCCACGGAAGCCUUCAAUUCAUUUUUUUGCAUUGGGGAAGGAGGUUAUGGACGUGUAUACAGGGCAGAACUUGAGUCCAAAAAGAUAGUAGCUGUAAAGAGACUUCAUCACUUGUCUGAGACAGCAGACCGUAAAGCUUUCUUGAAUGAAGUAAAUGCUUUGACAGAAAUCAAGCAUCGAAAUAUUGUGAAACUUCAUGGUUUCUGCUCAACUGCUCAACACUCCAUUUUGGUUUAUGACUACCUUGAAAGAGGAAGCUUGGCCAAAGUAUUUCACAUCGAUGAAGAAGCUAAGAAACUGGAUUGGAAAAAGAGGGUGAAUAUCAUCAAAGGCGUAGCUCAUGCGCUGUCUUACAUGCAUCACGAUUGUUCACCACCAGUAGUUCAUCGCGACAUCACAAGCAACAAUAUUUUGCUUGAUUGUGACUAUGAGGCUCAUGUUUCAGAUUUUGGCACUGCUAAGCUUCUCAAAAAAGACUCAGCGAAUUGGAGUGCUCUUGCAGGCACAUAUGGAUAUGUUGCACCAGGUAAACAAGGUUUAAUUCCUCCGCGUUUUUGGUAUUACUUCGAGUAACUAAAACCGUCAUCACAGGCCAUCAUAAAUUGAUAUUCCUUGCAGAGUUUGCCUACACAAUGAAAGUAACUGAAAAGUGUGAUGUAUAUAGCUUCGGAGUCCUGAUCAUGGAAGUGUUUAAAGGGAAACACCCUCGUGAUUUAAUCCCUCGUCUACAGUCUUCAGCACCUGGAGAUAUAGAGCUGGAAGACUUGUUGGACCAAAGACUUCAGUAUCCUGCUCAAAAGAUUCUAGAGAUUCUGAUGCCCAUCAUCAGAAUUGCUAGGUCAUGUUUACAUGUUGAUCCACAAUCCAGACCAACUAUGCACUUCAUUUCCAGAUCGUUAUCAGUUGCUACACCAUUUCCAGGUGAUCUUGGUAAAUAAACAAGGCCAUUGAAUUAAAUAAUUGACAAUUUAUAGAAUUUGGUCGAUGCUCUUUUCUUUUGGUUUUUAUAUAUCUUCCCUUCCUUCGAACUCACAAUCAAAUACUUCUUCUUUCUGCAUUAGACAAGUAAGCAGUACCUGCAAGAGAUUGAGAUGAUGAACAAUGCAGAAGAUUUGUAAGGCCUGGUAACAUAUGAUCACAUGCAUUUCCCAUGAAAUUCAGCAUACGUUUUUCAGUCAGUUUGGAGGCAUUUUUUUUAUCCUCCCUCCAUGAUCAGUACUUUACAAUUGUAAGACAGAAAUUGAGAAUGUUUUGAGUCAUUAUGGGGAGGUAUUAAGCAUUUUGCUACAGUGAUGCGCGUGUACGAGUAUCAAUCAAAGGGUGUAGUCCGCUAAAGAUUUCUGCAAGUUCAAAGGUCACAUAAUUUGUAUAUUAUGUUUUAGAAAAGAUUCGUAUCGAAUCAGUGGUUGUACAUAUGAUUUUGUUGUUAAUGUCUACUUGCAUUGUCGAGUUCAUAUCCAUCGCAGUAACAGGCAAAUGCAAUACCUGCUCCAAUAAAGAAUUACUAGCAAUUAUAUAAGGCUUAUUAAACUAGUGCAGUAUUUUUAAAUAAUUUGGUUUCGGAGACAUGAAAUAGUUGGCCCUCAUGAAGGUUUGCCAAUUAUUCUUAGUGGACCUAACCAUUCCGAUCAUCUCCUAUUCUUUUUUUUUUUUUCAAUUCCAAUAUAUUUCUUUCAUUUUAUGGCUAAAACUUUCUAGUUUUAAUUGCAAAGCCAAAUGUAGUUAUAUUCCAUAAAAGAAUACAGCUCUCAAGGGAGGGCUCUUAGAAUUCUCCUAUUAUUAGAUUAACGGUUCGAAUCUCGAGUUUGACAGUUGAAAGUGGGAAGAGCUAUGGAUGAAAGGGUGGAAGGUAAAGAAAAAAAAAGAAUAAAGCUCUUAGCGAAUUGGGAAAAGAAAUUUAGAAUAUUCAAAUUAUUUGACACUCUUCACGAGGCAUUCUAAUGGUACGUCUUUCUUUAUCCUUGUUCACAUAUCAAUGUCCCAUAUAAAUUAUUUACAAGAUUGGAAAAGUACCCAAUUGCACAAUGUGGUUCCUAUUAGUAGAAUUGGGAACUUUCGUAGAUAUUGAUACCCCUCAAAUAUAAGAAACUCCAUGGAAGAACAUUGACAAAUAAAGCAUCCAAAACCUCAAUUGAGUAAAUAUAUCAUCAACAUUAUAAUCUUAUAAUAAAAAAAUGUAAUCAGCUAAAGAUAAGAUAUGUGUAUACACGAGUUUCAAUAGUUUUAAUGAUGUUGAUGUGUUAGUUAAACAUUGUAGAAAUCUUAUAAGGACAAUUGAAUUAGCUAAGUUAUUAGCCUAAAAAAAUUCAAUUAUCUAGCUAGGUUAACUCACCAAGAUGCCAGAUUCUUUCCACCAAUUAUUACAUAGUAUGAACUUAAGACAGGGAUGGAAAGUGAAGCCAUGGUAACAUAUAGUAAUAUUACAGGACACAUUCAUUUUAAAUUUGUCAAUACUGCUUUGAUUCUUGAGACUUGCUGCUCUAAUUGCUCUGGCAUGAAAAUUCUUCAAUUCAAGACACCAAAAUAGGAGAUUCUCACUCUUAAUCCUCUAAAGCAAAGAGAAAAACAGUUUAAAAAUGAAAGGCUACAAACGAGAAUAAAUGACCAUAAAUGAUUAGUACUAUAAAGGACAUAAAAUAAUAUUUUUAUACUCUUGAUUGGUUGAAGAUCCACAAUAAAAUAAUUUCUAGUUAGAGUGUUGAGAUAGCAUAUAAUUAGUACUAUAAAGAAACAAAAUCAAAAUAGUAAUAUUUUUAUACUCUUGAUCGGUUGAAACUGCAAAAUAAAAUAAAGUCUAGUUACAGUGUUGAGAUAACAUAUUGGGUACUGCUUUGACCUUAAAAACGUGGCACCUACCGCUGCUCCUCUUACUCCUGAAGGGCUGGCCUUUUCCGGGGAAGAACUUUCCCCUAAAGGCAAUAAUCCCCCAAAGAAGUAUGUCUUGAUGGAUGGUAAUGGCAUCAAUUUUUCCACUCUCCCAUACCUGGAAGUUCCAACCAGUGACAUCGGUCUUCUUGGUUCCUCCUCUUCUUUAUUUCUAGUUGAAGAGGAAUUCAAGAAACUCCGGUCUGCUCUUAGUUCAUUUGGCUACAUUCAGGUUUAAUCCAAUUUUCAUUUCGGUCAUUUUCUUUCUUUUAAUUCGAGUAUGCAUUGAAUCUUGCAGGUUGUCACUAAAUCAAGACGUUCUCGACAUUGUUUGCAAGAAAAUGACAAUUUAACUGCCGCUUGCCUAGAUUUCACUUGCAAUUUUUGUUUAGCACCAUCAUAGGAAUAUAGCAACUCGGCUAAUGGAUAAAAUUCCUUUAAUUAUGGAUACAAAAGUAGAUGUCACUUCCCAUGCACGUCCACCAUGUCAUAGGUUUUUUUUUCUUUCGCAAAACUAAAAGUUUUGCAAGCAUCCAAUAAAAAAAAAAAUUCUCAGAACUAAUAUAAUAGAACGUUUGUAAUUUUGCUAUCAUCAAAUAUCUCUACAAGAAGUAUAAAUUGUUUAAAGUAAAGCUUGAGGACACGUGCAACAUCACAAGGGCCUAAGCGGUAUUAAUCCUUUACAAAUUUUUUUUUCUGGAUUUUACUUGCUUUGUUUUGAAUAAAAUACAACGCAAUGAUUUCUUUAGAUUUUGGUGUUAAAUCCAUAUUAAGGAUUUUUGAAAUAUGAUUUUUGGUGUUUCAGGCAGUUAAUCAUGGAAUGAGUAUAUCAUUCCUUGAUGUCGAAAAAAAAAAAAAGAAGUCCUUGAUGUCACAAGAAAAUUCUUCAAGCUUCCAUUGGACGAGAAAAAGAAAUAUUCCAGAGAAGAAAACGAGAUUGAUGGUUAUGGAAAUAAUAUAAUCUACACAGAGAAUCAAACCCUUGAUUGGAAUGACCGGCUUUUAUCUUCAUUUGCUCCCUGGGAGCAUGAGGAAGCUCGAAAAAUGGCCUCAAACUCCCAGUAAUUUUAGGUAAAUAUGCAAUAUCUUUUGCAGCAUUAAAAUUUAUAAACCUUAAGGAUCCCUUGAAUCUUGAUAGUUCACAUGAAUGUCCACGUUUCGACAAACAAUUUUACGAGGGUUCACAUGCAGCCACAUAAUUAAUAUUUUGUGUGAUAUGCAAAUAUUUGUAUCACUAUUUGUUUAAUAUCUGAGGGUGGGGGAAUUCGAAUCCUAUAUCUAUGCUAUCCAGAAAAAUAAAUAUCCUCACUAAUGCAAUUGAGAUGGCUCCAUAAUCCAUAUACAAUGGCAUCAUAAACAAAAUUUGAUAUGGGUCACUUAGUAAAGAAAAGGGUAUAUUACUGGUAAACUCCUAUGGUUUCAUCUAUUAUCACAUAAUCACUCUGACGUUUUAAAAUAUCCACUUCAACACUAUAGUUCCAUGUUAACUAUAAAUUUAAUGAAAAAUAAUCUUUGUGACGUCAUUAGUUGAAAUACUAGUAGUGCUCUUAUUAAAUGCUAAAUGAACAUCAACUUAGUCACCUAUACAAAAUCAUAGGAGGGAUAUCUGGAUAAUACAAAAACCAAAAUGGGGUAAAGUGAGAAUUUAUACAAACUAUAAGGGGGCUCAGUGGAUAUCAUAAUUUCAUCACGUGCACUUUAAGAGCGCUUGCAGUCUAAUCGCUAUAAUUGAUUUUACAUUUCAUCCAUUUUUCGCUUUACAUAAAAUCACAAGAGAAUUAUGUAACUAUUUUGAAAUUUAAGGGGAGUCAUUUGACAUUAUACAAAACUAUAGAGCAUUAUAUGUAAUUUAAUCUAAGUAAAAAGAAUAUGAUUCGUAAUGAAACGCAAUUUGGUUGGUAAGACAUUGUACCUCAUAGGUGAUGGAUUUAAGUCAUUAAUACAAUAGAUGGGGAGCUGAUCCUCAAUUAAAAAAAUAAAAAGAUAAAAAGAAUAUGACAAGGUUCUUAUCACGAAAAAGGGGAAAAAGGGAAUAUGAUAAGAUUGAAAAGAAAGAUUGGUAUAUAGAAUAAAACCCGUAAAUGAAAUUUUUCAUUAUAAGAUGUAUAGUCUCCCCUUGAUUUGCAGGGAAACCUUCCUCGAAUUUACAUCGAAACUACAGCUUAUGAAUGAAAUUAUUGUUAAAGCCAUGGCAAAGUCACUGAAAUUGGAGAAGCAUAGCUUUCUUGAUCAAUUUGGAAAGAACCCAAUUUCUCUUACGAGGUUAAAGUUUUGUCCUCCUUGUCCGUGGCUUGACUGUGUUCUUGCGGCAAAGCCACAUGGAGAUGCAUCAGGAACCACUUAUCUCUUGCAAGACAAAGAAGUGGAAGGCCUUCAAGUCCCGAAAGAUGAUCAGUGGUAUCGAGUUCCACUUACUCCGGAUGCCAUUGUCUUCAAUUGUGGUGAUCAACUUGAGGUAAUUAAAAAUUCUGAGAUAACUAUUUAGUUUACCAAUUCUAAACGAAUGAAAAGAUAUGAAUUAAGACUAGAUAAUUACCAAUUUUCUGGUCACCUAAUCAUUUGGGCCAUGUAUCAAUAUGGUCUUUCAAGAAAGUUUUUAUUUUUAAUUUUUUUUCUCUUUUGAAUUACUUUAGUUCCUUCCUCGAGCAUAAUUUGGUGCCUCAAGUUUUUCAAAACCACCAAUUGCUGAACCAUUUUGUUGAAUUAAUUAAGUUGAGAAUGCUUCACAAAUCUUGUAAUCAAUUUGGUGGCCGGAUUCUUCUCAAAGUGCCUUCAGUUGGUAGAAAUUAAUUCACGUGCUGCUAUAACAAAUCGGUUUUGCUGGAAAGAUGAGGAACCAUAACAAUGCACCUUCAGCUCAACAAGAUCUACAAUGGCAGUAAUAUUGAACUGUGUCUGUACGAACAACUCAAAGUAGAACCAUUCUUGUGUUCAUGAUUUCUCUCCAAUAUGUAUAUAUAUCAUUCUUAACUUUUAGUUGGGUUUUUUUGUCUGACACAUGCAGAUAAUGACAAAUGGGAUAUUCAAGAGCCCAAUACAUAGAGUAGUAACAAACAAGGAAAAGGAGAGGACUGUGGCUUUGUUCUUUUCUCCUGAGCUUACAAUUAAAUUUGAAUCUGAAUUUGAAUUUCAAAUUUUACAUAUAUAUCAUAGAUCCAAUUAUGAAAAUAUAUAUUAUCAAUAUAUAUAAGAUUUAAUUCAAAAUUUUCGCCGCUUCAUGUCGACGAAAUAUGCAGCAGUAUCGAAUGAUGCUGGAAUUAAAAUUCCCACGUCUACUAAUUCCAGAAAACUUAAUUCCUCUUAAUCCACACAUGAGCCAAAUGGGAAGUAUUACAUAAUUAUUGAUACUUUGUCAAAUGAGUGCAAACUUCUAUGGUUGUGAAAUUACUUUACUCCCUGCUUAAUUACAUGUCAACUCAACAUCAACCAGCCAGUAAUUGUGUCCUUCAUUAUUGAGACACAGUGAUAACCCUGCGAUCGGAAAAGAUCAUAACAGAUCCUUUUCACUAAUGCAUCAAAAUCCAUGAGAACUGAUCCAUGCAAAUUAACAUACAUGAGAGAUCUGCAUUAGAAACAAUACUUUUUUUCUUUUGGGUUAACGACAAUGCAAGAGCAUGAAUCUCUUUUGCCAAAGCAAUUUUAAUCUUAAAGUAAAAAUAAUUAAAGCCCGUCCUAGUCAAAUCCCACUGGUGUCAACAAAUUCAUCAGUGGAAGCUCAGCCGCUGAACUCAAGAUAUGUUUAUUAGGUAACAAUUGUAACUUUGCUGUUUGUAACUUGCAAUUAACUACACUUAUUCGAUUUUCUUUUUGUAAUAGAACCCCAUCACGUUUAACAUCCCAAAUGAUUCUUACGUAUUGAUAUCCAUGGGAAAAAGAGAGAUGUUUUAUGUUCCAAUGAAGAAUCGAUUGCUGCGCUGUCCCUAUUCUUUCAGAGCACCUUACUAUUCCCAAGCAAACUGUGUAGGUUUAUAAUGUUACUUUAUCUGUGUUGGUAAUUUUGGCUGUGAUGAUAGGUAAUUUAUAAAUAUUACUUUUUCAAAUUUAUUGCUGAUACUAAAUAGCAAUAAAAAAAUUAGUAUUCAUUUUUCUCCUAUAAGUGAUAUAUCAUUCUGAAAACAUGUAUUGUUAGCACAACAAAUCACACAGCGAGUGGAAGGAAUUUUGACAUAUAUAAAAAUACGUAGGAAGAGGAGAAGAAUAAACACACAAAGAAAUACUUAACUAUUUAUUAACUCAUAACUCAACAGUAACAAAUAUCAAAUCGUAAUCUUUCGCUCACGAUAACGUACAUUUCUCAAUUAUGAAACUUUCUCUCAAACCUAUUUUUAGGACUUAACUCAACUCUUCAAGUAAUAAUUUACUAGACUAAUAGUAUUUAUAGAUUCCAAAGCUUCUUAAAACAAUUACAAUCAUAAACUGAAACUUAUUUAGACAUUGACUUGAGAUUUUCUACACUAAUAUGAAAACUAAAUAAACAGGAUACCAAAACAAGAAUCUAAAAGAAUUAGAAAACUAAAUACUAAGAUAGUUUGGUUUAAUUUCCUUCAUUACCUCAUUUAAACCAAAUUCUUCAUAUGGUCACCUCCAAUGCCAUUAAGAGUUUAAAUCUCCAUAAACAAAUUUAGUCGCUGUAUAGAUGAUGUGGAACUUCAACUUGCAAUGGAUCUUUAAUUUCAUCUUCACCUGCGGUAGUGGAUGAAACUUGUAUUUUUCAAACAAUUUUUUCGCUUGAUCACUCUUGUGAAGAAAAAAUUCAAACAUUUUUACCCAUUCUUCAUCCAAUUUUCCAUAAUUUAAUUCAUCUACAUCACCAAGAAAAUUUGGAUAUUAUAAUAUCAUCACACGCAUCUUUAGAUGUCUGAGUUGCUCGCAUAAUUGAGGUGCUUUCUGUCUAAUUUUCACUUCACGUAAUAUUAUAAGAAAGUUAUGUGGAUAUUUUUAAAUAUUACGGGAGUCAUGCGGGAACAUGAAAUUAUUAGUAAUGACCCUGUUCAUUAAGAUUCUAUAGCGUAGAAGAAAGAAAAUAACACUAAGGAAAACUAUGUAGAAUCAAUUAUCCAAAGAAUCACAACAAUCACUAAAUCUAUUAGGACCAUCGAUCCCCAAACCAAUUUGUUCUUCUAUAUUUACCAACUCAUUUACAAAAGUAGUGCUUGGUAUUUCAGGCAAUUAACCAUGGAAUGAGCGCUUCAUUUCUGGAUGAAGUGCUUGAAGUCACUGGAAAACUUUUCAAACUUCCAUUGGAUGAGAAAAGGACAUAUUCCAGGGAUGAAAACGGGAUUGACGGCUAUGGGAAUGAUGUAAUCUAUUCAGAUCGUCAAACCCUUGAUUGGAAUGAUCGGCUGUAUCUUCAUGUGCUCCCGAAGAGUAUCAGAAAAUUUGAAAAAUGGCCUCGCCCUCCUCAAAAUUUAAGGUAACCUGCCACACCUACCCCCCCCCCCCCCCAAAAAAAAAAAAAUGCACUCCGCCAACUUUGACAUAAGGUUUUUACUCAUCCGUGCAGAAUAGUCAAACAAAAUAGAGAGAGUGAGUCCACUAUAAAUUUCAAAAAUUAUCAUUCGCCUCUAAAAAUGAAGAAAUUUUAGAGAAGAAAAUUCAAACGUUUGCAGAUAACUAAAUACCGCCCUAACUCUUAUUGUUUACCUGUCUUAGUGCACGGAAUAAAAAAACUCUUGACAUACUAGUGCUCUUAUACACAGGGAAUUAUUAUUGAGUAGAUGUCCUACUUUGAUUUUAACACUGAGCCACAAAAUUACGAAUUUGGCACACCAUCAACCUAUAUGCUCGAACAAUUAACGUAAUUGGACUCUAACUAAUUGCGUCGAGAACACAUAAGAAUAUGUCCUAUUUUCCAGUACACCAGUGCUAACUAGGAAAUAAGCAGGUAUGCAUACAUAUUUUCUCUGCUUAAUUGUGUUAGCAGCUUCUGAAAUUGGAUUUAUCUGGCUACAAUUAGUGAUUUCAAGGUGUUAAAUGAAAGAAAAAAAUGGGCUAACUUAUUACCUGUUAGUCUCUUAAAAGAUGGGACAAAAAUAUACAAGUUGCAAAAAAAAAAAAAAAGGUAGACGUAAAACUUUUUAGGUUAAUUUCUUGAAAAUGUAAUACUUCUUUCUUGACUUGCCAGGGAAAUCUUACUUGAAUUCACAGAAAGAUUGCGGGUGAUGAAUGAAAUCAUUGUUAAGGCCAUGGAAAAGUCACUUGACUUGGAAGAAAAUCGUUUUCUUGAUCAAUUUGGUGAAAGUCCCAUAGUCCUUGCAAGGUUUAACUUCUACCCUCCAUGUCCAUGGCCUGAUCGCAUACUUGCAGCCAAGCCGCAAGGAGAUGCGUCAGGAGCCACUUAUCUCUUGCUAGACAAAGAAGUGGAAGGCCUUCAAGUCUUGAAAGAUGAUCAGUGGUAUCUAGUUCCACUUACUCCCAACGCCAUUGCCUUUAAUGUUGGUGAUCAAGUUGAGGUACCUUUUACCAAAAGCACCGCAAUCCUAAACGGGCCUAAAUCCCGACCAUAGAGUAUUAUAUAUAUAAUAUAAUACUAUAUAUAUUGUAUACAUAGAUGUAUUAGAUACAUAAUAAUGUAUAUUGUCUAUAAUUAUACAUAUUAUAGUGUAAAAAAUUAAUAAUCUAUUCCAGUCAUCUGGUAAUAUAUAAACCUCAAACAUAAAUUAUGCAUAAGUAUGCAUAAUGAGUCGAGCAUGGGCCCACAAAAUGAGUCCAAACUCCGAAGAACGAAAGCUCAAAUGGUGUCCUUUUGGCGAGCUAAUUUUGGCUUGUCAAGAUCUAACUUAAAAAGUCCAAUUGAUUUCUCUAGUUAUAUCGAAGCAAAUGACUAAACAGCCAAAAGGAAAAAAAAAAAAGAAAAAGAAAACAGGAUGCCGUGUAUUCGAUGUAUUAUACUUAAUUUUUGGGGGACUACAAUACUUAUCAAUUGGUGAGAGGAGUAAAUUUGAAAGAAAACCUUAUCAUUUAUGAGAAUUCUUUAUAUUGUCCUGUUUUAUUUUAGUUUCUUAGAUUGAUAUCCUAAAUACUUGUAGAAUCUCUAGUUGGAGGGAGUGUUAGGUUAGAUGGUAAGAUGGGAGAUAGUAAGUAAGAAGUCCUAGACUCAAAACUUUUUAUUUAUCAAAAAAAAAAAAAAAAAAGUCGUACAAAAACUAGUAGAACUUCCAAUUCUUACGAUAUUCUAAACUAAAAUCUCAAUUUGUGGCUAAGUUUGCAUCUAAUAGCAAGGUGAUCAAAAAGGCCAUGCCAACGUAUUUACACGAGUGAACUAUGACAUUUUUUUGACUCAAAAUGCCAUAAUAUUGACUACGGUGCCAUUUUCUAGAAUAUUGGUUGGAAUCUUGAUUGCUCUUACCUUCAGCACUACAUUUUCUUGACUAUUUCUACUAAGAAUUGUGAUCAUUACACUGACUUGCCUUCAAAUUAUUCCAAUCACAAGCACUCAAAUGAGUUUUAGUGGUAUGAUCAACUAGGUGACGUUUAUAGAUGAGUGGAAUACAAAAUGAUACUCGUCAUGCUUAUGGUAUAAAUAUUACUGUAUAUUGCUUUCCUUGAAUAUCUACAUUCUUGUUUGCUAAGUUGGCUUGUACAAUUGUGCAGAUAAUGACUAACGGGAUCUAUAAGAGCCCCAUACAUAGAGUAGCAACAAACAGAACAAGAGAGAGAGAGACUCUGGCUUUGUUCUUUGCUCCUGAACCAACAAGGGAAAUCAAACCGGUUGAAGGUCUAAUCAGCAAUAAAAACCCGAGGAUGUACAAAAAUGUCACAGAUUAUUCACGAAACUAUUUUGAGUAUGUUCAGCAGGGAAGAAUGCCAAUUGAUGCAAUGAAACUUUGACACAGACAACGAGAAGAAUUUAUUUUAGUUGUCAGGUAGUUUUAGAUUCCCCUUUUAUCUUCGGUUCAAUAUGCAUUCAAUAUUCAUCAGAUAUAAUAGUUGAAAAAUGUAAUUGCCUAUACUAUUUUACUUGUCGUCGUUAUGAGAUUGAUUAUUAUUUACAGAUUAAAUUCAUCUAAGAAAAUUCAGCAGUUCCAUGCAUAUAACAUCUUUGUAUGUCAAUCAUCUGCGAAUUACUUUGAAAACAUGAUUUUCUUUUUAGUAGUGAUAUAAAGUUGAUUUUACUUUAUUAAACAAUAAGGAUGGAUUUAGUUCCUUUUUUUGCAAAAAAAUUGUAACGGGCUUAUUGCCGAGUGAAUGAAUAGUUUUUUUUUUUUUUUAAAAGAAGCAUCAUUUUAUUACAAAUAUUACUGGAAAUGGUCCAGCAAGAAUUGCUUGACAAAGUCAAGUGUAAAAUUCCACAGAAAUUCCCACGCCAACACGCCAACUGAUGAGCAAUUCUAUAAGAAUCUCUAGGAGCCUGGUGAUGUAAUGAUCAGGUUCAAAGAUUCAACGAUCGAACAUUGACUGAUACCUAAGAAAGAAUUUAACUCAUAAAACAAAGGAUUUACCCCUAUUAUAUAUGUGGGGUGCCUUAUAAAAUGACAACCAUGAAAUCCAAUGGAUCAAAAUGAAUAGCGCUUCAAAAAAAGAUUCAAGCAUUAAUACAGUGGCAAUGUCUUCGGAACCCUCACACCGCGCACAAGACCUCUUCCUCUGCUAGGAGCCUUAUGGUGAUUGUGAAAAAGAGGGUUAAAGAUCACACGUUAAUUGAUAGCUAAGAAAAAAUCUAGUUCAUAAGAUCUAAUGUUGGGUUAUGGACUCAAUAAUGAUGUAAGGAGGAGGGCCGAAGAUCUCACAUUAAUUGAUAGUAAGAAACAGUCUAAGAUCCAAAGUACAUCGAUUGAUAACUAAGGUCCUGUUUUAUAAUUCAACACUUAAAAUUAAUGAAUUCAGAUCUUAACAUGUUCAAACGUAUUUUAUAAUAAAAAAUUGAAUAUCUGAAUUAAUUAAGUAACAUUAGAUUUUUUAUGUAAAACUUGACCCAAAAAAUAAGUGAUAAACUAUUAAUUUAUCACUGAAUGUGAUAUAUACUUAAAUAUAUUAAAUUUAGUACUUGAUAAUUAAAUUAAUUUAAUGAAUUCAGACCUCAUAUUUCAAUUUUUAAUUUUUAUUUUUUAUCAAACGCACCCUAAGAAAGUGUCUAAUUUAUAAGGUAGUGGCGCGGUUCCUACGGUGAUAUAAAGAGGAUGACCAAAAAUUCUACGUCACUUGACAGUCAAGGAAGAAUUUGCCUCACACGAUAAGUAUUCACUUCUUCCAUGUGAGGGUGUGUGCGAUCCAGUGGACCAAAACUUAUUUGUAUUUUAGAGUAUUACUGUAAAUAGUAUUUUAAACAGACUUAUUUUUUCAAAAAAAAAAAAAAAAGGCCCAAAAUAGGCGACCACUUUGUAAUUGGUAGUGAAAGGCUAGAAUGAAGGCACAAACUCAAAAUCUAGUGGGCUUUUCCUCUAAGUGGGUCGACACAAUAAGAAUUUUAAAGUAGUGAUAAUUUCGGGCAUAGUCCAUGAUGGUUUAGCAAAAUGCUUGAACAAAGGAAAGAAUGAUUUGCAGUAUAUAACGCUAUUUGACUUGCACCUUUUUUUUUUUUGGUAAAAAUUUGACUUGCACGUAAAACGUUUAAAUAAAUGGGAGGGUUGGGUUGGAUUAGAGGUGUCAAAAUGGGUGACUUGGGUGGCUUUGGGUUGGAUAAAAUGGGUAAUGGGUAUAAGUGAGUCAACCCAUUUAUACCCAUUUAAUUAGAUGGGUAUAAAUGGGUAAGUCAAAAAAUGAAUGAGUAACUCAAUUACCCAUUUAUAACCCAUUUAUUUUAACUUUUUUAUAAACUCAUUUAAAUUCAUUUUUACAAACUAAAUUAUCAAUUACAUCGCUCUUUGUACCCAUCAUUGGUUUUAAAUGUUUACUUAUAAUGCUCAAUAAGCCUAAUUACUAAUUUUUUUUCCAUUUAUACUCUAUAUCACAAAAUUACAUAUUAUUUAAUAAUUGAAUGAUAAGAAUAUAAAAAAUUGAACUAAGUACUAUAAAGGUUAAUAUAAAAAUUUAAUCCAAAAAUUUUGAACCUCUAACAUUUUUUUCAUAUAUAAAAUAUAAAAUUUCAUUUUAGAAAGAUAAGAAAAGAGGCUAAAACUUAUCAUAAAUUGGUAAUGCUGAAAAAUGAAUAAGCUAACAAACUAAGAGAAAAUAAAAUAAUAAGAUCAAACGAACAAAUCAUAAUAAUAAUAAUAAUGAAACAAAAGUAGUUAAUAUCAUGACAAAAUAAAAAAUUUGAAAAAAAAAGGGGUGGGGGAAGAGAAGAGACUUGAGAGAAGAGAAUUUUAAAUAGAUUAAUUGGAUUUGAUGGGUUACCUAAUAAUGCCAAAUUAAUAAAUGGGUAUUACUGGGUAAUCCAUUUAUACCCAUAUAUAAAAAUUUAAGAUACCCACCCAUCUAUUCAUGAGCGAAUUUGGGUAAAUUUAGUUAAGUGGGUUGGUUUGCCACUUAUAGGUUGGAUGAUAAGAGAAAGGGAGUAUAACUAGAAGAUUUUAGAUUCAAAAUUUUUCACUUAUAAAAAAAGUUGUUUAAAUAAAAGAAGAGAGAGAGAGAGAGUCUUGUAACCGAAAUGUUAACAAUAUUGCUAUGCCAUUGUAAUGUUAACAAUAUUGCUAUGCCAUUGUAAUGUAUGAAAUGUUUCUUUAAUAGCUCACUCCGAUGUCUAGAAUUUAGGUAUAUUUACUCUAUAUAUUUUUUCUUAACCUAUAGUAGUAAUUUUUCAUUCUUUUGGCUAAAGUCACAAUUCAAGUUCUCAAAUAUUGGACUUUGUGUCACAAAUAAUAGUGCACUUAUUUCGCUUUUUAGCUAAACGCUUAAAGCAAAACUAAUACUGGUAUGAUUAUGGGUAUUUCCUUUUGGAGUUUGAUUCACCGAUCUAACUUUUGUUUGUAUGACGUAUUUCUCAAUGGAAAAUAGUACUGUACACACGACUCUACAUGAUAGCUACAAAGUUAAAAAUGAUUCACAAUUUUUUAUUUUGGAGAUGUCUACACUUAUCUUUAUCUUUAUCGCUGUUUUUUUAAAUAAAUUCCAUCUCAAAAUACAAUAAACUUAUAACAACCAUAUAUAUUUUAAUUUCUUUGAGACUAGAUAUAUUUGAACCACUAGUAUAUGUGGCAAAAUUUCAAUCAUCUGUGGACCGAAAAUUUCCUUCAGUUUGAUGUUCUUUUCUUGUUUGGACCUUAUUGCUGGUGAUAUAAAGGUCUGUCGCAACUAUAAAUUAAUUGAACUAUUGAAGUAUCUUAGAAAAAAGAAAUAACAACUUCCGAGUUUUGUCCGCUUCGAAGACAGUCACCGACAGGGCUUCAAAUUCUCUGUCCCCAAAGUAGUCUCUGUCCCUUAUUUGUACAACUGCCACGUAUUUCUAACCUUUUGUUAACCCAAACUUAAAUAAAUCGAUAAUAAUCGGUUUACAAGUUUACUUAAAAUCAAUUAAAAUAGAUAAAUCAAAACUUUUUUUUGUUUUCUUUUUAACAAAAAAGAGUCUCGUUGAUCAUAAACAUAGAAAUCAACUAAAAUUCUUCUUUAUUUUCUAUCCCAAAUCAUCUUUUUCUUAAACCCUUACAAGUACUUUGAUUCACUCAUUAUAUCUUUAAUCUUGUAGCAAAAACGCUCAAAGGAUCAAGUAGCAAGAUUCAAUAUCAUCUUCAUCCAGGUAAAACAAAUCAAUAGACACUACAAGAAAUAUAUUUUUCAGUGACAAAAAUUUAUGUGACAACAAAAAUCUUGUCACAGAUAACCUAAUUCAGUGACGACAUUAGGUGUCAUCACUGAUGAGUACAGCACAAGCAUAAUCAGUGACAACAUUGGAAGUUGUCAUUCUCAACUCGUCACGAAAUAGUUGGCGCGCAUCUCAUUUGAUGCCGCGGGAAAUGAUUUUAUGACAACUCAAGUAAAGUCGUCACAAAUGCUCUCUCUACAGUGACAACAUAACUUGUUGUCAUUGAAGGUCUACCCGAUUCCAAUUUUGUGACAACUUUUUGCAUCACUGUAUACUACAGUAUUUUCAUCAACUUUCACUAAUUCUACUAUGACACCCUAAUUUUAUUUUUUAGCCUCCAAUUCUUUUAUAUUAGCAAAAGCACCGAAGAUAUGACACCCUAAUUUUAUAAUUUAGCCCCUAUUCAUUACGUAUUAGCAAAAUGCAAAUGAUAUAAUAACAAACUAUUUUUAGAUAUUUGUAAUUUUUGCUAAGUUGACAUAAUAGACAUGUCUGAGCAUAAAAAUUUUUUCACAAAUUUUUUAUUAUUCCUUAUAACAACCCCCAAAAAUCAAUAACUGAAAUAAUUUGAAAAAGUGUAAUUGAAUAUAAUUUGUAGUCUAAUGUUAGCACUGUGAAAGAUUAGUAUAACGUGUAAUACAUCAUAAGUAAUAAUUAUUUUCAUAUGGAAUGGGUAUAUACGAAAUUAAAAUUAUUCAGUAAAAUAUCUGUCGUGCAAUAAGAUUGAGAGUUGUAACACAUUUAACAGAAUAUUUGAUUACAUGUUUCUUUUAAUUUAUUAUAAAAACUAAGUAAUAGACAAAGGGUAGGAUAAGCAUGAGUAAGAAGUGCUAUACUGUAUAUAAGCAAUUCUAUAGUAUUUUCAUCAAAUUUCACUAAUUCUACUAUGGCACCCUAAUUUUAUUAUUUAGCCCCCAAUUCUUUUAUAUGAGCAAAAGCACUGAAGAUAUGACACCCUAAUUUUAUAAUUUAGCCCCUAUUCAUUACGUAUUAGCAAAAUGCAAAUGAUAUAAUAACAAACUAUUUUUAGAUAUUUGUAAUUUUUGCUAAAUUGACAUAAUAGACAUGUCUGAGCAUAAAAAUUUUUUCACAAAUUUUUUAUUAUUCCUUAUAACAACCCCCAAAAAUCAAUAACUGAAAUAAUUUGAAAAAGUGUAAUUGAAUAUAAUUUGUAGUCUAAUGUUAGCACUGUGAAAGAUUAGUAUAACGUGUAAUACAUCAUAAGUAAUAAUUAUUUUCAUAUGGAAUGGGUAUAUACGAAAUUAAAAUUAUUCAGUAAAAUAUCUGUUGUGCAAUAAGAUUGAGAGUUGCCACACAAUUAACAGAAUAUUUGAUUACAUGUUUCUUUUAAUUUAUUAUAAAAACUAAGUAAUAGACAAAGAGUAGUAUAAGCAUGAGUAAGAAGUGCUAUACUGUAUAUAAGCGAUUCUAUGCAUGUUAAAUUUUUGAAACAUGUUUUAUUGUGUAAGUUUUAUUGUAAGAUAAUUUCUUAAAUAAUUUGUAUAUUGAGUUGUCCAAACCCAAAAAGAUGUAUAUAGACACAAACAAGCACACAUAUAUAUACAUGCACAAAAAAGAAACCAAUAUCAAAUAAUUUAUUUGAUAUUUAUAGAUGAGAUUAAGGAAAAAAAAAAGAGAUUAAGUAUGAAAAAAGAAACCUGAAAAAAAAAAUGGCUAAAAAAAAAGAAAAAAGAUGUAUGAAACAAAAGGCGUGAAUCCUGGAAUCUCAAAGACGUGCUUAGAUGCCAAAAAAAAAAGAGCGCCAGUCUGAAAUCUGAAAGAGGCGCGAGGCGGGUGGCUGAAAUCUCUACAAAACGACGUCGUUUUGGUUGUUCACACACAAACAAAAGUCUCGCCGCUUCUCUCUUCCAACACUUAGACAAAUUUAGGCUAGGUUUUAGAGGAGAAAAAGAGAAACAGAAGAGCAGAGAAGCGGCUAGGGUUCUUGGAAGGGAGGCCUUAAGCGUGAAAAGAAAAAAAAUAGAGUGAAGGAAGAGUGGCGGCUGACAGGAAGAUCAGGAGAGAAAGACGCGGCAACGGACAGAGGAGGAAGAACCAGGUCACCACCAGUCCGCGUCCGCUCUGCUGCUGUCUGCCAUCGCCAACACCGCGCACAACCUCCUGGGCUGCUGCCGUUCUCUGUAACACUAGAUGAACGCUCUCGGACGAAGUCAGACCUAGUCAUCUUCCAAUUCCAACUCACCGUCUUCGGCUUCGUCAUAAUCGCCGUCGCCACCGCUCAAGUAAGAGCACUAUAAGUCGCCCCUUUUUCUUUGAAUUUCAGUUCCUUCCCAAGUCCUCUAAGCAUGUCUGCCAUGGCUUCGUUUAUUGCAAUUGCCCCGUUGAUUGUUCAAAUUUUAGCAUGCGCAUGUUAUAUCAUGAUUGAAUUUCAAAUCCCUUGUACUUCUGAUGAUUUUGGGGCCAACCGUGGCUUCAUUUGAGCAAAGAAUUGCUGGAAUUUUUCAUGUUCGUUUACUGUUUGUUGAAAUGCCCAAGUGGUCUAACAGCAGAAUUGAUCCUUAGAAAUUCCUUUACUGAAGGGAAUCAAUAUGUUGGGCUAAACGUUGGCAGGUAUGGUUGGUGGUGGACAGAAGUCCUGGAAUCCCCCAGCACACCAAGCAAAUUGGCAGGUAGCAAACUUUUCAAGACUUGAAACUUGUUUUCUUUCAAGCUAAUAAUAAUUUGCCUUAAAAACUUAAUAAUUAGUUUACAAAUCCCAAAGUUCACUUGCUGUUUAACGUGAACAAAGAGUGGUAUUAGAGCUGAUCACGGGUGUUAAUAUGCAAAACCUUUGUCAGCAAUUUUAAAGUUUUCAAACCUAUAUUUGGUCAGCAAUUUUAACAUUUAGUUUCCUUUGAACAUUCACGGAGGUUCACUUUUAUUUGAUGUGACAUGAUUAAACUUUCUCUUUGAAUGGUAGGACUGAUCACAUAUUUGCUGCAUUAUUUGUGCUGCUCUUGGUUUUGUUGGUUAGUGUCUCAGAACUUUUUUGUUCAGGAUCGUCCUAAUUUGCUGCUAGUUGUAGAGUGGUACAUGGGAGGAUAAUUGUUUAGCAUGAAACAGUUAUUCCCUUGGUAUGAUGCUGGAUGCUUUCACUAGAAUCUCAUUGGGUUACAGAUUUUUCAGUUUUAAAUUUAAGUGCUUGUUUAUGCAUUUCAAUCCUUCCAGAUAUUGUCAGCUCAUGUAGCUAAAAUUAAGUCUCUGUAAAAAUUAGUUGACACUUGUACUCUUUUGAGCUAGCCAAAAUUCUACAAAAUUUGACAGUUAAUAUGCUUCCAUUAAAUUUGAUAUCCAUGUUACCCCUAGUUUCUAUAACUGCUUGGACUGUAUAUUAGUGUUAAAACAAACUUAAAAGAUUCUUAAAGCCUUCUGAAAAUGCCUAAUACGAAUGCAUUUGACCUAAUUAACGGCAUCAAAGUUGUAUUUUCCCUUUUUCCUCAUUAUGUGCCAAGUCAUUUUUUCUGACAGCUUGUGUUCCCUUCUUUUGAAACUUUUACGAGUUUGUUAUGUUGUGUCUUGAACAAUUUGCAUCUUUGACUAUUAUUUCUCAUCUAAUCAUUCAUAUUUACAAGCUUAGGCUUUUGGCAUUUUGCUUGUAGGGAGAUUGUUCAUCGCCCAUGCAAGGAGUGCCACUUGGUCAGAAUCUGAUUCCGGAUUCAGCUUAUUAUGGCAAAGGAAGUUUAUGGGAGCAGAAAUCUCUUUCUGCACUUCUUCAAUCUGCUGCAGAUCCAUUUUACAUGAGGCAUGAUGGGCAAGAAGACGAAGCUGUGGAAAGGGACGUGCAAAAACUGCGACAAAAUGUAGAAGCCGGAUAUAUGAUGAGUUACAAGGCUGAGAAUGGUAUGCCUUCUGCAGGGUCUGGAAACUGCUCUUUGGUUCUGAAGCAGCCACAUCUGAGUGGAAUCCAAGCAGAAGAAAGCUUGAAGAAAGUGGACAGCUUCUCCCGAUGGAUGGCUAAAGAAUUAGGUGAAGUUGAGGAAUUGCCUUUGCAAUCAACCAAUGGAUACUCAUGGAGUGUGAUACAGACUGAGGAUGUGGUUGGUGAUUCCUGUACUCCCACCCAGCUGCAACUGGAUGCAGACACAUUAAAUUUCUCACUCUCCCAAGAUCAACUAUUUAGCAUCACUGAUUUUUCACCAAAUUGGGCUUACUCAAGGUUGGAGACCAAGGUAUAUUUGAAGGGACUAUACCGUAAGAACAUUUUUACAAUCUUGACAAACCAGUUCUCUGGAAUUAAUGUUUCAUUCUUAGUCUAUGCCUUGAAUUUCACUUCGUUUCAAUCUCUCUACUUUUUGUAAUUUUAGCCCCUUAGACACAGAUCAAAAGGAUAUAUGGUUGCAAAGUUCAGUAAUAGAUUGAAAUAACAUGCAUGUCUUUGUAAAUGCACCUUCUGAGCUUUGUGUUCUGUUGAUCUCAUUGAUUAUGCCUAUCCAGCUGCAAAACUAAUGGAUGCACCUGGACAGAGGUUGUCCUGUUACUCCUGUACCUUACUACCAUGGAAACAUUUUUGUAUACUAAUUUACCCUGAGCUGCUGAUCAUGACACUGGCAGUCAAAGCACAUUGAGAUGUAAUAGAUGGGAUUGGUUUAGGUUCCUUUGUCCUGUCAUCUCUCAAAAUGCGUUAUAUUGCAUCUACUGCUCCAAGUGGAAGUGUAAUUUAUCUACAAAUAUUUUUAGCAUAGCUAUUUCAUCUCUUAAUUGCUAAAGACAGUCAAAGUUAUUAUAUGUGGCAUAUGUACACUUUGCUUUUCUGCACUUCAAUAUGUCUUGAAGGUAAGAGCAGUUGCCUUCUACUUGAAACAUAACUUUGUGGCUCUCAGGCGGGAGUAUGCCUCUGUGGCUUCUUGAAACAUAACUUUGCGGCUAGUUGAAAUAUUUUUCCUUUUAAAUUAAUUUGGCAAGUCUCAUUGAGGCAACAGUUAGGUUUCGUGAGUUCCCCUUUUGAGAUGGUUUUUCACUUUGGGAUGUAUUCCACUUUUUUCUUUGUCGAACUCAUCUAAAUUUUUCUGUAUCAGAAUUUUUUUUUGUGCUAAGGAAAAAGAGGCACCUGUGAUUGUGUGUGUGUGUGUGUGUUUUUUUUUCUUGAUAUACUGUGUGGUUCACGAUCAUCUAGGCUCUCAAUGAUUUUAGGAUUUUAUUGUUGUUAUUGUUAUUGUUAUUGCAUAUAUAUUUGUGAACAUGCAGAUAUUUAUUGUGUUUGUAUUGUUAUUCUAUAUUUCACAGAAUAUACAUUCAUUGUCUUAUUUGCUAUAAUUUCACUUUAUUUUUGUGUUAAGCAAUUUACUUAGAUUGCUAUAAUUUCAAAUUAGAGUGACAUUAGUUUUUAUAAUAUGGUGCCUAUCUAGAAGUGUAGUUCCAGUUUUAACACCUGUGCUCAUUGCUUCAAUUUUGGUAACGUGUAGGUUCUAACACGAUUCCCAAGAAGAAGAAGCCAGUCAUUGCUGUGAAGAUGGUUUUUGAUUUGAAGACUACAAGGCCUAUCGUGCUCAUGUUUUGUUCUAGAUGGGAAUCGUGCUCAUAUUUUUGUAUAGAACUUGACUACUCUCUAUUGUGGAUGGGAAAUCACUAGUAUUAUAACUGAAUGGCUUAUUUUGGAUGGUGCAUGCUUUAUGACUCAUUUAUAUAUAUAUAUAUAUAUAUAUAUAUAUAUGUAUGUAUUUGGGUUGAUCUUCUAUUGGAAAUGAAUGUUGGCUUUCUUUUCGUAUGUUGGCUUUUUUUUUUCUCAUUGCUACUCAAUGAACGUUUUGUGAUUGUUGGCAGCUAUGUUGCGUAAUUAACAUUAGAUUAUUGCUUUUUACAAAAAAAAUAAAUGACAAUAAAAAAGUUGUCACUGCCAACAAGUUUCACUAGUGACACCAGAAAGUGGUCACUUUUUAUGGAUGGAAAACAAUGACAAUAAAAGUCGUCACUGAACGGAAGCAUAAUGUGACAACUCCAAGGGUUGAUUAUGACAAGAAUUUAGCCAGCUUAGUGACAAUAAAAGUCGUCACAUAAUGUACAAUAAUGAGUGACGACAAGAGUCAUCACAAAAGCGAAAUCGUUUGUGACGACUUUCAACAGUCGUCACAUGGACCCCCUUUUGUGACAUAGAACUAGUGACAGCAGUAAAAGUCGUCACUGAUUUUUUUUGUGACGACUUCUGAAUUUUUAGUGACGACUUUCGCCUGUCACAGAAACUUAAUUUUCUUGUAGUGAGAGGAUUUGAAGCCGAUUGAUUAGGUAAAGCUAUCAAAUUAAAGAAUCUUUAAUUCAUCUGGUCACCGAAUUUACCUAAAAUAUAGGAAUAAAUGGAUAAGUAGUGAUAGAAAUGAAAAAGUUACUGGCAAAAAGUUAUGUGUAACUUUCAAAAUUAGAUUAUCUGUAGCAUUUUAUUUUCUAUUAUUGGGAAUUCAAAAUCACUAAAUGCCAAAAUUUCUGUAGCAUUUUAUAUAUAUGUACAUGUAAGUGCCAAAAUUUCAAUAGAGGGCAUGUAGCCCAAAACUUUUUCUGGAAUUGUAGCUGAAAAUUGAGGUCGGUCAUAAGUGCAGGAAAUAAAUUGAGGUAUAUUAGCAAAAAGAAUUAGCCAAGUACGAGCAAGCUUUGUCCUCUUUACAGAAUGUCAACCGGUAAUUUAACUGGUAGCUUUGUUUUAUUGAAGCAGAUCUACCUUUCUGUUUAUAUUAAUAUCUAUCAAGUUCACAAAAAAUAUUUCACCCUCAAAUUAUUUUGUUUCUAUAUUCUUGAUUAGGUGAGAAAAGGUGAAGCUACCGAACCAAAGAAUCUUUAAAACAACUCAUCACUGAAAUUCAUUAAGAUGUGGCUUGUCUGUUUAUUCGAGUCAAUCAAGAAACUUGCAAAGAAACCAUGGCUGAUGCACUAAAACCUGAUGAAUUGGCCAUCAAUUCCAAUAGUUUCGCACAAAAACCUACCAUAAAAGGCGUUGAAAGCAUCGAUCAUGCCACCCUUCGACUUUUGGAGAUUCCAGCCAUCAAUAUUGGCCUUCUUAAUUCUUCUCUUUCACCUGAAGUGGGGGUGGAACUAAGGAAACUGCGCUCAGCUCUGAGUUCAUCUGGUUACUUUCAGGUUUGUUCCAGCACCAGUCUAACCCUCUAGAUUAGUUCUAAGCACAUCAUGUUUUCUUAUAAGUUGUAUUCCUAGUUUCCUUUUUUUUUUUUUUGGGUAUGGUAACUCCACAGGAUUGGAGUCAGAACAAUUGUUAGGGUAAUUAUUCAAGGUGGAGAUUCCACCAUUUAAAAGAUGAAGGUGGAGAUUAAAGCUUACAGAGAAUUUGUAAUGUCUAGUAGGUCCUGUGGAUAAACACUACAAACUACCAUUUAUAGUUUUAGUUUCUACAAUCUAUAUCUAUAUCUAUAUGUAUUGCAGAAUGGGUUUUUAGCAGAGACCCGCUCAAUGGCUUCCAAACUUCUCAUUCUUUUUUCUAAAUUUUUGUAUUUAUUUUAAUACAUAAAAAGUAGUGGGUUAUAACCAACCCUAUUACUAAUCAAAUUUAAAAUUUAAAACAUUCCCACUAUCUAUUUCAUAAACCGUUUAUAAUUUGUUAUUUAUACAUUAAAUCUUUUUUACUCCUUAAUUAAAGACAAAUGCUCAUUCGUAUGCUAUUUUAAUAUAAUGUUACAUUUUUAUAAUUAAGAAAUAUUUAUCACCAAACUAACCGUAUAACCACCCCUACAAAUGAGCUUUGCAAAUUACAAUCACGUUUCAAAAAAAUCACAAAUGUGCAACUAAAUGUAAAGUUGAGGGGGUAAAGUGCCGCUAAAUGUAAAGUUAAGGGGCUUACUAUAUUUAACCCUAAAAAAAAUCCCAAAAACGGAACAAGUAGUGGGUUAUAGAUUUUUGUAUUUAUUUUAAUACAUAAAAAGUAAGGGAUUUUUAGCAGAGACCCUCUCAAUGGCUUCCAAACUUCUCAUUCUUUUUUCUAGAUUUUUGUAUUUAUUUUAAUAUAUAAAAAGUAGUGGUUAUAACCAACCCUAUCACUAAUCAAAUUUAAAAUUUAAAACAUUCCCACCAUCUAUUUGAUAAACCGUUUAUAUUUUGAUAUUUAUACUUUAAAUCCUUUUUACUCCUUAAUUAAAGACAAAUGCUCAUUCGUAUGCUAUUUUAAUACGCCCCAGAAGACUUGGAAGAAGAAGGAUGACCACUAUGGUACACAUUCACAUACCAGAGGAAAUUAUUGUUGAGAUACGCUCUAGAUUACCGGUGAAAUCGAUUUUGAAAUUCAAGUUAGUUUGCAAGUUAUGGAACUCUUUGCUAUCCGAUCCUUGAUUCAGUUUGGCAACUAAAGGUAGAGAACACGCGAUCUUCUGGUGUUGUGGCAAAAGAUGUUUUAGUUCUUUAGACGAUCAGUAUGCAAUCCAAGAGAUUCUUAGGCAAUGUUGGUAUCGACCUUAUUUAGAUUUUCUAGGAUCUUGUAACGGUUGGUGCUCUUCAGUACUUAUGGUACUUAUAAUACCAGAUAUGACUACUAUAAUUAUUGUUACUUCUACCUUUUGAACCCAUCAACAAGAUCUUUUAGAGGUUUGAUCAACUUUAGCAGGAGGAUAUUGUAUGGUGAAAACCGUAUAACUGAUUCUCCAGUGGCCUAUGGAUUUUGCUUCGACAAGUUGUCAGAUGAUUACAAAGCAAUAGGAUCAAUUAUUAUACCCAAAAUAGAUCAAUUAUUCAAGAAGAUUCGACAAAGUAAUACUCUGAAAGGCAAAUUUGCAAGUUGUGUACUCUGAAAUAUGCUUGCAUCUCUCAGUACUGUUUUUUCUUUUACUUCUUCUUUUUUUUAACUCGUUUUGGUCGGUUCAUUUCCUUCAGGUAUUACUUUUUUGUGGUGCAAGAUUGAUUGAUUUAAUAACAUAAUUUGCGUGAUUGGAAAACAAUUUGCAAGCAACGGCUAAUGAACUUAAGAUCCUUAUUUAAGCUUUUUGAAAGGGAAAUAACUGAUGGCACAAGGGCUGAGGUCCACGAGCAGAAUUUUAUUCUUCAGGGACCGUUUGCAUAACCAGAGAUGACAAAGCAUGCUAGGACACGACAAGCUUGAUUGUUAGGAAAAUAUUAAAUGCAACUAGGACUGUAAUCCCAAAAUAAUUGUUCGUGAAAACAAUAUCGGCUGGGAAGGAUGUUAAGCAGAAAAGAUGACUCUUCUUGAGGACGUUGAAGGACUCCUCAACAUUUCAACAUUGCCAUCAGCAGCCAUGUCCCGAUUCAGGAAUUUUGACCCGAUAUCUUUCGAAAAUGUUGUCAAGCUGAGGAAGUAACCUUAUUUGCAUAGGAUAUAUAAAGAGUUAUACCAUCCAUGAUGGUCUUUCUACUUUUUCUCACUAUUGUUUGGGCAACUUUAGGUACGAAAAUGAAAUCAAGAAAACAAGAACUUUAAUCAUCAUUGAAGGACUCGUUGAACAAAGAAAAUGUUCCACUAAGAGAAAUAAGAGGACAACAAGAAAUUGUGUGAUUGUGCUGUUGAUCAAUGCAUAAGUACUGUUGGAUUUUUAGGCUCUAUAAUACAAAGGAUUUGGAAGUUUAAAUGUUCUAUUUGCACUUGGAAGCCCCUCAAUGCUGCUCCAUUGGUCACCAAGAAUGCCCCAAAUGCGAUAUCCCUUGCUGAUCAAUUGUUUCCUUACAUCAGAUUUGAAUCCCUGGAUGUCCUUGCAUGCAUCAUCAGCUCCCCUGCAACAAUAGAGCAACUGAUCAAUGAGAAUAAUCUCAAAAGAUAGGCAGGCACCAUUUAGACGAGAUGCGCAGAAUCAUGUUUUAAAAGGAUGCAUAUUGUGCUAGCAAAAGAUAUCUUAUCCAAACCUUAAUAAGAGACUAUUCCAGCCAAAGAAGCCCUCAUUGACAAGGUUGUCGACUGUGGCAGAUCUGAGAUGCUCCAUCCUUGAAGAAACCAAAAUGAUCCGAACUCCUCGUGAUUUAAGCUCAUUGAAAAGCUUCAGAGAGUGCUGAAGAGCUGGUGCUUUGCCCUUGGUCAUCCACUCUUCCAAAGAGGUCAAGUUCAACUUCUUUCCCCUAUUAAAAACAACGAUAGGAAUCAGGCUUGAAGUGAAUGAAUAAUAGAAUCUUAUAGCUGAAAUAACUUACCCAAAACCAUUUUUCUUGUAGUAAGGGACAGUGGACAAAAGAGUAUCAUCAAUGUCAAAGAUCCAAGCAUCUGUGCCAUCUUUCUUGAGAUUGCAGCUGGUGCUGAGAUAGACAAUGGAUUCAUGAAUAGUCCUCUCAGAAUCCACCUUGUAUUGAGUUGAUGUCAUGUAUUUGCCCAUGUAUGAAACACAUUCAUCAGGCACAACAUCAAAAUCCCUGAUGUUAUGGAGCUCAACAUUCAUCCUCCAAGCCUCACAGUAGUUCUUCAAGGUGAUUUGAAGUCCAUCUUUCCCUUUCUCCUUGAGAAUGUUGCAAUCUGCUGCAGCUGAGCCUAGCAGGAAGCAAAAGAUAGCUAACAAAAUGCCAACACUUCUUGCCAUCAAUUUCCUCACAAAGGGUAGUCGGCAAUCUACAACGGGCAUCGAUGGCUGUCUAAUUUGUCCGGUUUAAGUAGCUACUAUAUGUGGAACUGGUCAGCAAUUUACACUAGGAGGUGCAAAGCACAUGGAGCUUCUUGUCCAUUUUCAGCUUCACAUGGCAAACAGGACACCUAAUGUAUUAAAUAAGGGAUUACUCUAUCCCAAUUAAUCCAUAAGAUAAUGCCCAAAAGUUCUCCAAUCUGCAACAAAUAUGCUAAAGAUUGUCAAAUGGUAAAUAACUUAAUUAGAAUCUAUAAAACUGUCACUACGCUAGGAGGCUUAGCAUGUUUCAGAUAUUUGAGUUUACACUAGCAUUGUCAAUGUCAAGUGCGUUGGUCUUCAUUUUUGGAAAGUUCCUCAAGUCUUCCACAUUAGGACCGAGUUAUAAAAGUCUUCCUCAAGUCUUUCUUAAAACGUCAUAAAAGCAUAUCACAUCGACUGACUUUUAUUUAGGAGCCGCUGACUUUAGUUUGUCAACGUAUUGGAUGCCCAUACAAAAAAUGAUCUGUUUGUUUGUCAACGUAUUACUACCAUUUAUUGAUCAGAAUUGUCUGCAGCAGCAGCUGCAUCCUUGCUGGAGGAACAUUAAUAGAUUUUUCUUUAUUAUCCCGAGGAACUUUAAAAUAUUAAAUCGAUUAUUUGGACGUGAUCAAUCUGACCAAUCUCAAUAGUCUAAAUCGACUACUGGUGCAACCACAACCGGCUAAUAAAAUUUCGUUGUUUAACCAGCUAAGAGAAAUUCCUUCAGCAACCAAAUUUUUCUGGGUUGCCAAAAUGUGUUGCAGGGUUAGCCGGCAAGACAGUAGCUAAUGCCAUAUGUGCAAUUAUUUCUAUGUAAAUUGAAUUUUGCGACAGCAUCAAAUUUUCUCACUUUUCCAUCAGCCAUUUCCACAGCUAUGCUUUAAGUUUAACUCAAUCGUGGAUGGAUGAACAGAAAUAGCAAUUGGAAGCGCAUUCAACAACAAAAGUGUAGCACUUGGAUACAUCAAUAUGCAACAUAUAAGUUAUUUCUUCUCUCACUAUAUAAACUUGCUGCCUAGCCUACACUAUUUUUAGGGAUAACAUGCAGACUGUUCUUCUGGACCAAAAAAAACCACUCUCCCCGUUGAAUUACUAUUUUUAAAAGUUUUUAUAGAAAAAAUAUAUAUUGUAAUAAUUUGAUGCACGCGAGGUUAAAAAAAAUAAUAAAAAAAUAUGUUCAUAAAAACGUUAAAAUUUAUUCACAAAAAAUCACAAUCCAAACAAGGAAAAUGCAAUUCUAAUUCUGCCCCCAAAGAAUGAUGGUCAAGAUAAAUGGUACCAUUAUGAGUAAUUCUCAAAGAAUAUUCCGGGUGCAAAUGGCAAAACAGUAAGAGACACUCACUAUUAUUACCAAUUUCAGAUUCAACCCUAUGCUUACUCGCAAGUAAUAACUAGAAGACGAGAAAAGUCAGCUGAACUGCCUGCAGUUCUUUAAGAGAGACAAUUUUACAAGCAAAAUGUGCAUGUCAAACUCUUUAAUGGAAUCAAUACGAUUUCUGAUUAUUAACUCAACAAGCCUGCCUUGUGCAUGGGCAACAGGGAAAAAAAAAAUUUCACCACCACCCAAAAUUUUCUACAUUUGAGCUGAUCCUAAGAUCUUUGUCGUAUGAGAUCUCCAAUUAGUGAAAUGUUGGAAACUUUUCAAAAUUUGUAUGAUGUACAUACAUGUAAUUAAUAUAUAUUCAUUUUUGUUUUUGAUACAUGUAUAGUAUUGUGAAUGUUUCUAAAAUGUACAUUUAUUUAUGAAUGUGUUCAUGUAUAUGAGAAUCCUUGAAUGAAAGGAUAGAUUCAUGUUUUGAUCUUAAGAUCAUGAGAUGCAUGAAUUAAAGUGCAUGAAUUUGUACACAAUACUUUGAAUCUAUUCAUACAAGUAUUUAAUGAGUUCUUUUGUUUCUCAAACAAUCUUUCUAUAUAAAGAGAUCAAGUAGAGAGUGGUCUGCUGCAGAAAAUCACUUUCCUACUACUGUAUACUCUCUCAAAAGCACUCCCUAGUUCACAAAGGGCUUGUUUUGUUUUGUGUAAGAGUUUAAGACAAACAAACUUCAUCUUAUCCUAAAGGAUAUUUAUCCAAGAUUAUUGCACGUUAUACCGGACAAAUAUAGCCUAAAAGGAAAGUGAUAUCUGUCACAAUUGGAAGCCAAUUCUUGUCACAAUAUUUGCCAGUUAUUUGCAAUUUUCCCAACAAUCUUUAGGCUUUAUUUCAUACUCUACAAUAGCUGGUACCCUGAAAGAGUUGGCAUCCAACAUUGUCAAGCUUGAGAGGUUUGACGGAGGAAAUUUCAUUCGUUGGCAAAAACGUGUUCGUUUUCCUUUUCACUGCACUCAAAGUGAUCUAUGUUUUGACCACACCAAAAUCAUUGAUCAAUCCCGAGGAAGAAACUCUUGAAGACAUCAGAAAAUGUCAGAAAUGGGAGAACGACGAUGAAAUAUGCCGUGGUCACAUUCUCAAUACCAUGAGUGACAGCCUGUUUGAUGUCUACCGUUCAAUUACUACCGCCAAGGGACUUUGGGAUCGUUUGGAGUCCAAGUACAUGCAAGAAGAUGCUACAAGUAAGAAGUUUCUUGUCUCAUCUUUUAAUAAUUAUAAAAUGAUAGAUAGUAGGUCUGUUAUGAAGCAAUUUAGUGAGAUUGAAAGGCUUCUUAAUUACUUCACACACCACAAUCUACACAUGGAUGAAGCCAUUAUUGUUUGCUCUAUAAUAAAUAAGUUACCAUCUUCUUGGAAAGAUUUCAGGAGAGACUGUAAACAUAAGAAAGAUGAUAUCUCUCUUAAAAUUCUUGCUAAAUCUCUUCGAGUAAAAGAGAAAAUUCGCAUGCAAGAAAAAAAGGAUACUCAAAUCUUUGAAAAGAACAAAGAUUCUACUUCAAAAGUGCAUGUGAUUGAAGAGAGACAAACUGAAAAGUCUCAAGGAAGCAAGAAGGGCCAACAACCCAAGAACCAAUCCAAGAAAAAGAAGAAGGGACAAUGCUUCUAUUGCAAGAAAGAGGGACAUUACAAAUUCGAGUGCAAGAUUCUUCAAAAUAAGAAAAAGAAGCAAGAGUCUUCUCAAAAUACAAGCAAAAAUCUUGUGGCAAUGAUCUCUGAAAUCAAUAUGAUUAAAAAUGAUUUUGCUUGGUGGGUUGAUUCUGGAACUACGUGACACGUGUGCAACAAUAGAACGUUCUUCAAGUCCAUGAAAUCGGUGGAUGAAAGCACCGUUGUUUAGAUGGAAAAUUCUACUACAAUUCCGGUUCAAGGUGCGAUAGCCCCACCUCCUCUUAAGGCGAACCAAAGGAUUCGGUGGACCGCCUGCCCAACUUUCGCCAGAACUACGAAACCAAAUCACACAAACCCUACAUAACGCGCGAUAGAACCCAAAGAAAACGAACAAUUGGAAACCACCAAACCAAAAUAUAACUUACCAAACCAUACGGUGCAAUGGGACUUCGGUUAAUCACUUCAACGACCACGAACAAUGAAGAACGAAAACGAAAACAAAAAUGAACAGUAGCUGACACGUCACAAUCCGGCAGGAUUCAAGGCAGUAGCGAAACCAAUUUUUUUUCCAAAUCUCCUGUCAAUCCGGCCAUGUAUCCGGCCAAUAACUGGCCAGAUAUACGGACGGAUUCUGUGAACAGUUCCCCGCCAAAAUUUUUCUUUUCUAGAUCAAUUCCCACACUUGCUUGAAUCCCCACAGAUACAAGUAAAGUUCAUAUAAACCCAUAGAGUGUACAUUCACCAACAAAUACAUGAAGAAAACAUGAAUAAACACUUAUAUAUAUAUAUAUAUAUAUAUAUAUAUAUAUAUAUAUAUAUAUAUAUAUAUGUUGAACUUUACAAGUCAAAGUGUGAUACUUGAUCAAAAUACAAUUAAGGUUUUCUAUUACAAAGAAACUUAACAAAGGAACGUUUACACUAGCUUGACUCUUUCUUCCAAAAAUCAUGGUUUCAAAGUUUGCCCCUAUAAGGAAACACAAAGAUAACAGGAAGGGGUGAACUUACGCUCAAUGAGGUACCAAAAAUACAAGUAGUUAUGAAUCAUGGCAUUUCACGUUUGCCCAGUCAAAUACACAUACCAGAUAUAAAGUAAAGCAGUUAAACACAGUGAUUCAAUUAAAAGGAUACAUGUGGCUCUCAGAAGCCAAACUUCGGUUGCAGUGCCAGAACUUGAUCAAAUAGUGGUUGACACUCCGUCAACUUUCAAGUAAAGUAACUAGUUCAGUAGAGCACCGUUUAAUGCCAAAUUCCGUCCACCAAACAUACCUCUUACCGGGCCUGAACACCUCAACGGAAACAGAAAUGGUAAUACUCGAGUAUACCGGAAAUCCAAAGUCUCCAAUACCCAUAGAUUCCCCACGAACAGGCACCCAUGGAUUGUCAAUUUCCUCGACCAAACCCUUGCUGGCUUGAUUCCAUUAAUUCUCCAUGAGAUUGAGUUCAGGUUUAACAGGAAGGUCGUUGGAUACAUUUCCAAACGACAUCCGAUCAGGCGCAGUAAUAGAUUCAAGCUUAUAACAGGUACAAGUAACAGGUUCAAGCAUAUACAGUAAACCAGUUACACAGGCCAGAGAACGAGUGUGAUAAAGUACACUCUCGUCUCAUUCAGGAUAAACAGAUAGUACAGUCAUUCAAAUCACAGAUUCCAAGUACAAAUAAAUCAAGUUGAGCAACAAAUGAGGUGAGUGAUACACUCACCAGCUCAAGCAAAGAUAACUUCAAAAUCAGUGGCAUAGAACUCUACUUACUCCAGAUGCCAUUGUCGUCAAUGUUGGUGAUCAAGUUGAGGUGACUAAAUCCUUUUUGUCGUCAAUGUUGUUUGUGUACUUUUUAAUUAAACAAAGGCUAACAAAAAAAAAAACCGCCCAAAAAAAGAAAAAAAUAAAAUAAAACUUGAAUAGUGUCAUUAGCUACACGUAAGUUGACAAACUAAAGAAGCACACAAGUUUCAUAAGAAGUCGCAAUCAUCAUGUUUUAAGGGGUAAAUUGCAUCAGGCCCUGAAAAUUUAAUUUAACUUCAAGCUUGUUCUAAGCAAUCAAUUUAACUAGUAGAAAUAUUAGUUAGAUGACCGUGAAAUCUUAGGUUCAACUUUUAAAUUCUCUCGUUUCUUCCUCGUGUAUAAGGCUUGAGGUCUCAGUUAGAAUCCCCCUGUCCUUCCCCCCCUCCCCAAAAAAAAGAGAGGCAUAUUUCGCUGCAGCAACUAAAACAUAAAUGAUCUCAUCAAUACGUGAAGUGGGAGGUCAAGGGUUCAAACCUUGCCUCCCAUCAAUAUGCCUCUAUAUGAGGCUUGUCAUCGCAGUGUGGUGCACCUGUCUGGUCUGAUGGUGAUUUAGUUUCCAUCAGAUUCCUUCCGUCUCAGUUGGGCCACCCCUUAAAAUAGGCUUUCCCCCAGUAGGAGUAGGUUAGGUUAGGUUAGGUGUGCUGUAACGUAAAAAAAAAUAAAAAAUAAAACGUAAAUGACCUCAUUUGUUAAGCUCUGUAGUUAUGCUUCAUCUUCAUUCAUGUAAUUUCAAAGAUCUCUUCUAUCUUAGAAAAAAGAAGCAAAUUGUGAAGUUGAUCAUGUCCCUUCAUACAAAGCAUGAUGAGGAAUAUGUUUAAUUACUUGAUAGGCAUUGAGAUUAUUGUACUUAUGAAAAAUGUCAUUGGUAGUUAGAAUAAUUUGCUUUUUUCCCAAUUAAAAUCAACAGUUUUAUAUAUUUUCUAGGUGACUCUUAUUUUUAACUUCGAUUUUAUUUGAUUUGCAGAUAAUGAGUAACGGCAUAUUCAAAAGUCCAAUACAUAGAGUUCCCACAAACAACAAAAAGGAGAGAAUAUCGCUAGCUUUUUUCUUUUGUCCUGAACCUUCGUCCGGUGAAAUCAAACCCGCGGAGGGUCUCAUUGACGACAAAAAUCCGAGAUUGUACAAAAGGAUCACAAGGCCUUUAGAUGCUUUGAAAAUUUGACACUGUUGAGAUGAAGAUUAUGUGACAGGAAAAUGAGGCUUGCAUGUGGAUUAUUUCAUGCAGGAUUGUGUUGUUUUCUGGCAUUGAAUUCCUUUGGUUUAGGUAAAGGAAAAUUAUCAUGCAAUAAUUAAACUCUUUUAUACCAUUUUAUAUUACGCCAUUAUGUCUUUAAUUAGCUAAUAUUAUCUCUCCUUAUUUUUUUUCUUUCAAAAUUAUACAUUAAUAACUUGAUUUUGUUUUGAUUAAAGAACAUAAAAGAAAAGAUAACGUUAAUUGCAUCCUUUAAUAAUUGUAAGUUACCAAAUUGCCUAAAGGUCGAUAUUUGUCAAAAGUAUAAAACUAAGUUGAGUUGCAAAUAAUAGAUGAGAAAUGAUAUGAUUAAUUCUUGAGAAAUAAAUACUUCAGAUUUUGCAAAUUAACUUUAGUUCUUAUGAGUAUGUGUAAAUAUAAUUUUCCUUUUCGAAAUGAAUGUGGAUUCUGAAAAUAGGAAGUAGUCCAACUUAUGGACAAUCAAACACACAGGCAGAAAAAUGCUCAGAUAUUCACAGACGUACAUAUGCAUAGAAAUCUAUUUUCUUUUUAUCUUCAAAAGCUCAUGUCACAUAAAUGGAGUCAAACUCUUUGGUGUUGUUCAAUUCUCAUUGAGUUAUAAAAAAAAUAUUUGUUAUGCAGAUUUUCAAACGGAGUUUGUUAACGUCAAUCUUCACUAUUUCAAAAUAAUGAUUCUGCAAAUGUAAUUUGUAUUCGAGUCACAAGUUUCUUUUUUUUUUUUUUUUUUUUUUGAGGAUUGCUUAUACAAGAAUUCGAAAGCCUUAGCUUUUUCUUUUUAUUAUUUUUUUAACAGGAGAGGGAUGAGGGUUUAGAAGCAGGGAGAGGGAUGAGUUGCUCUUAAUUGUAGAUAUACCAUGUCUUUGAUCGUGCUGGAGUUCAUAGGAUAAAGCUUCCAACCGUAGGGGUGAGGACCUCUGGGAUGGUUUUGGUCGAUAUGGUUGACAAGAAUGGGCUCUACUUUUCUGAUGACUUCGCCCUGAUAUUCCAUAUGAACAAUUACAAGUUUCUGAGCUACUUUUGAUAUCGGAUAAUAUAUAGUAGACAAUUUUGCUAAUACAGCCGGACACAGACUUUUGAAAUGUGAUAUUUAUCCCAAGCUCUUUUUUUUUUUUUUUUUUUUUAGAAAAUCAAUACACUUCGUUAUUAUUAUUAUUAUUAUUAUUUUUUUUUAAUCAAAAGUCACAACUCUUAUUCAUCUAAACCAACAGAAAUACAAAGAUUUCAGUCGCGAGCGACUGUAACCCGAAUAGCGGGAGUUUGAGACCUAUCUAAGCCCAAAGCCCCCCUUGCCCGUCUAGGAAAGUCUAUGUGUGAAGAAUACAAAACCAAACCCGCUGCCCGUGCCCCAACCUUGGCCAACACAUCCGCCACCUGAUUUGCUUGCCGGAAACAAUGCCCCACAGACCAGUCCAUCCCCUGAAUCGCUUCUAAGGCAGCUAACUCCGGCUUAAUUCUCCAAGGGCAUCUCGACUUCUUAAGCAAAAUGUUGACUAACACAAGAGAAUCCACCUCCACCUGAAUCCGCAAGAAACCCCUAAGAAGACACUGCUGCACUCCAACCAACAAAGCACUAAUCUCCGCAUGCAGGGAAGAUAACUCCCCAAGCGGGGUCGAGAAUCCAAACACCACUACACCAGAUGAAUCUCGGAGCACACCACCCCCACCACUAACACCCGGGUUGCCUAACGAGCAUCCAUCCGUAUUUAAUUUGAAAGCCCCCUGGGAUGGAAACACCCAAUGAACCAGCCUAUGGCAAUAUCGAGGCCUCCAGCCCCCAAUUCUGGAAUAAAAUGACAUCCAAGAACCAUGCCCCAGAUUCUCCCCUGCAAAUUUUCCGCCAAAAAGCCCCACAACAUUCGAAAGGACGCGAGCACACAUGAUUUCCCUACACAGACUCUUCCCUUCAAACAGCGCAAGAUUUCGUGCUAACCAAAGAUGCCAGCAAAUUAUGCUAGGCACCAGCACGUGCAAGGAUGCCAAACGCGAACUACCUGUCGGUUUACACCACCAGCCAGCCAGACGUGAACGCACCCCACCCCCUCGGUACGUCACGCCCGCACCGUUCCCAAAAAAUGUCCACAAGAACUGAGCAACAUCACCAUCCCCAAAUACAUGAUCCAAAGAUUCGGAGUGCGGGAGCGAACAACAAAAACACUUGGAAGGACCAUACACAUGCAAUCGCCCCAACGCAGACGCCAAUGGCAAACGAUCCCGCAACAACCGCACCAUGAAAAAAGACACCUUUAGUGGAAUCAAAGAAUUCCAUACCUUGCUAAACAUGAAGGAAGAAGGACUCUGCCUGCCCAAAAGCACAUAGGUAGACGCAAUCGUAAAAUCCCCUGACUCCGUCAAUGCCCACACCGCAGAAUCAUCCGCAGCCCCCACAGGAGGCGCUUUGAUAACAAUCUCUGACACUAUAUCAGCCGGAACCCAGCGCCGCAACAAUUGUUGAUUCCAUCGCCCAUUCACCACAAAAUCACCUACUUGAUGAUCAGAAACACUUUGUACUCGCUGACAAAGAGGACCAGAUCCCAGCCAAUUAUCAAACCAAAAAUUACACUGACCAGACCGGACCAACCACCGAAGGUUUUGCUCCGCCACCUCCCGCACUUGAAGCAUACGGCGCCACACAUAUGAACUCCCUUGCACCGCCCCCACCAUACAUGGAUGGCUUCGCCGACAAUACUUGGCCUGCAUAAAUGUCGACCAUAAACACUCACUUGUACGGAACCGCCACCACAGCUUGAUUGAGAAUGCUGAUUGGACCUCCAGAUGUAAUAUCCCAAGCUCACCACAGAUGUAAUAUCAUGGAGCCGAGACCAUAUCAGUAUGUUAGGGAGGUCACCUGAACCAUGCCUGAAAUACAUCUCACUGUAGAAAAGCAGGAUGAGGGUUUUGAAGCUUAUCUCCAAAUGUUAAUUCCCCUUUUGAUACUCAGUUAGGAACAGGAAUUACUGGGAAAUUGAAUACUCAUUCAAAAUAGACACACACGCACACGUAUGUUGAAGAUACUCACUCUCUACAUAGAUAACCUUAUCUUCUCAAUUGGUUCCUAAAUCAUUUCUUUAAACUUUGUAAAGCCUUUUAACUAGUGUUCAGUCAAUAUUCGUUGAUACAUCUAAACUAAACCCUACUAAUUAUGUGAAUUCUGAUAAUCACAUCCACCAGAAAAAUCCAUGAUUUAUAUAACCCUCAAAUGCCUAACACUUAGAUACUAGUUAUAGAAGUAGAAAGUCACCAAAAAUAAAAGGUCGUGCUCAUUAUUAAAAUUCUAAAAUUAUUAUUUACUCCAUGAAUUUUCACAAAAUAGAUUUUUCUUAGAGAUUCUAGAUUCUAAUUCUCCUGUCCCCUUUCAGUUUAUGGAUUCUAAUCUGCCUGUCCCCUUUCAAUUUAUUAAAUUCCAUCUCUCUCUCCGACUAAAAAAUUUUCAACAAAAAUUCUCCUUUAAACCGGACGCCCUCAUGUGGCUUUUUUUUAUUACACUCCACAAUGCUGACAGAAGUUACAAACACAUUGAUUCUGAAGCCCUGUGAAAUACAGCAACGGAUCUUCUGUCCCACAUCCUGUGCCACUCUCUGUUCCACUUUUUAUUAUAUUGCUAUUUCUCAUUCAUAAACAUCAUGUUUUAAUUCUUUUUUGCUUCCUUAAGAUCCAAUAACUAUUAAUUGAGUAAUACACAAAAUUUAACAAACUCAAAAAAUCAAAAUGCAUAAAAAAUGAGAUUUUUUAUGAAUUUUUUGCUGUAUUUUUUAAUUUUCUAUUAUAUAUUGCUUUUUUGAAGCUGUUAUGUUUAUUUUUUACUCAAUUAAUAGUUAUUAGAUUUUAAGGAAGUAAAAAAGAAUUAAAACAUGAUGUUUAUGAAUGAGAAAUAGCAAUAUAAUAAAAAGUGAGACAGAGAAUGGCACAGAGUGUGGGACAGAAGAUCCGUUGCGGUGAAAUACCUCAAAAAUCGUCAGUUGCUAAUUAGCUCUAGUUAAUGGGCUUGAGUUUGGUAUUAAUAUAAUUUAUGUGUAAAAUCAGUGGCGGAGCAACAUAGAAGUGAGGGUGGACAAUUACCGCCUCCCCCCACCUCCCUUUCGUUAAAUUCGAUAAAAUUAUGUAAUAGCCUUAAAUUUUUUUGAAAAAAAUUUUAAGUUUGUAUUAUAUUUGCACCCCCUAAAUUUUAUAAAGUUCUCUUCUUCAGUUACAUACUUGCAUUGUCCCCCUUAAAUCUAAGAAAAUUCCUUUCUAUACAUAGAUUAUCCUCUUAAUAUCUAUAUAUUCCCUCCUUAUUCUACAUUGACUGCUUAAAAAAAAUAAGAUCUUUUAUUAAUUACCUCCUCGAACAAAAAUUUUGGACCUAUUCUAAAAUAAACAUUAACGACACUAAUGGGGAAAAUGGAUUUGGCCUUUCAAAUCAAAGUACAUAUUAUAUUUUAUAUAAAUCUAAGAAUAUGAUUUGUCUUGAAAUUGACCGUUGUAAUUCCAGGUCGUGACUCCACCACUGUGUAAAAUCAUAGUAGAAACAUUGAUAAUUUGUGAAGUAGAUAGAACGUUUUGGGGAAAUUCUUCCUUUUUGUAAUUUAAGAGAAACUCCGAACUGUGUAAGGAGAAAACAAAAAACGAAGGAUUCAAGAGUUAAACCAAUCCCAUAGUGUCCUCUCUAAUGUUUCUAUUUACAAUUCAGCUGCUGACUUUUUUGGUCUGAAAAUCAAAAGUAAGAGACGCGGUCUUUUACUAGCUUUCGCAUCCGCAAGUUGUUAGGCAUAGUAAAUUUGGGCUCAAAAGUAAAAACCCAAACUUGUCUGGCAACGGGACAAACUGAUAUGGGUUAUGUCCAACUUGAUCCUACGGAGUCAAAGUAUACAACUCACCAGUAUCGAUCAGCUUUGAGGCCCAAUACUUUUGGAUUGUUUGAUCAUGGAUGAUCUCAAAUUGAUCUAACCGUCCCUGACGUUUCGCAAUUACAAUCAGAAUUCAGAAGGCCUCAAGUUUUCAAAAUUCCAACUUGCAUCCCUUGGCAGUUCAAAAUUGCUACGGUAACCCUUACAAAAUUCUUACAUAGGCCUUUUAAAAAGGAAAAAUUAAAAAUAGGGAAAUGAAUAAUUUGAGUUAUCUAGACAAGUUUAUGGGCCAAUAAAUAAAGAAUUUUUAUCUUUGAAACCCAUUUUGUAUCCACCGAUCUAAAAGAACAGAAUAGGUCGAUGUCUCUAGUAAAUCAAGAGGCGUAGAAAAUUGAAGAAGCAAGCAUUGACAAUACUAAAAGAAUCUUUUUUACACAGGGAAACUAUUGAGGAGGCGUAGAAAAUUGGAGAAGUGAACAUUGACAACCAAAUUAAUUAUAUUGGAUUCUGUAUGAGGUUAAACAUUUUAUUAUUUUCUUCAAGUUAUUGUGCGUCGAUUGCUAGAAUGAUCGUUUGCGAUUAAAUUGCAUAAUAUAAUUGAAACAAAACAUUUUCACCUUGGCCAGCAAUUGAACCCCAAAUAUUUUUAGGCCCAUUCCUACGAGCGAGAAAAUUUAUGGAACAAAAUUUUGUUUGGCAAAGAUGAUAGAGUUCCCAAAUUACCAAUUUUUUUGAGGUCUGAUGAGUAAAUUUUUUUGGAAUGGAAGCUUGAAAUGCUCAGAUAUUCAGAAGCAUCGCUUAAUUUGUAGUAUUUCGGUGAGUUGUCUGUUGAUUUUCUAGCCUUAAUACGUUAAUUUCUUGGUAAUUAAUUUAUCCUCGUACCAUUAUUUCAUCAACUUGCAGAGAUCAGUCUCUACUAUUGUAGUACUCGUGAGUUUGUUGACCCGAACGCGCGAGUCCAAAGCAUUAUUCAGUAGUUAUACAAAUAUCUACAGAAAUGAUCGAAUCAGAUUGUCCAAAUCGUGGAACCCGCCUUCAAUAAUUUCAUGCAGGAUUGAAUUUCAGUUGCAAAGUAGAUGUUCUCUUUCAUGCGUCUAGAACCAUUACAAUACUUAUGCAGUUUGUCUCCUUCCAAAAUCUGUCUUCUGAUUUCUAGCAUUUGUGCAAGAGCAGGUUCAAGCUUUUCUUCAAGAGGAGCUGUGUUUGCAUGCAGAUGACUGUUUUCUUCCUUGUUUUACAAGAUUUAAGGAUCCUACCUUGUUUUUGAAUUGGAUUCAGAAUUAUAUACCCGACCAAUGCCAAAGAAAUUGAAAAAGAACAUUGGUAGAAAUCUUUUGGUACUAUUAUCUUGAUUCUUGAUUUCUAUGAGAUGAGUCAAUCUAGACGAUUUUUGGAAAGAAACUUUGCGGUUGAAAAGGCUCAGCCUUUUCCCAUUCCAUAAAUUUUAGAAUUGGGAUGGUAAAAUUUUCUAAAGCAAUUCUUAAGUGCAAAGAUAAACUUUUAACACAGAAUUAAACAAUCUAAGCAUAUAGAGAUCGCAUAAUUCUCAUCUUAUGAAGGUACCUGACUUCUGUACCACCACAUUCAAGUCCAAGUUCGAAAUUUAGGGUGAGAAUACUUAAAAAGUAACUAUUCAGUUUUAUUGCAUUUAAGUUUUGAGAGAAUGCGCCUAAAAACUAAUUUAAUUAGCUUUCCAUAAAACGUAUUUUAAAAGUUGAUAAAUGUCAUUCAGUUCUUCACCAGUUUCUUAAGAUCCUGUUGGUGGGACUGGGCUGGAUAAAAUCGGCUCAGAAAUUUGAUAUUUCCUUCUUCAUUUUUCCUUACCAGCUGCACCAGCAAUGGAGCUUCAGGAUUAUAUAGUCGGAUUGCACCAGCAUACAUGUAAAGUGGCAUAAAUAGGAGGUACAAAAACAAAAAAGAAGAAAAACUUAGUCUUUUGAGUAUACAAUAAUAAUAUGUUUGGCAAAUCCCAUGGUCUGGUCUAAUAAUCAAACAUUCUGAUUAGUUGAUAAUAUUAGUGUUAGCAGGGAUUUUUUUGAAAAGCUUCAUUAAUAGUUAAUUCGUGUCGAGUAGAUUUUCUUGUUACGAGACUCUUAAUUCAUGAGUUGUAAAGAGGAAUUUAUAUCACCAUAAAUAGAGACUAAAGCAAGUGUUGGAUUCAAAAAUCGUGUUAAAAGGGCAUAAAUUGACUUAUUAUACUCCUGAAUAGGAAACAAAAGAUACAGAUAUCUUUAUCUUGACAGCAUUUCGACAUCUGAAGAAGCAGAGGCUGCAAAAACUGCCGAACCUUGUACUGGUACAUGGACAAUUGUGUGGACGAGCAUAAAUUGUUAGUCAAGAGCUCAAAUCAUUUGCAGCCGUAUUUCCAGUCAAAUGAAUUGUAUGCAAUUUUCCAUCUUGCUUUGACUUUUAUUCACACGUCUGAUAGAAAGAAGAAAUCACAAAAGUAAUAGCAUGCUAGCUUAAAAGUCCUAGAACUUUUCUUGAGAAAUCUUUUUGAAUAGGUUAUAUCACCCUUGAAUUUUGGGUUACAUAGCACAUGUACAUAUUAUUCAACUUUUGAAUUCGAUAUUGUAGUUUUAGCUGUAAUUGGCAAACAAAUCAGGAAUUAUUUCUCUAAAGAGUUAUGUAUUUUUUUUUUAGAAAAUUUUAUAUUCUUUUUAGUUUUAAUUUCACCAACAUUUUCUCUCCUCUUUAAUUGUGGUUUUACAACCACUAUGUAACUUUGAUCUAAAAUUUUAACAACUUCUACAUGAUAUCAAAAGCCAUCAUAUUCCAAAAUAACAGUUCCUACUUUCAAGAGUAAAAUCAAAAGUCAUUUAUUUAGUCACUAUUAUCAACAAGAUCCGUUGCUUAAAUAGCAGCCUAAAAGCUCUGAACGAACCUCAUCAACUCUUCACUGUAUAUAUGUCGGGUGAGUCUACGAGAAAAAACGUCCCUGGCCCAACUGAAUAAAAUCACUACUUGAUUGAUGAGAAUCGUUGCUUUUAUGAGGUUAAUGAUUAUCCCUUUUUUUUUUUCUCAAGCAAAAAAUGUGAUGCAAAAAACAAAUAAUUAAAGUAGAGCUAUGAAGCAUAAAGUUUGAUGUCAAUGAACAAAAGAGAGCAUGCCUGUCCCCUGUGGAGCUAUCAAUUAUCCUUUCCCUUACCUGCCUUUUAAGCAACUUUUUCCUGUCCACAGCUAUAAAACUUUCCGACUAUUCCAUUGUAUGUGGUGGAUUUUCUUUUAGACUUAAAAUCAAGUGAAUACCUAUCAUAAACAUUUGUGAAAGGUACUGGAAAUCCAGAAAAUGCAACCACCAGUGCAAAAAGGAAAAAAAAAAAAAAAAAAGAGCUAACCCCACCCUCACCCACCAAAAGAAAAAAAAAGGGCAAAUUACACUUUACCCUCUUGUGGUAUAGCUAUUUUCACAUAACCCUCAUAUAGUUUUAAAAGCUAUAUAUAACCCCCUCAUAAUUUGCAUUAAAGUGUCAAAAUAACAGAAAUGAUCAUUCGUAACGGAACCUAUAAAAAUAUCGAAAUUACCCUUGUUUUAAAACUAAAAUAGCUGAAAUGACUAAAAUAUAUAAAUAUAAUAUGCAUGACACUCUAACCCUGUAUGAUUUUAUAUUUUACUAUAUAAUUCUUUUAUGAGUUAGUGUUUUACCAUAUAAUCUGCUUAUGAUUUUUAAUAUAUAUCCAUAACUCCCCUAUGGUUAAUAAAUAAUUUUCAACUGUACAUAGGAGCAUUUUUUAUAUUUUAGUUGCCUCCGUUUUGAAUUGCAAAUUCCGUCACUUAGAUACUUUACUUCAAAUGAUGAGGGGAUUAUGUAUAGAUUUUAAAAUUAUAGGGGGUUAUGUAAAAAAUACUAAACCAUAGAGGAGUAAAGUGUAAUUUGCCCAAAAUAAUCUUAGGGAAGGUACCCUAUAGACAGUACAUGUCCCAAAAAAAAAAAAGAAGGCACAAGGGUCCGGAUCGUCUGUGGUGGUUUGCACCAGCAAUCGAAGACAAUUUUUACAGCAUUUAACAGUCGAGAUCAGCCUGAAAGAAAACAUUUGUCUAGCUAAUUAAUUGAUUCAAAGCCAGAUGUUCAGAUGACAUAUACUAUUUUUAGUACAACGAAUUUCGAUCAUAAUUUUAGAAGAGAAAGGAGAAGUAGAGAAAUUAAAGACAAACCUGAUCAUAAUUUUGGAUACUAAUGUACAGUUAAGAAGACAAACCUGGUUUUUGUCUGUUCCGAUUUCAACUGACCGGAGAAAAAGUCCACUAAUAGUUUAAGAGUGCUGCUUCUUUGUCCCAUUCACCUAGUGAAUUUGAGGAUUAAGCUUUGUCUGCUUUUGCCAUCUGAAUAAAGGGUAAAUAGUCAAAGAAAACGUUAAAGCAAAUAUGCAAAAAAACAUUAAGCUUUAGAAAUUUUGACAGCUUGAACAACUAUCGUCAUUUUUUUUUUAGCUUGAACCAUUAUUAAUAUCAAGCACAAUUGAUUUCGUAUACAUGCAAGAAUAUGUUAGUGCUGGCCUAAAUACGCUUACAAUGUACAAAUCAUAGAAAAUUGAAGUACUAGGUUGGCAUGUCUAUGGGGAGUAGACAAAAUGCUUUCCAGCGUACCAAACUUGUCCACUAAGAUGAUGAAUGCACUCUGGACAUUCCAUACUUUCAUUUCUGAAUCCGCCCAUCAUGUAUUCUAAUAUACGAUGCAGUCAAAUUGCAGCAGUAAAAGUGUCUUGAUAUUACUAGUCAAACCGAUCAAAGUUAAUUGAGAAUUCGGCAGACAGGUAAAGUAAGCAACACGAAAAUUACCACUUAUAGUCAUUCUAAAAUUGAAAAAAUAACCAAGGAUGUUAUAAAUUUGUGUGAAGGGAUAGAAAAGUUCUAAGAGUAUGGAGAGAGCAUCAAGCGAUUGUCCCUACCCUGCACUUCCAACUUUGCACACUGACGAGUGAAUGGGAUGCAUUGUGACACUUUGGACACCGAACUUUUAAUUGCAUAUAAAGUUAGAGAACUCAAAGUUUGUUGCCUAUAUUUUUCAAAAACAAAAAAAGGUUUGUUGCCUAUUUAGUACUGUAGUGUUUAACAUCCAUUCCAAGAUUGAAAUUGCACAUAUUAAAAUAGACUUGUAGUAAUUGAUACAUGCACAUUGAUUGCAGGUGUAGACUAAAAACAUUCAUUUGAAGUACAAAAUUAUGAAAUACAUACAAAAGUUGAAGGAUAAGAACAAAGAAAAAAAAGAGUUGUAAUCAGUAGUGCUGAAUUUAAUAAUUAAUAGCACAUGAGAUCAUGAAAAAUAAACUAUCAUGGGCAAAUUACAUUUUACCCCCCCUGUGGUUUAGCAUUUUUUUUUUACAUAAUCCCCCUAUAGUUUCAAAAGUUAUACAUAACCUUCUCAUGAUUUGGAUUAAAGUGUCAAAGUGAUGGAAAUAGUCAUUUGAAACGGAACUUCUUAAAAUGUCUAAAUUAUCCUUAUAAAUAUAUGACACACUAACCCCGUAUGAUUUUUAUAUUUUAUCAUAUAACUCCCUUAUGGUUUAAUACUUUACCAUAUAACCCCCUUAUGGUUUUCUAAAUAUACACAUAACUCUCCUUGGUUAAUAAAUAAUUUUCAACUUUAUAUAAGGGUAUUUUUGACAUUUUAGAUAACUCCGCUACGAAUGAUCAUUUCCGUCACUUUGACACUUUAAUUUAAAUCAUGAGGGGAUUAUGUAUAGUUUUUGAAACUAUAGGAAAGUUAUGUAAAAAAAUGUUAAACCACGGGGGAUAAAGUGAAAUUUGCCCAACUACCAUCGGGGUAAUGAUUGUUUUCGAACCUACGUAUCCGAUGCCAUUUAUCCCUCAAAGUUUAAAGCCUACAAGAAUUGAAUACGAUCAUGACUAUUUCAACAAAGAUCAUGAACAUCAUCUGAGUUGAAGAGGAUCAAUUAGCACGUUGCUAGAUACAUAAAUAAGUUAAAUUAGAUAGAGGAAUCAAGUGGUAGAAAAUAGAGCGUUAUAUAACUGCAUAGUGUAUACUAACUUGUUAUAUUAGAGAUUAAAAAUAUUAGGAAAAGGCAAAAGGAACUCCACAGUUGGCAUGUCGUGGGGUCUGCAAACAUAAAGCUUCCCAGGUUAGCAAGCAUGUCUCUUCAUCUCAUUUUACAGCCAUAUCUCCGUGUCUCUCAAACAUAGUAUAACCUUUGACACAUAUCUGCAUACGAUCUUCAUCAUUUUCAUUGCAAACAAACAUUAAUACAUUAUCCAUAAUCGUAUACCGACUAAGUUUGUCUACUGAUCUGAUACAGAUAAACAUGAUUCCCCACCCAAAAAGUGAAAAGAAAAAAUGAUAGUUCCUUUUACUCAAUUGAGAUUAUGCUUAUGGACAAAUUCAUGUCCCCACUCCUCACACACACAGGUCACAAUGGCCUUCUGCUAUCACUAUGUACCUUCAUCCCAUUUGUGGCUAGAAAUGUUGCAUAUUCAAAUUUGCCUGUCAAGGAAAUGACUUUAAUGUUUAUAAUGGCCGAAAAACAAGUGUAAAAUCGUGUGCAUGCUAAAGGUAUGGGUAAAUUGUUACAUAGCCCUCUAUUAUUUCAUCUAUUACCACAUGAUACCCUAACAUUUUAAAAUAUUCACAUGAUCCAUUGUAAUUUUAUACAAAGUGGAAUUUUAAAGAAAGAAAUAUUCGUAAUGUCAUUAUUUAAAAUAUAAUGUCACUAUAUCUCUUAUUUAAUAUUGAAUUUAACGGGGAUUAAUUACUUUGCAUAAAAUCAAAAGAAAAAUUAUAUAAAAUAUAUGAAAAUAAUGUGAGAGUUAAGUCAAUAUUAUAAUUUCAGUGUACAUUUCUUGAGCACGUCUAGGUCAAGGAAAGUUAUGUAAAUAUUUUGAAAUAUCGGGUAGUUAUGUGAUUAUAUGCUAAACCACAAGGGGUUAAGUAGUUAUUCAUCCAUUAAAUGCUACAGAUACAAAAAAUAUUAUAUAUCAUGCAAAUAUCUUUUCUUCUUUUCUCUUUUGCCUUUGUUAAUUAAAAGCAGAAUAGAAAAAACUCAGCACUCAAAUCCAACUCUGCUUGCCGUUAACAAUCCCUCACGCACAGUCUAUAUCUUCAAAGCCAUUAGAAAAAAACGUCCCAACCCCAAACCCAAUUCUUCUUCAUCAGCUCUUAUCGCCAUUUUAGUACUCCACAAGAUCAUUAAUCCAGGACAAAGAAACAGGCCUGCUUUUUUGGUUAUAAUCAUCAAUCCAUCAUUCUAUCCACUUCAACUACCUUCUUGUAUAACUUCAUCUCCACACAACCCAUGCACCCAAUAAUUUACCAUAAUUUGUAGGCCUUUCUACCGAACAUAAUUUGCAACAAAUACUGGCGCAGUGAUCGCUUGAUUAAUACUUGCUUUUGCAGAAGAAAUGGACGAGUCAUGGAGAAUGAGAAUGGGAAUGCCAACAACAACAAAAACAGGGCUGAAGCACAAUCCCCCUCCCCGGCGAUCCACCGAGGACACUUCCUACAGGCAAACCUCUGAAAGCCCUCUUCUAGACCCUGAAGACUUCAACGACGUGUUUGGUGGGCCGCCUCGGACAGUCAUGUCACGGCAAUUUCCCAGCAAUGAGUAUUUUCUCAGGUCAUCCUCGACUUCUUCUUUCUACGAAGAGAUUUUCAGGCCACCCGAGAAUGUGGUUCCGGCACCAGCACCGGUGAGGAGUGGCCGGAACUUGCCGGAAUUCAGGAUUCCAGCUGAAAAGGGUGCAAGGAGGAGUAAUCAGUUUGAGGGCUUUUACGGCGAUAUUUUUGGGUGGAAUGAAGAGGAUUUGAAGAGGUCGAGGUCACGGACGAGGUCAAGGUCUAAGUCCAAGACCAGCACAUCGUCGGUGUUGAGUUCGGAGGAGUUGAGCCCUUUACGGCCGGCCAUUGGAGGUGGUGAAUUGGGUGAUGAGGAUGUUUCAUUUUUUGCUUCCAGGCUGAGGUUAGAUACUGUGCUACAUUAACUAAUUAACUCAGUAUUUUUUUUUUUUUUGGUUCUUUUGCAACUGUUUUUGCUUGAUUGACAAUUCUGCCCCGGACAUCAUAUAAAAAUUUCAAUAUUUACAUGGGCUAGUUUUUGAACAAAUAGUGGAGAUUUUCAACUUGUUUAAAUUGUGUUUCACAAACAUUGAAUAAUUAUUCUUUCAUAUGUUGAAAGCUCUUAACUUCACUGACCUCGAUCGAUUAUCAUUGUUAUGGUUAGUAUCACAAUUGUAAUUGUUAUUGUUAUUAUUUGUCGUAAAAGGAGGAACUAAAGGGGAGGGAUUUAGCCACUGAACUGUCUUAAUUAAUGUGACAGAAGCAAAGUUGGAAACUAAGUAAAUUGUAGAUAGAAUGGUUCUUCUCUAGUACUAAAAAUUACUAACCAAAAUGCUAGCUAAUGUAUUAAUUUGUGGCAAUCAAAAGCUUGCUUCAAAACUUUUUUGGUGAAACUAAAUGAGCAAUGGAUUUUUCAGGCCAUUAAAUGUCCCAAGAAGAUGGACUUCAAACACAGCCAUCCAUGAGGAGCUUCAAGAGCAGCAGUCCAUGUCUGCAUUUGUGUCCAGCGGCCCUUCUUAUGAUGCUGAGUUUGAUUACAAUGAGAACUUCAGAGGCUCUAAUUUCAGAUUCUGUCGAAGGAAUCCAUCCCCUGAAACAAUUAGUCUUGAACCGAACUCAUACCGUAGUCUAAAAGUGUCAGCAGAUGAUUUAGAGCACCACAACUCACCAUCGUCAGUUAUUUCUUCCCUCUGUCAAGACCAGGAGGCAGUUGAUGUAGUAGCCAACAGAACUGAGGAUCAGAUGUCGCGAGAGCAAGCCAUGGAGCAAGAUGAAGAUGAAGUUGUGAGCUCUUAUGUCAUUGAAAUUAAUGCUGGAAACAGGGAAUGGGCUGAGGAAGCAGUUGGUGUUGAUGAUGCUAUUGCUUGGGCAAAAGAGAAGUUUCAAACAUGUUGUUCAGAAGACAUGCUUGGUGCAGAUCAAAUUUCAGAUGGACAUAAAGAUGUCAAUGAAUCAACGCAUGUUGCAGGGGUAAACUCUGCUCCCCUGUGCUGUCAUGAUUGAGUAAUAGCAUCUUAUACUCUUAUUCUGGAUUUUAUGAGGACACUCAUAUUUAGAUUAUCCACUCCUAAUGAUUGUUUGACUAGGACUUCUUUAAGCCCUGAUUGCAUACGUAGGAUUAACAUAGUUUUUUAUUUGAAUUAUUUGUUUACAGGAUGAAGAACAAGAUACAUGGACAAAUGCAGAACAGAAACGAGAAUUAGGGACAGAUGUAAGCUUCCAAUAUACAGUUAUUUUAUCACUGACUUGGGAGCAGAAAAUAACAGUAUGAUUCAAUGUUGGUUUUCAAUUUUGCAUUGAUAGAAACAAAUGUUGCAAAUUAGACAUCAGGAUAUUGAUAUUACCCUCGCUCUUGCACAUGGUUAGAAUUGCAUGCAGACCAAUAUCCUACAGAGAACUGUGUGUCUUAAGUUUUCCUAAGAUGCUUUGCUAAUUAUAAUAUGACAGUUGUCAUCAUAGUCAUGGGAGAAAACUGCUCCUUUCAGUUUCUUACCAUCAAAUUAGAAGCUUUAAGCAAUUUAUGUUACAGUUGCACUUCUCUACCAACAAUUUAUGGACUUAACUAUUUGCUCAAGCAAACCACUUGAUUACUGAAUCUCAAAGCCCAUUUUAGUUAUCCAAGUCACUAAUAGUAUGAGAGCCAGACAAUUUGCAUUGUUCUUUGACAUAUUUUCUACCUACACAGGACUCCUUUUAAUAGCAAAAGGACUGCUAUAGUCACCACGAAAGUGGGAAGUCUUACACUUGAGUCUUGCAAUGUGAGGUGCAAUCUAUACAUGUGUUUGUGUUCCAAGAUGCAUUCUUAACUAUGCUAUUGACAUUCAUCAUCACAGUCAUAGGAGAAACACCCCUAUUAGUUUAUCACAAGGAAAUUAGCAGCCUUAAGAAAUUUAUGUUGCAGUAACAGUUCUUCACAAACAAUUUAUGGACUCUUAACUAUUUACUCAAGCAAACCACUUGAUUACUGAAUGUCAAAGCCCACUUUCCUUUGCCAAGUCACUAUGAUAAUAUCUAUGUGAGAACCGGGCUUCUUGCACUAUCCUUUGAUUUUAUUUUUAACUACACAGGACUCCUUUUCAUGGCAAAAGGACUGCAAUAGUCACCCCAAAAUUGAAAAGUCUCACCUUUGAUUCUUUUAGUCUCAGCUGUAAUCUGUACAUAUGUUUGUGUCAUAAGGUACAUGCUUCUAUGGUUGUCAGAUUAAAAAAAAAAAACUAUCAACUUGAAUAUUCUGGAACUUUAGAUUCACCCUCUCUCAAUCUAUAAGUAGAUUACUGUAUAAUAUAUUGUGUAUGAUGGAAUCUUUAUUAAAGGGCAGGUUGCAUCCUUAAGUUUUUUUCCAAGUAUGCUAAUAACUACUUACUUUCCAUGUUGAUGGCAGAUGGAAAUGGAGCUACUAAAUGAAAAGAUAAGGUUGUGGUCUACUGGAAAAGAAGCAGAUAUUCGAUUGCUGCUCUCAACUCUGCAUCAUGUAAGAGAGAAUUAGUAGAAUUGGCAUAUAUUCUGUAUGUGCUGAAGUGUAUGGAAUUUAUUUGAUUGAACUGCCAUUUCUUGAUGAGUUCAGAUAUUGUGGCCUGACAGUGGCUGGUUAGCAGUACCAUUAACAAAUCUGAUAGAAAGUUCACAUGUCAAGAAGGCUUAUCAGAAAGCUAGACUUAUUCUGCACCCUGACAAAUUGCAACAAAGAGGAGCAUCAUUCCCCCAAAAAUAUGUUGCAGAAAAGGCAUUUCCCAUCCUCCAGGUAUGUUAUGCUCUUGGUUCUUUAUUUGAAGCUCCAAGUCCAUCAUAUGCUUAGGAAAGUUCAUACCUGAGCCACCAAUGGGCUUCUUGAUGUGACAUCGGCACCAAUCUGCAUUCAACUUAAUAAAAACUUUUUCUUAGGUAACCACAGAGUUUUUAUAUCUCAAUUAAUACUAAAACUUCCAAAUAUAUAUAACUGUUGGACUUAAGUGUAAUGGUGAAAAAACAAUGAGAAUAGGAAAGAUGAAGCAGAACUGUCAUUUUGGUUGUGAUUAUUGCAUUAUUCUCUUAUAUGAAGUCAAUCUUACUGAGAAUAUGGAAGUUAAGGAAUAUAUUAUUGCAGUACAUUUUCCAGGUUUAGUAAAUUGUGAAAUCUUUAGUAACCAAUUUAGCUGAUGAUUAUUAUGCUUACUUGUCUGUUGCAGGAUGCAUGGGCUGCAUUUGUAUCUCAAGAUGUCUUUUGCACUUGAUGCUUCAGUGUCUACUCAAAGCCGAUAAUACUCCAGGGAUGGCUAGCAGAUUGGACUAAAGAAAAUGUGGCUGGUCUUGUAAUGAUUUGUGGUGUUGGUCUUGUAAUGAUUUGUGGUGUUGUGACUUGCAUGUUGUGAGAAGGGUAAAAGUACUACCACUUUACAUUUUGGGGUACAUAGUUAAUGUCUGAAUGAGAUUUUCAAUUAUGGUAAAUAUCGAUAUUUGUGUAUACUCUAGAGAAAUGUAUGAUUAUGAUUACCUCACUACAGCUCAAUUGUUUCGUAGUAUCAAUCCAAUAUCCAAUUUGCAAAAUUCCAGAGAUGACCUGCUUUAACAGAAGAGCCUAAAAGAUACACCGUUUGAUAUGUCAUAACAUUUCAUCCUUGAAAUAUUUUCUUCAGUUACAUUGCAUUCUGUAUACAAUUUCCUUGUGUUGUGCUUAGAGGACAGUUUCUUAACAUCAAAGGCAGCAAUAUUUUCUUGUUCUGUAACUGAUCAAAGAAGCUAGAAUGGAGGUUCUUUUGUCCUCAUCUUCAUCUAUAUAAAGAAAACAAAAAGUUUUUUUUUUGAAGGAAUUCUAUCAGACAAGUCCCAACUACAAGGCCAGGAAGGUUUAUUUCCUGACCAAUUUCAUAUGUAGACAAAUCUGAUAUAAAGAAAAGGGAAAGAAAGAUGAAAUUAGCUGCUUAAGCCAUUGUUAAUAGGAAUACAUGUUUUAGGUGGCAGAUCUUUUUAAUAAUAGAGCAGCAAGCUUACACAAGCAGAGAACUACAUCCAUAUUAUCUGUAAUAGACAAAACGUCAACUAAUUACGCAAUAAAUUAGAAUUUUUUGUAGUUUUCUGCUGAAAAAUCUCGGCUAAAGCUUGCUCAGCACUCAUCUGAUGACCAUGGUUAACCAUCUCGGCCGAGUCUGAUAUAACUGGAAUAGAGGAGACCGGUACGAUACCGAUCCCCGAAUCCUCAAUAAUUUCAUAUCUAUGAUGACUUGUUUUGGCUUGGCCGAUAUUAACUGAUUCGAAUCCGUGAUGCAUAGAAUCAACCAAAAUAUCCGAGUCAACCCUGAGUGGACUUGGAUAUUUUUUUCAAAUUAUACCUUUUUAUGGUAUUUUCUAUUUUUAGUAAAUUUUUAUAUGCUAUAAUAUGUGUAUCACUUGAUAUCCAACCGAUAUGCCACGAUGGAUGUGGAACAACUGUGACUGUGAACCAUACUGAUGACUUCAAGUUCAAAAGUGCUUCAGGAAGGCUAAAAUUCUGCUGAUAGGUUUUCCACUCUAAACUGAGUUCUCAAAUCCUCUUCCUCAGUACAUUCAUCCAUCCAUUUAUCAUAAUCUGAACUUUAUCCACAAUCAAGUCUGCUAAUGAUUGUGUAUUCCAGGCCUGCCUAAGUAUUUAAUUUCUUUCGAGUAAACUCGUAAAAUCCUUUAGUGAGUGUACAUAUCUUUUAUUAUUUUAAUUGCAUCUAUUGAAUAUCUAAUAAUUUGAUAAUUGUGUCUAUUCAGCACCUCAUUUCUGGCGCGAAGCUGUAUGUGGAAUUAGUCACAUCACCACCACAUGUGGUCAACACAGGGGAAGUUUUGGAACAAAGAAGUCACCACUUCAAGCUAACAAAAAUAAGGAAAAAUCAAACAAGAUCAGCAGCAAGGACCCGGGAAAGAUUUAUUUGCCAGUUUAUUAUUUAUUAUGUGGGGUUUCAAGAAUUUAUGAUUUGUGUACAACCUAAUUAACUAUUGCAAUUGAGAGAAAAAUGAAUACCACCAGCUAUGAGAAUUUCAACUUUCACUAAAUGUAGUGGCAAAUGUACGUUUCUUUGGAAUCAGCAUCAGGUGUUCAAUUUUCUUACUCAAACACAUCAUCGGAUCAUGUUGCCAAAGAUAAACAAACUUCAAUGGACUACUACACAUUUCUUGUCAAUUCCUUCGUCUACUGAAACUACUUUUAAGAAGUAAUAUAACAAUCUUUCUAAAAUGGCAUCGUAUAUCAUUUAUCAUCCACCGCAAUGACAUUAGAUGCAUUUGUAUGAACUUUCUUGAAUAGCAAACUAAUUUAGGUUGAGACUCGAUAUCUAUAAGAGUUGAAUCGAUAAGUUCGUAAAGUGAAUAGAAAAAAACUCUAAAACACAAAAUGUGGUCAUAAAUGGCAAGUAUAUUAUUCCGGGUUUUAAUUUUUUUGGUUCGUAUAGUUCUUUCAAGAUCUAUGUAUCUUUUCGUGUAAUUGUUAAUCGUCUUCUUUUACAUCAACUCACUAAGAGAUGCAUCAAAUCCUGAAAGAAAUACAAAAAAUAUAAGUUAUUACUUGAUUGGAAUUAGUAGAUUCAAGCCGAAAGUUUUUUUUUUUUUCUUUUUAACUCUCCCUCCCCUUUCUAUAACCCUUUCCGCUCACAAUUAUCAGUCUCAAAAUUCGAAUUCUAAACAUGAUAGUAGGGGAGAUCUUAGUCACUUACCAACCCGGCCUAGUGGUAUGAAGCCAAAGGUUUGAAUGAUGAUAAAACAAUAACAAAAAAAAAAAACAGGCUUUGCUAUAGUAAUUAGGUGAUGUUGGUGUAUAUUUUCACACUGACCUUAUCACGGACGUGUAAAAACAUGUUCCAUGCUGGUGGGCCAAGAUUUUGGUGAUUAGGUCCGACAUUACCACAAAUUAAUUUAUGGGAUGCAUUACCACAUUUUUAGGCCUAUAAAUACAAGGAGUCUGGAUCUCAACUAUACCAAGUUUUCGACAGUAACCAGUUACAAAUAUCGAUUUUCAUCCUUAUUAAUUAGCUAGCUAGCUCUUUAAGGAAAAAAUGGCCGCAGCCAAAUCUGCUAUUGGCACUGGAAAGGUGAAUAGUGAUUGUAUGCCUGGCUAGACAUAGAUUUCUUUUUUUUUGUUUCUUCAAGUUUGUGUGUGGUUUUGAGAAGCAACUCAUAAACAACUUGUACAGAAACGUUUGGAAGAGUAUAAGGAAUUGCAAAUUACAGUAACAUUAACAUUCUUGAAUUUUCUUAAGCAAUAUUUUAUGUUUUCUAGUUGUCUACAUGCAUUAAUUGGUCUCUUGAAUUGUCUGAAUAAGCUUCUUCUGAGUGAUACAGUUUCUUAUUAAUUGGUCGGAUUUAGUUUUCUGGUUGUUUGUUUAUUUGAAAGGAUUCUAAUUGAUUUUGGGAACUCAAUUGUUUGGUGUUUACAGAACGACAUCAGUUCACUAGAACCGGUGAAGCCGGCUGACCCUCAUGUGAUCCAGAUCGGACAAUUUGUAGUGGAACAAUGUCACCACGGCCAGCUGCUUUUCGUCGCCGUGGUUGGAGGAUUCACGUGGAGCGGUGAUGGAGGUUAUUACUACGCACUUAUCAUUGAAAAUCAGGAUAGCGACGGUGCCACAUAUCUCCAUAAAGCACUUGUUCUUGAGACCCCAAGUGAAACCAAACUCAUCUGGCACAUGAAAUAAUCAAGCACUGCUGUUGAUCAACUGAGGAUCAACGACUUUAAGUACUCUAAUUAUAUAGUGUCUUUGGUGUGGUUUUCAGUUUCUGCAUGGAUGAUGUACUGCUGGCAUGCAUACAUCUCCCUGAUGUUGUACUAGUAUGUAAGGUGCUGUUCUACCAACAAAAAUGCACCGUCAAAUAAAAAAUCCGCUGUGUGUUUGAGUUUGUGUCAUUGUACUAGUAUGUCAAAGGUGCACUUAUACGAACAAAAAUGCACCAUUAAAUGAAUAAAAACAGCCUUCUGUGUUUUUCUCGAUUGCUUGGAAGCAGGUCCCAAUCACUGAGUUUUGUAUGUCAAUUAGGUGCUAUAUUCAUGACUAGUUAUAAAAUCUUAUUAGUUAAGCAUUACUUAAAAUGAAUCCAAAUCUGGAAAGGAAAUGAAAGAUGAGUUGAUAUAUUGAGAGAGACAUGUAACUCAAAAGUUAGAGUUCAAAGAUGAGAGUUUCUGCUUUCUACAACCAUUCAUUUGGACAUCUCUAAACAACGUGUAUCAUACCGUGUCAAAUAAGUUUAAAAUGCAUAGAUAUGAGCAAAGAAUCAUCUGCUCUUUAAAAUGUGACAACAAAAUUAAUAGAUCUACAUGCUGUUGGAUUUUAAUACUUAUCCCCAUAUUUUGUUUAACAUUCAAUGAAUUAGAGAUUGUGAAAUUCAACAGAAAAUCAUUCAAGAAAUUAUGGCAGUUAUGAAUAUAAUGGACUUAAGUGAGUUUAAUUAUACUCAUGGCACUAGCCCAAGUGACAUAUGCACAAGUCCAAGAGAGUUUUGGGGGCUCGCACCCUAGUCUGAGAGGAGUUUUGGUUUGGCAUCAAACCAAAAGAGUAAGCCAUGUGCCCUUGGGCCCUUAAGUAUUUAGUGCUAUUUAGACACUUUUGUGUUUUCAGUUUUAGGUGCCUUUUGAACCUAAAAAUUAUUUUUUAGGGUUUUAUACUCUCUCUUUUGUACUCUCUUUUUAUUAUAAUAAAUCUGCUACCCCUUCGUUCGUAAAUGUAGGUCAAUUGGACCGAAACACAUAAAUUCUUGUGUUUCUCUGUUUAAUUUAUUUGCUUUAUUAUUGUCAUUAUCGAGUUUGUAAGAACUCUAUUAUUCUCGUUGGUCAAUUUCCUGGGACCAGACCUAAUAGUUUUAGUGAGUUUUUUCCUUUAUUAUUUCUAUUAAUGGUGGAAUGUAAAAUGAUCCAUAGUGCUAUUGCAAUUAUUAAAAAAAAAAAAUCAAUGCUUUUAUGGUAAUGACAGGUGUUAUAGCUAUAUACUAAUUUGAAGAGCUGUAGCUUUGUAGUCUUGGUACAACUGUACGUUUUGUUUAAAUACGGGGAUUGAAGAUUGAGUAUAUGAAUAUUUAAUUUAUAGGCCAAGCUAAUUAAUAUUUAAUUUAAGGAUUGACCUAAUCACCAAUGUGUAAAAACGUGUUCCACAUUGGUCUUUGUCUUCACACGUAUUAAAAUAAUUAUAAGAUGGCGCAAAAUUCAAGUUCAUCAUAGUAGCAGCUCCGACCAUGACACUGGAUAACACCAUAUGCACCGUAUGAUUUAAUACUUAGAUUUCUGAAUUACUUCUAUAAGAUUACCUGAUCUUCCAUGUAUUUAUGACUAUACUAAACUGCAACCAUGACCAUGUCACAAUAGUCUUGCCUCUUCCGUAACUUUUUGAGUAUCAAUAAAAGUGAUAUUUGCAUGAAAUAUUGGAUUAAAAACAGAAUAGCUAUUAUGCAAUUAGAAUUUUUACAUUUUUUAUAAAAUAUAUCUAGUAAAGCGGAGAUAAUUAUGCCUAAAUUUUGCAUGUUUGAUGAAAUUUCUUCUUUUAAUUGAUUUUAUAUAGUUAAGUGAUUAAUAUGGUCAAUAACUGUGAUACUCUUCUCAUGAUUAUUCUUUUGAGGGAAUAAUUUUUAUCUUUCCUUUGGUAUCUUUUCUUUACAAAAAGGGGAAAAAGUAGAAAAAAAAAGAAAAAAGAAAAAAAAGAGAAGAGAAUAAGAGUUGUUCUACUCAAAUGGUUCUUGUACUUAGUAACCAAAAGUCUUCAUCUACAAAUGUCAACUUUCGUAGAAAAUAGUAUUUGAAUUAAGAGUAUGCAAAGCAACUUCAGAAUGUGAAAUGUUGAGUAACUGGCGAAUUUUAUCUAAAAUUGUCGAUUUUCGCGUCAAAAGUCACUUUCACAACUUGAGUAAACAUUUAGAUAUAUUGUAUGAAUAAAUCCCUCUUUGAACUUAGAAAAGAAGAUGAUCAUAGACUUAGGAAGUUUUUUUUUAUUGACCAUAGGAGUAACUUGCUUUUGAAAUUGAAAAAAGAUGAGGAAUUGACUUGAACUAGUUACAAUUAUCUCAUAAUUGGCUCUCCUUUACUUGAUAUUAUGAUUACUUGAGCUUAAUUGAAUGAUCGCAUAAUAGUUAUUUACCUUGUUUUGAGGAGGUGAAUUUGAAGUGUUCACAUAUGUUUACUUUCAAAGUUUUGGAUCAUUGUUGGUUUAUAAUUCUUAAUUGAUUAAGGACAAGCAAUGGUUCAAGUAUAUGGGAUUUUGAUAAGUUUGUAUUUU
rnacentral:lncRNA from 1 species